UUCAGAUUCUUGUGCCUAUUGCAAAUGGUUCGGAGGAGAUGGAAGCUGUUAUGAUAAUUGAUAUUCUGCGACGAGCUAAAGCAAAUGUUGUAGUUGCAUCAGUUGAGGAUAAACUAGAAAUUCUGGCUUCUCGUCAAAUUAAAUUAGUGGCAGAUGUGCUCAUUGAUGAGACGGCUAAACUUUCGUAUGAUUUAAUUGUCUUGCCAGUGAGUUGGGGUGCUUACUCUUGCUUCAUAGUCUUUACCACAUUAUUGACUUACUAACUACAAUUUAUCCAUGCACAUUGCACAGGGUGGACUUGGUGGCGCUCAAGCAUUUGCGAAUUCAGAGAAAUUGGUGAAUAUGCUAAAGAAGCAAAAGGAAUCAAAUAGACCUUAUGGUGCUAUAUGUGCAUCCCCAGCUUUAGUGUUGGAGCCCCAUGGCUUACUCAAGGUACGACCAUUUCUGCUUAAAUAUUUACCCUCUAUUUGAAUCACCUAAUCUGAACUUGAUGAAACAUUAUGAUCUUGUGUGAUUUUAUGAACGUGAUCUUAUAUCAUGUAAGUCUCUAAUGAAUUAAUUGAAGUUUGCUGACAAAUUACAAACUCAAAAAGUGCCGCUGCUUCGUUAGUUUCAUUACCCAAAGAGUUAUGAUAAGACAUCUCAAAUUUUUUAUCCCAAAUUCUGUCCCAAAUGAUAUGGCAUUUAUUGAGUGAUUGGUAAUUUUUUUACAAAAUCCAAAUGAAUUAAUUGUAUUAUCUAAUCAACCAAUUGAUGAAUGUCACAUCAUUUGAGAUGAUUUUUUGGGAUAAAAAAAUUGGGAUUUUUAGCCUCAAAAAUCCCAAGUACUUCCUGCUCCUGCAAUAUCAUUGCUGUGUAUUUGUUUUCCCCUUAGACAUAUUCAACUUUGGUUCAGGGUAAAAAAGCUACAGCUUUUCCUGCUAUGUGCAACAAGCUGUCAGAUCAGAGUGAAAUCGAAAACAGGGUAGUGGUUGAUGGCAACCUCAUCACCAGUAGAGGGCCAGGAACUUCUAUGGAGUUUGCACUGGCAAUUGUGGAGAAGUUUUUUGGCCGCAACAAGGCACUUGAGCUUGCAAAGAUAUUGCUUUUCACCCGCACCUAAAAUUUGUACCAGGACCUGACUAAUAUUAAACUAGAGUGUUUAUUUCUGUAUUACUACUGCUUGUAGAGGCGAAAUGGAAACUUGAAUUCAUGUUUGAAUAGGGAUUCACUGUGCGGGUUUGUACAAGAGCUUGUUUAUAAAUAAAUGAGUUCAUAAAGAGUCAUUAUAAGUAUUUGGAAUAAACGUGAGUUGCUGUUUAGUUCUGUUUUUGAUGUUCACAGUCCCAUUGUGAUCCAGAGUAAUAUCUUUACCCUCACUGGGAAUUUUAAUUAUGAAGUUGAACCAAGAAUUUGAUAUAUUAUAUUCCACUUACGAUAUCUAAGAGAGAAUACUGAAGAGAAAGACGCUAAGAGAGAAUAUUGAAAUUAAACACAUACCAUGUCUAGUAUUAAGUCUGUAUGUGUACAAAGUUACAAAUUCGAAGAUUGGAUUUCUAAUUUCAAUUUAUGUUCUGCUCAAAGCAAUGGCUUUAAUUCCUUGAGCACAAGAAGGAACGAGUACGCACAAAGUUAACAGGCGCAGUAAAAAUUACGUUAAUUGGUUGCAGCAGCAUCAUCCAGGAACUUCCCUUUAAUCUUAUUGAGCUUUGCUGCAGCGUCUGUCAUAUUUAUCCUCUUGUCAGGUGACUCCAUACAACAAUCCAAAGCCAAAUCCAUGAUGCUUAAUAAACAAUCCAGUUUGGCAGAAAAAGCUUGCUCUUCUCGCACCAAAUUUGCGUCAACAACUUCACUCAAUCCGUGAGGUAAAGACUCCUUUACCCAUCUCCUUAAACUCAUUUCUCCUGUGAACAUUUCAUCGGUGGGCCUCUUUCUCGUGAAAGUUUCCAUCAAUAAUACACCAUAGCUGUAGACAUCACAUUUAGCUGAAACAAUUCCUUCUGAUCCAUACUCUGCAUUUUUUAAUUUCAAUUAUGAAACAAAUGAUAAAAGAAAUAAUUUUUUGAUAAUUAAGGUAACCCAAACUUCGCUCGUGCUUGAAAAAAGAGCAAAAAUUUUAAUUACAAUUGAAACUUUACCUGGUGCCAUAUAACCAACUGUAGCCAUUGUCAUGGUAUGUGUCACAGAAUCUUCUCCUUCACCAAAGAGUUUGGAAAUGCCAAAGUCGCUCAAAUGUGCCACCAUAUUUUCAUCUAAGAGAAUGUUGGUGGGCUUCAAAUCACAAUGAAUUAUAGGUGCCGACGAAUGACCAUGAUGGAGAUAUUCAAGAGCCGACCCCACAUCUAUCAUUACAUUCAACCUCUGUAGAAUGUCUAAGAAAUAGUUGUGAGAAUACAACCACUUCUCGAGACUACCACUUGGCAUGAACUCAAGUACCAAUGCUUUAAAAUCUGGAUUAGAACAACUGCUAAGGAUCUUUAUGAGAUUUCGAUGACGAACAUUCCGUAAAACUUCACAUUCAGAAUCAAAACUCCUAAAUGCUCUCUCUAGUUGCAGAUUGAAAAUCUUUAUCGCAACAUCAGUUCCGUCGGAAAUGGUUCCUUUAUAAACUGAUCCAAAGCUACCUGUACCCAGCAAGUUACAUUCAUUAAAUUCAUCAGUUGCUCGUUGAAUGUCUAGGUAGGAUGUUCUUCUCCAUGUUGCGAGAGGUAGGAAAUCUUCGUGAUCUGAUUUCCUUGUAGUCCUAUUUCGGCAUCGUAUGUACAUAAUGAUGAUAAUCACUAUAAGUACAGAGGAUAUUAUCGGCGGCAAAAUAUAUUUAAGGACAAUUAGAGCAACUUUCUUGGUGCUUUUGCUGUUACCUUGUUUGCAAGGUGGGACUCGGAGUUUAGGUGGACCACAGAGUGCAUAAUUUCCGAAAAACGAUUGAGCUAAGAAGUUUUUAAAAGACCCCCUAACAGGAAUUUCUCCUUCUAGCCUAUUAUAAGACACAUUAAAUUGUUUGAGAUGUGACAAUUUCUCCAAUGACUUGGGAAUUUUUCUAGAGAGCUUGUUGCCGGAGAGAUCUAAGGACUCUAAGCUUAUCAAACUGCCAACUGAUUCAGGAAUAGGUCCCUGAAAUUGAUUACGAGCCAAGGAUAGAGUUUCUAGAUCUAUGAGGGCACCAAUGGUUGAUGGAAUAUCACCUGAUAAUUGAUUCCUUGAUAAAUCUAAAACUGUCAAGACCUUUAACUUUUGUACAUUGGUAGGGAGAGGACCAUUUAAUGAAUUUGACGACAAGUUUAUCUCUAAGAUGUACUCAAGGCUCCACAAGGAUGACGGUAUACUAGAAGUGAGCUUGUUGGAGCCUAAGUGGAGUUCUCUUAGAGAUGUCAAACUCGCCAAGCAUGGCGGUAUAUGUCCAGAGAGCUUAUUUCCAUUUAACCUUAUUCCGUAUAUCAACUCCAAGUGGCAAAGAUCAUAGGGAAUGGAUCCUUCCAAAUUAUUUUCUUCAAGAGAAAAACCUUGUAGCCGCUUAAGUCUUCCCAUCGUUGGUGAAAUAGUUCCAUUCAAGUCAUUGAAGCCGAGGCUUAAGAGGAUCAGGCCACGCAACUUACCAAUUUCUUGAGGAAUGUUGCCCUUGAGUUUGCACUCGUAUGCAUAGAAUUUUUUAAGAGAAGCUGAGAAAUUUCCAAUUACUGGUGGAAGGAUGCCCCCUAAUGGAUUAGAACCGAAGGCUAAAAAUGUUAAAUUUCUGCAAUUAGUCAGAGAAGAGAGAAAACUCCACUGAUCUGCUGAAGAUGAUUCUGUCGUCAAGUUAUUAUAUGCUAAGCUGAGCACGUCGAGGUGUCUCAAGUUGCCAAAUGUAUUUGGAAUAUGGCCCGAGAAUGAGUUGUAGCCCAAGUCUAGGGCAACGAGUUUAGUAGCAUUGGUGAUAGAGUGGGGAAUUAUCCCUAUAAGAUUAUUGGCCGACAAGGCUAAAUACUCUAUGUUCGGAAGCGAGUGGCCAAUCGUUGACGGUAAGCGGCCUGAGAGUUGAUUGCCCCCCAGAGUAAGGACUCUCAUGGUUGAAAUGUUGAAGAUCGUGGGUGGAAUGAGGCCACUUAAAUUGUUGUCAGCAAAAACAAGAACCUCCAGAUUUUCCAGAUUGCCAAUCUCGGUUGGAAUUUGACCUGCCAUCAGGCCAACAUUGAGAAGUCAUUGAGCCAAUAAUGUUCUUUAAAAUAUUUCAUAGAUAAUUCUGCAAAAUAUGCAUGCAAAUGGAAAAAUAUGCUUCAAUUACAAGAGGAGGUGGAGCGUACCUCGAAGAUUGCUGAAUCCAAGAUCCAGAUUCACGAGUUUACUCAAAUUUCCUAUCCUUGAAGGAAUAUUUCCACCAAUAAUAUUGAACUCUGCACGCAGCAUCUCUAGCCUUGAUAAGUUGAAGAGAGAAUUAGGGAUGGGACCUGUGAAACUGUUAUUAGCAAGAUUCAAUAUUCGGAGUUUAGAUAAGACACCAAUCCAUGAUGGAAAGCUUCCGCUGAAUUUAUUGUAAGCCAAACUCACGACUCUGAGUCGACGUAAUUGCCCCAAUUCUUUCGGCAGAUGGCCAUGAAAACUGUUCUCACUAAUGUCAAGAGACACUAGAAAUGAGAGAUUUCCCAAGUGUAGUGGAAUGGUGCCUCCGAGACCCAUAUCUGAAAGAUUCAAGGCAGUGACUCUUUGAUGGCGUGAACCACAAGAGACACCAACCCAGCUACAUGUUGGAUAAGAUAUAGACCAAUUAUUUGCCAGGGCACUCCGAUAAUCAAAAACAUGGGCUUUGAAUGCUAGAAGAGCUGAUUGAUCUGUUGUUAAAUCGUUUAAAGUCGUCACCGCUAAGCUAGCAAUGAGAUACUGUAACACUAACACCGACAUAGGAACAAAGAAGAAUGAUAAGCGCAUAUUGGUCGUUUUUAGUAGUAGUUGCAAGGCGAGAUUGAUACAAGUUUUAAGUAAAGGAAAUUAGCAUAUACUUAUAAUGAGACAUAUGAAUUUGAAAAUAAGAGCUGAAAAAAUAUACAGGAGACUUGCAAAUUGUUAUAUUCUGUCAUUGAGCGAGCCGUCCAAGUAAACGCAUUUACACUUGAACCCUAAAUAAAGGCCUUAUGGCACUUUAAUUGCCAAAAGGAAGAAGAUGCUCAACAUUGCCAAAAGUGUUUUUCUUGAAGUCUCAUCUUCCGUAAUGUUUGUCAAAACGAGGUUUUACCAUCUGUAAUGAAAUAUUUACUCUUGAUUUGGACCACGUAAUCAAAACUUGACAAAAGAUUAUGAUCUUAUGUGAUUUUAUGAAUGUGGUCUUAUCUAUUAUAAGUCAGCAAUGAAUUAAUUAAAGCUUGCUGGCAAAUUACAAGCUCAAAAAUAUCUUUUACUUAUUCACAAUCUUAUUUUAUUUUUUUAUAACAUAACAUUAAAAAUUUGUCUAUUAAAUUAAUUUAAUAAUUUUUAAUAAAAAAUCUCAUUGACAACCAAACAACUAAUUAUUUUUUUAUAAAAGCUCUACUUGUUAAAAUUAUGCUGAAAAAAACUCUACUUAAGUAAAUUCUAUUUGAAAAGUUAUACUAAGCAUAACCUUAUUUCUUAUUAGCUUAAUUGCUUCCACUACUCCUACAUUUUUUUAACCAUGUGGAUUCCUUCAAUCUCAUAAUCAAAGGCGCUUUAAGCCAUUUUAUUUCUUUUUUUUUUUUAAUUAUUAUUGGAAAAGUAGCGUAGCUUAUCAAAAAAGGAAAAAAAAAAAAGAAGCCAAAGUGACGAGUGGCUCGUUUUUUAAUUUCAAAGUCAAUGCAAAGUAAAAGUACCAAAAUAAUCAGUUUUUAAAUCCAAAUAAGUGCCAAUAAAGGGAGGUCUUGUUAGGGGUGUUCGCGGAUCGAAUUUUAUGGAUUGGACAUCAAUCCAUAUCCGAUCCACGAUUUUACGGGUUAUAAAUUUUCAAUCCAAUUUAAUCCAUGGAUUUGUAAAAUUCAAUCCAAAUUCAAUUCAAAUUCAAUCUAUAAAUCUGCAGAUCAGAUGCAAAUUUGACCAAAUCCAUAUCCAAUCCACCAUUUUGCGGAUUGGUUUGUGGACUGAAAAUUUUUAAUUCUAUCAAAUCCACGAACUAACUAAAUAAAAAAAUUUAACAUAAAAAUAAUUUUACCACGGAUCAAAUUUAAAAUUAAAUAAGAUUUAAAUAAAUAAAUUGCUUAAAUAAAGCUAGCAAAUACAUUUAAAGUUUCAAAAUAUAACACACCAAAAUGAAAAAAAUAUCAUUCGUUUAGAUCAAGGAAAUUAACUAUUUAGUAAACUAUAUUUGUUUAUUUAAUUAUUUUUCAUUUUAUAUUAUUAUCGGAUAUGAUAUAAUAUAAUGUUAAUGUAACUAUAUUUUAACUUAUUUAUUUACUAGUAAGUACUAAUAACAUAUUUACAAGUUUUAUUUUUAAUUAAAUAAAUACUUUUUAUUUUUUUGCGGAUUUUUGCGGAUUUACAGAAGUAGAUCCAUAUUCAAUCCACUGAUUGCGGAUUAUCAAAUUUUUAAUUCAAUCCAAUCCACCAAUCCACGGAUCAGACAGAUUGAGCGGAUCGAAUUAGAUUAUGAACACCUUUAGGUUUUGGUGUCCAUUGUUGAAAACUUGGAAGUCUAUAUGACCAUUUAACCAAACUAUAGGGGUAUAACUGUCACAAAUUUUUAAAAAUAAAUUUUACCAAACAUUUAAAUGAUUUUUUUUUCACAAUUGAUUAUUAAAUUCUAAGUGUUAGACUACUGUAAGAAUACAAAUAAUUGACAUAGACAUAAUAUUAAAUAAAAUUUACUUAUAUAUUUAUAUACAUGCAUGUAUGUAUGUAUGUAUGUGUGUAUAUAUAUAUAUAUAUGUGUAUGUAUGUAUGUGUGUGUGUGUGUAUAUAUAUAUAUAGUGUUGUUCCAAUCCGGGAUUGGAACAGCACUCUAUUAAUUUUUUUGGUUUGGCUGCACAUGGUGGAGCCCACCAUGUGCAGCCACAGGUGGCCUUUGGAUUUGAAUCUAAAGGCCACCAGCCUCCCUCCCGGACAUCGUUCCAAAUUCCGGAUUGGAACAGCCUUAUAUAUAUAUAUAUAUAUAUAGUUUAUUGUUUGUUUAUAAAAAUUGCUAACUAAAAAAUAUUUAUAUUUUAUCAAUUUUAUUUCUCUUAUUGUUUAUCUCAAUAUAAAUGUAAUAAUAAUAAUCUCUCUGAAUUUAAUUAUUUUUGCUCUUUAUUGAAUAAGGAUAAUUUUGAGUUUCUGUAAUAUAUGUGAGGAUAUAUAUAAAAUUGUAUUAAAUAUAUAACUAUUCUCAAAAUUAAAUUUUGAAAAACUAGUUCUUUCUCACUUUUCAUUUAAUUAGGCAAAUGGCCACAGAAAUUGUUCUCCCUCAUAUCCAAAUAAACUAAAAACGAGAGAUUUCGUAAGUGUGGGGGGAUGAUGGACUAUGGUAUGAGCAUCACAACAUAUGCCAAUUCGACCGCAUAUUGAGUAAGACAUGGACCAAUUAUUCAAGAGAUUCAUGAGCCUUCGAAGUGAGAAAUAGAGCAAAUUAGGUGGUGGUGGGUCAAUUGACUACGUUUCGUGAUCUACGUGCGAUUGCAACAGUCGGUUCAUUAAGUGAAAUUAAUGACUCGUCCACUAUAGUAAGAUACUGUCCUCAUUAGGAUGGUGCUGGGUCAAUUUUAUCCAUGAGUCAACUUACAUUAAUUUGAAUUAAUUUAUAAGAGUAUCUCAUUUUCGUUGAUUACGAGUUGUGAUCGAUGACAUGCACGAAAGCAGUCAAUUUACAGGUCAUUCACUAUAUAUAUGGGGUCUAUGGGUGGGUGGAUCUAACGUAAAUUAAGGGCUGAUGAUGACCCUCGACUUCUAACGACGACCAACGAAGACGACCUUGACUUUACAUGUAAACACACAAUUCGCUCUCAUACAUUAUGUUUUAAAAUUUCUCCAUUUGCCGGGGCCCCGCUGUCGACCGUACACAGUUUAAUUUGUAUAUACAAGACCUCAAUGUUUCUAGCAAGCAUAGAGCCAUAGACCAUAUUAAUUCCAAUUACAUAAAUCUUCAUUUUUAUCAUGAUUUUGGACUUCAAGGAGCGUGGAUAUAUCCAACCAGAUCCGGCUCACUGGCAUUUUAAUAUAUUUUAGAAUUGAGUAAUGAGUAUCAAUAAACGUGUAAUUGUAAAUCUAUAACUUUAAUUUUAAUUUGAGGACUCAAAUGAAUUAAUCAAACAGUAACUCGUUAAAUUAAUAGUCCACAAAUUUUUAACUUUAAUUAAAUAAUAAAUUUUGUCCGUCCCAACUUAAGAUUAACGUGGUAAUUAAUAAUUUGAUAAAUUAUUAGAUAAUAAUUUGAUAAAUUAUUAGAUAAUAAUUUAAAAAAAUCUUAUUUCUUUUAUUGGAUCCAACUGAUAUAUAAAUUAAAAAUUAAUUAAUUUUAAAACUAAGUUCAUAUUAUGUCAAUCAAAUGUUGUUGCAAAGAAGACUAGCAGCGACGCUUUGACAGGUACACCAAAGCCUUUUGCACCUUCUCCUUCGUGACCACCAAUAGAUACUUCCACCAUUUCAACGUCAUGACAUGAUGUAAGUUUCUUUUGUAGAAUUUGCGAAUUGGUAAUCUUUUACACGCGUACAUUUAUAUCAUUGUAUGGUUAUAGAUUCAAUUACUUUUAUGACGCAUUUAUUAAAUUGAAAUUGAAAUAAACAAGAAUGGGCUGUAAUGUGAAUGGAGAAUCAAAAUUAGAAUAAGUUAUUUACUUGAACUGUAGAAAUCGAAAUAAGCUGGAUUGUCAUUAAUGUGUUUAUUUUAUCUUAGAAUCCGAUUUGAAAUAAGUUAGAUUGUAACAAAUUACUAAAAACUACUUAACGAACUAUUAUUAUAAUUAUUAUUUUGUAUUUUAAUUAUUGUGAUUAUUUAUUAAAAAUUAUUAUUAUUAUUAUUAUUAUUAUUAUUAUUAUUACUUAUUGUUAAUAGUAUAUUAAUAAAUUAUAAUAAUAUAUUAAAUAACUAUAAUAUAUUAAAAAAUAUACUUGUAUUUACAUGAAAUGACGGAUAAAAUUUCUAAAAUGGUCUUCCUCCCUAAAACUUUGAAUGCCACAGCCCUAAAAAUUAAUAAGAUUUGGGAAUUAUGUCUUUUUUAAAAUAUUAAAGGGUGUUUAUUUCCUUAAACGUUGGGGGCUAAAAGUCCUAUUCCCAAAAGAGUAGUGUGCUGGCGUUGGAGGCUAGAAGGAAAAUUCGUUACAUUGCUCAAACACUUUUCUACAUCUAAACUAAUCAUUAGGAUUUAUAUUAACUAAUAAACCCUAAUAAUACGAGCGUUCAUAAAACUUCAUAUGAACAUUGAAGUAGCAUGGCAUCAUAUUGUAAUAAGUUGUACAGCUGUCAAUCUCUUAUUAGUCAGAUAUAUUCUGAGUUAGUUACAUGAAUGUAGUAUAAAUAUCAUGCUCUGUACACAUUCUUAGUUAGUUACUUCAGUAGAAUUUUCUCUCCUCUACUCGAUUUUUAAGUUAUCUUUUAUAUUGGGGGCAAAUGAUAUUUUAUUAACGAAAUGAUUUUGCCCUCUUAAUAAGCUCUCAUUUCUCCCCUUUGAUCAACGCAGCCUUCUUUUAUUACAUCAAAAUUCUUCCUCUUUCCAUCAAAAUUUCAUGGAUCUGCCCUUGCGUAUAAUCAUAUGAGAGUAUACAAUAAAAUUAAUUAGGUAUGUGUGGAACAUUUUUGUUAUCCUUAAGCUGAUUUUAUUUUCAUUUUUUUAUAGUAUAUAUUGUCAAAAGUAAAUGCUAUAAACACUUUCGGAAAAAAAGAUGAAGAGCGCCUUUGGAGUAAUUUUUUCUAGAGGAACUAACAAAACAACUAAAUGAUGUAUGUAUCUCUAAGAUUUAUUAUUAUUAUUAUUAUUAUUAUUAUUAUUUCUGUAGUUGACAAAGCAUCAUGAUUGUGUUGGAUGAUAAGAUUAAAGGUGAGAAUGGACCAAUUUUUUAGGAUAAAAAAAAAUGAUUCAAUCUUGGGCAUGUUUGGCUAUCGAAACUAAUUGAUUAGUCUAAAGUUUAAUUCAAAAGUAAUGGGACUAUUAAUCCUUAGGAAAAUUAUCAUUCGUAUACCCUAUAGAUACUCUGUUAUCAAAAAAUACUAUAAUACUUUAAGAGUGUAUCAAUCGUCCACUCAAAGUUGACAAAAUGUAUCUGCCGUCUACCAAACCGUUACUUGACGUUUAAAUAGGAUACUGCUAGAGGGGUAAUUUGAACUUUUUAUAUGAUACAAGUGAUAAUUUAAGAAUAUAUAAGUGAUAAUAAAAUAAUUUAAUGGUAUACAAGGGAUACUUUUCAAGAGUAAAAUCGUCAAUUUGUUAUAAUUCUGUUAACUUUCAAACGACAGCUAACGGUUUGGUGGUUGACAGAUAGUUUUUGUCAAUUUAGGGUGGACGAUUGAUACACUCUCAAAGUGUUUUAGUAUUUUUGAUAACAGAGUAUCUAUAGGGUAUACAAAUAAUAAUAUCCCUAAUCAAUCCUUAAUUCAACUUAGGUUUAAGUAGUAUAUAAAAAAUCUUCUUUAUCACUCUUUUCAUUUUUAUUUAGAUUAAAAUUCAUAUAAAUAAAUAUAAAGAAUUAAUUUCAUAAUUUAUUUAAACUAAAAUUUUAUAUUAUAUUAAAUAUCCAAUUUUUAAUUCAAUAAUUUAUUUAUAUUAGAAUUGUAUACAAUAUUAAAUCCCAAAACUUUAUUUAAUAAUUUAUUUACAAUAAUAUUAAAUAUCAAAUUCAACAAUUAGUAAUAUAAUUUAAAAUAAUUAUACUAUUUUAAUAGUGAUUUAGCUAUAUUAAAUUAAAUUUAAUAUAUCCUUAUCUGAUACUAUACUAAACAAACGAUAGUACCUGAUAUAGUAGAGUCAAUCUAUUAUAAUAUAAUUUAAUCUAAUCUUAUAAAUUGGUUCAAUCUAAUCGUACAUGUCAAAUCAGUAAAUUUUAAAAAGUAAUUUUAUAACAGCUUUAAAAAAGCAUUUUUUCAGUUACGUCUAGAAAACGCGCUUUCUCGGAAAGCACUCGUGAAAUGCACAUUCUCACAAAACACGUGGUCUGUUCAAUUGGGCCACAGCCCAUUAAAACUACAACCAUGAAAGCAAGCAAUGCUCGUUGGGCUUUAGAAAAGUUAUACACGUAGCCCACCACCGGCGCCCUAAUUUGUCUUCACCUCUCAAAAUAUUAUUGAUUGAUGCAUAUGUUUCACAGCAUAGAGUGGCUUACAUUGGAGCUUUUCUGAAAAAGUGAAAAUUUCAUUUAAUUAUUUAUUAUUCACGGAUAAGAAAUUAACUUCUUCUUCUUUUUUCUAAUGCCACAAUCUGGUGAGCUUGCCUAGUGUGUUUUAGUUGGAUAAAAAUUUUUGCAAAUGUUUCUUGGCAAGGAAGCUUAAACAGUUUAACCCGAAUUUAACCUCGAAUGAACGCAAAUUAUCAAACCGAACUAAUCCGAAUUGUGAAUCUGAAUUUCAGUUCGAUUCGGUUUGGUUCGGUUCGCAUUAUCAAUCCGAACGGGUUCAAUGCUCCAAUCCGAUCGGGUUGUAACCCAAACCAAAACCCGAAAACCCGAACCGAAACCGAUUUGCCCACCCGUAAUGUGAACUGAGAAGUACCCAGAUCGUAAAAAGAAAGGUCUUGAUAAUAAUUUUGGCUAAAAAUCUGUUUUUUAACUUUUAUUUUUAUUCUUUUAUGCUGUAUUUUAGUUGUUGAAUAGGUUAUAUAUAGAAGUUCAGUUAAUUUUGUUUUGGAUGAAAAAUCAAUGAAUACUUAUGUGAUUAAUAAGUGAAAUUUUGUUUGCAUCAUGUAGUCAGCUAUAAUGCAUUGGAUGGCUUUUACUCAGCAUGGAAGAAAUGCUCUCCGGCAGAUUACUAAAGAGAGCUCUGAUCGCGUGUUGCAUCACCCAUUGCUAUUUUCUUGUCAAGGACUCAGAUACAGACGAUUGGAAGUGAUUCUAACAACAGUGAGUAAAUUGAUCUUUUGUUUUCCCUUUUCACCAGUUUGGAUCUCUUGACUAAUCAGCCUAUUUGAGUUUUAACUUGUGUAUUAAUGAUUGGUUUUAUAUGUUCAGAAAGUUGAUAAGCUUGGUAAAGCUGGUGAAACUGUGAAGGUUGCUCCAGGGUAUUUCCGCAACCACUUGAUGCCCAAAUUGCUUGCUCUUCCAAAUAUCGAGAAGUUUGCUCAUCUCAUUAGAAAGCAGCGCAGGGUAUUUGUUUUUCAUGAUUUUUCUUGGUUGAACUUUUUUUCUGUUUGGGUUGAGAAUGGUUAAUUCUAGUGAUACAGAAAUUUGCUCAUUUUCUUUAGAUACUUUGUUAGCCAUUUUGUCAAUUAAUUUGACUCAUGGCUUCAAAUUAUUGCUAAAUUCUUGGUUUGGAAAUAUUUAUGAUUUUUGAAGGGGCAUUACAAGUUAUUAAUAUUUGUUGUGCCUGUGACUUAUUUUCAUCAGAUUUGCCAGCCUUAGGAAGAGGAAGAGGUUAAAGUUAUCAGGAAGUCUGAGGAUAAUACGAGUAGAGAAUUUGAGAAGGCAGCUAGGCGCCUAGAGAAUGCUCGACUGGUUUGUGGCCUAUCUUUUAAUUUCUUCAGAUUCGGGACAUAUUGUCUUGGAGUGAACUGAUGUGUUGCCUUUUCUUUUUUUAAGCGUGAAUGAUCUAUUUGCUGCAGUAAGCAGUGAACGUCGUAAUGAAUGUUAAAUUAUGCUGUUUGUUUCGAUUUACUUUUCUAUCUUAGCUCUGUGUGAUUAGUGGAAUGCUGGUCCUGCGAGUAUAAAAAUGAACUCCUUAAGUCAAAUUCCUUCUUGGGGUGUUGGAGAAAGAACUAAAUACAUGUAAUAUUUCUUUUGGAUAUGGAUCAUCUGAUGGAUGUUGUAUUUUCUAGGUAUUGAGGAGAUUCCCUAAUAUUGAAAAAUUACGUUCCCGUGCAUCAAAAGAUGAUCCCCUAGAAUUGCGUUCACCUGUGACAAAAGAGGAGCUUGUAGCUGAGGUAUGGAUUGAAAAAUUUCUGCUAGGGUGUGAUCGUACGGUAGCCAAUUGUGAGCAACAGAUCCACAUGGUAAUAUAGAUUGAAAUUUUGCUAGCGUGUCAUGGUGUCAAGAUUGUCGCUGAUGCUCUCGUGUCUGACUGCAGCGACGCCGUUUUUGAUCUUAUAGCUCUUCCCGUAUGUAUUGCAGCUCACCUCAGCUCAUGCUAAUUUAUGUGAUGUUUGUAUAAUUAUAGAUGAUUAUUGCUGAUACUGAAUGUUAAGCUAAAUAAUUCGUCGUUAAGUCAUCUUCAUUUAAUUUUCGAUUGAAAAUGAAAAAAUAGUAAUUUUGAGCAAAGAAAAAUAUAGAAAAUGUUUUUUUUGUUUUAUUUUAAUUUUUAAUUUUUGGAGAUUUCCUUAUUGUGGGUGUUAUCAUUCAUUAUAUGGCCAUAGUUAAAUAUUUCAAGUUAUUGUAGUCAGUGAAACUCUUUUCGAUAUUUAUUCUGGCAUGUAUAUUUUUCCUUUCAAUUUCUUUUGUUGCUGAUUCUUUGAUUGAUUAUGUUAUAUCCUUUUUUUGUUUCCUUUGUAAGGUGGCAUGCCCGGUGCUACCAAUCUGAAAGAAUAUGAAGUAUUAGAAACCAUUGUGAAGAAGCAGGCUUCAGCUGGGCGUCUUUAUGCUGUUGUCUGUGCUUCACCUGCUGUGGCAUUAGGGUCUUGGGGUCUGUUGAAGGGAUUGAAGGUAAGAAUUAGAUAAGCCUUUUUUAUGUUUUGUGUUCUUUUGGGAAUUGCAUUGAUAUUUGUGUUAUACAUCAGUUUUGCUCUCACCGAUGAUUGUUAAGUUCUAAUUUAUGGGGUUAUUCAUUUUUUGUAGGCUACUUGUUAUCGGUCAUUUAUGGAGCAAUUAGCUCCUGCUUGUGCAGCAACUGUUGAAUCAAGAGUACAGCAGGAUGGUAAAGUUGUUAAGAGUCGUGGACCUGGCACUGCUAUGAUUUAAUUGUCUUGCCAGUGAGUUGGGGUGCUUACUCUUGCUUCAUAGUCUUUACCACAUUAUUGACUUACUAACUACAAUUUAUCCAUGCACAUUGCACAGGGUGGACUUGGUGGCGCUCAAGCAUUUGCGAAGUCAGAGAAAUUGGUGCAUAUGCUAAAGAAGCAAAAGGAAUCAAAUAGACCUUACGGUGCUAUAUGUGCAUCCCCAGCUUUAGUGUUGGAGCCCAAUGGCUUACCCAAGGUACGACCAUUUCUGCUUAAAUUAUUUACUCAGAUUUGGAUCACCUAAUCUGAACUUGAUGAAGGAUUAUGAUGUUGUGUGUUUUUAUGAAUGUGGUCUUAUCUCAUGUAAGUCAGUGAUGAAUUAAUUGAAGUUUGCUGACAAAUUAGAAACUGAAAAACUGCUGCUGCUUCGUUAGUUAUAUUACCCAAAGAGUUAAAAUAAACAUCCCAAAUUUUUUAUCCCAAAUGAUAUGGCAUUUAUUGAGUGAUUGGUAAUUUUUUACAAAAUCCAAAUGAAUUAAUUGUAUUAUCUAACCAACCAAUUGAUGAAUGUCACAUCAUUUGAGAUUUUGGGAUAAAGAAUAUGGGAUUUUUACCCGCAAAAAUCCCAAGUACAUCCUGCUCCUGCAAUAUCAUUGCUGUGUAUUUGUUUUCCCCUUAGACAUACUCUACAUUGGUUCAGGGUAAAAAAGCUACAGCUUUUCCUGCUAUGUGCAACAAGCUGUCAGAUCAGAGUGAAAUCGAAAACAGGGUUGUGGUUGAUGGCAACCUCAUCACCAGUAGAGGGCCAGGAACUUCUAUGGAGUUUGCACUGGCAAUUGUGGAGAAGUUUUUUGGCCGCAACAAGGCACUUGAGCUUGCAAAGAUAAUGCUUUUCACUCGCGCCUAACGUUUGUACGGGGACCUGACUACUAUUAAACUAGUGUGUUUAUUUCUGUAUUGCGACUGCUUGUAGAGAGGGGAAAUGGAAACUUGAAUUCAUGUUUGAAUAUGGAUUCACUGUGUGGGUUUGUACAGCAGUUUGGUUUAUAAAUAAAUGAGUUCAUAGAGUCACUUCAAUUAUUUGGAAUAAACCUGAGUUUAGUUCUGUUAUCAAUGGUCGGAGUCCAAUUGCGAUCGACUCACUGGGAAUUUUAAUUAUGAACUAAAAAAUUGUUAUGUUAUAUUCCACCUUUCAUAUAUAUAUAUAUAUAUCAAAUGUUAACCCGAUUUACAGGAUAAGAAGGAAAAGAAAGACGCUAAGAGAGGAGCAGAGACCCAAAAAGAGUUGACCACUUUGUUGGAACAUAAAUCUCUAGAAUAUUGAAAUAAAAAAACACAUUGCAAAAGUUGCAUUAACUACUUGUAGCAACAUCAUCCAAGAACUUGACUUUAUUCUUCUUGAGCUUCGCUGCAGCAUCUGUCAUAUGCAUUCUCUUGUCAGGUGACUCCAUACAACAGUCCAAUGCCAAAUCCAUGAUGCUUAAUAAACAAUCCAUUUUGGCAGAAAAAGCUUGCUCUUCUCGCACCAAAUUUGCGUCAACAACUUCACUCAAUCCGUGAAGUAAUGACUCCUUUACCCAUCUCCUUAAACUCAUUUCUCCUGUGAACAUUUCAUCGGUGGACCUCUUUCUCGUGAAAGUUUCCAUCAAUAACACACCAUAGCUGUAGACAUCACAUUUGGCUGAAACAAUUCCUUCUAAUCCAUACUCUGCAUUUUUUAAUUUUAAUUAUGAAACAACUGAUAAAACAAAUAAUUUUUUGACAAUUAAGGUAACCCAAACUUUGCUGUGCUUGAAAAAAGAGCAAGAUUUUUAAUUACAAUUGAAACUUUACCUGGUGCCAUAUAACCAAUUGUAGCCAUUGUCAUGGUUUCUGUCACAGAAUCUUCUCCUUCACCUAAGAGUUUGGAAAUGCCGAAGUCGCUCACAUGUGCCACCAUAUUUUCAUCCAAGAGAAUGUUGGUGGGCUUUAAAUCACAAUGAAUUAUAGGUGCCAACGAAUGACCAUGAUGGAGAUAUUCAAGAGCCGACCCCACAUCUAUCAUUAUAUUCAACCUCUGUAGAAUGUCUAAGAAAUAGUUGUGAGAAUACAACCACUUCUCGAGACUACCAUUCGGCAUGAACUCAAGUACCAAUGCUUUGAAAUCUGGAUUAGAACAACUGCUAAGGAUCUUUAUGAGAUUUCGAUGACGAACAUUCCGUAAAACUUCACAUUCAGAAUCAAAACUCCUAAAUGCUCUUUCUAGUUGCAGAUUGAAAAUCUUUACUGCAACAUUAGUCCCGUCGGAAAUGGUUCCUUUAUAAACUGAUCCAAAACUACCUGUACCAAGCAAGUUACAUUCAUUAAAUUCAUCAGUUGCUCGUUGAAUGUCUUGGUACGAUGUUCUUCUCCAUGUUGCAAGAGGUAGGAAAUCUUCGUGAUCUGAUUUUGUUGUACUCCUAUUUCGGCAUCUUAUGUACAUAAUGAUGGUAAUCACUAUAAGUACGGUGGAUACUAUCGGAGGCAAAAUAUAUUUAAGGAUAGUUAGAGCAACUUUCUUGGUUCUUUUGCUGUUAUCUUGCUUGCAAGGUGGGACUCGGAAUUUAGGUGGACCACAGAGUGCAUAAUUUCCGAAAAAUGAUUCAGCUGAGAAGUUUUUAAAAGACCCCUUAACAGGAAUUUCCCCUUCUAGCCUAUUAUGAGACGCAUUAAAUUGUUUGAGAUGUGAAAGUGUCUCCAAUGACUUGGGAAUUUUUCCAGAGAGAUUGUUGCCGGAGAGAUCUAAGGAUUCUAAGCUUAUCAAACUGCCAACUGAUUCAGGAAUAGGUCCUUGAAAUUGAUUACUAGCCAAGGAUAGAGUUUCUAGAUCUACGAGGGCACCAAUGGUUGAUGGAAUAUCACCUGAUAAUUGAUUCCUUAAUAAAUCUAAAACUCUCAAGACCUUUAACUUUUGUACAUUGGAAAGGAGAGGACCAUUAAAUGAAUUUGACGACAAGUUUAUCUCUAAGAUGUACUCAAGGCUCCACAAGGAUGACGGUAUACUAGAAGUGAGCUUGUUGGAGCCUAAGCGGAGUUCUCUUAGAGAUGUCAAACUCGCCAAGCAUGGCAGUAUAUGUCCAGAGAGCUUAUUUCCAUUUAACCUUAUUCCGUACAUCAACGCCAAGUGGCAAAGAUCAUAGGGAAUGGAUCCUUCCAAAUUAUUUUCUUCAAGAGAUAAACCUUGUAGCCGCUUAAGUCUUCCCAUCGUUGGUGAAAUAGUUCCAUUCAAGUCAUUGAAGCCGAGGCUUAAGAGGAUCAGGCCACGCAACUUACCAAUUUCUUGAGGAAUGUUGCCCUUGAGUUUGCACUCGUAUGCAUAGAAUUUUUGAAAAGAAGCAGAGAAAUUCCCAAUUACUGGCGGAAGGAUGCCGCCUAAUGGAUUAGAACCGAAGGAUAAAAAUGUUAAAUUUCUGCAAUUAGUCAAAGAAGAGAGAAAACUCCAUUGAUCUGCUGAAGAUGAUUCUGUCGUCAAGUUAUUCAUCAUAAGGCUGAGCACGCUGAGGUGUCUCAAGUUGCCAAAUGUAUUUGGAAUGUGGCCUGAGAAUGAGUUUACGCCCAAGUCUAGCAUAAUGAGUUUAGUAGCAUUGGUAAUAGAGUUGGGAAUUGUCCCCAUGAGAUUAUUGGCCCACAAGGUUAAAUACCCUAUGUUCCGAAGCGAUUGGCCAAUCGUUGACGGUAAGCGGCCUGAAAGUUGAUUGCUAAGUAGAUUAAGGAAUCUUAUGGUUGAAAUAUUGAAGAUCGUGGGUGGAAUGAGGCCACUUAAAUUAUUCACACCAAGAAUAAGACGCUCCAAAUUUUGCAGAUUGCCAAUCUCGGUUGGAAUUUCACCUGCCAUAAGGCCAACAUUGAGGAGUCAUUGAGGUUUUAGCUUACGGUAAAUUGAGUGUGACAAUGUUACCCUUGAAAAUGUAAAAGGAUCAAAUUAAAUUUAUUACAUAAUAAUUUCAGCCAAUAAUGUUCUUUAAAAUAUUUCAUAGAUAAUUCUGCAAAAUAUGCAUGCAAAUGGAAAAAUAUGCGUCAAUUAUAAGAGGUGGUGGAACGUACCUUGAAGAUUGCUGAAGCUAAGAUCCAGAUUCACGAGUUUACUCAAAUUUCCAAUCCUUGAAGGAAUAUUUCCACCAAUAAUAUUGAACCGUGCACGCAGCAUCUCUAGCCUUGAUAAGUUGAAGAGAGAAUUAGGGAUGGGUGUUGGGAAAAUAUGCUCUUUAAAAGCAUAUGUGUUUAUUUAAUUGUAAUAAACAAUUUUUCUGAUUAAUAAAAUAAAUGAGGUAUUUUAUUCAAAUAUCUUAAUUGCAUUAAUAUUUGUAUUAAAGUCCAUUUAAUCAUAUUAUAUGUAUUUAUGUGAUCACCAUGUGGAUUCACAGAAGACAUAAAUACAAGUUAUCUUAUGAUUAAAUAAAUUUAGUUCGCAGUUGAUAAAUAAAGUUGGACACUUUAUUUAGGUAUAGACUGUAAUAAAUUCAUUGAAUGAUUUGUCUUAAUCAUGUAUGAAUUUAUUAAUGUAGUACGACUACAUUGAACAGGAUCACAUAUGAGAUUUAAUUAACUUUGUAAUAACUGUCAGACUUAUUAAAUCUCAUAGGCGUUGAUUUUACUGUAAUCUUAAUCUUGAGUUAAUUAUGAUUUCAUGAUUGUAAUUGUUAUUCCAUUUGAGUUACCAAUGGGCACGACACAUUCUUGUGGUCAAGAUUACCCGAUAUCUUGGUGGGAGCAAUUAUGAGUAUUGGAGUUAUGGAUUAACAAUAUAGAAUUUGUACAACACAUCUCUUGAUGGGUUUUCGGCACUUGAUCAUAGAAUUCUCUGGCCAGAGUGUGUCAACAUAUUUAGUAUGUUGAAAAUGAUCAUUAGAGAAAACCAGUAAGGAUCAAGGAAUAAGAUGUUAUUAAAUUGAUUGGACAGUUGAGAUAUCAAUUUAAUUAACGAUGUGGUACAAAAGAUUGUGCAGUAAAGAAAUCAAUGUGGCUUGGGACGAAUUAUUAUUCGAGCAUACAAUUAUGGAAGUCAGUUCCAAUCUUUUAGUGGAGUAGAUUUGGAAUUAAAUAAUUGGGCUAGUUUAAUUACAGGCCUAAUUAUUGUAGCUACUAUUGUAUGUUCCCAAAUGAUCCCCGGGUUAGCUCAUUUAAUUGACUGCACCACUACUGGACUAAUAAGUAAGAUAACUAGCGAUUUGGGUCAAAAGCCUAAAUAUAUCAUUUAGUGGGAGGCUCCAUUUAAUUAGCUUUUGUAUAAGGGGCCUUAUGUUAUUUUACAAGGUGGGUCCCCUAUUGAAAAAGUAAAUAAACGUGAGUUUUAUUUAGGGCAUUAUUUGGAGCCUAGGGUUUUCACUAAAGGGAGAUAUAUAAGGCUUAUUUUUCCCUAAAGAAAAGUAGAGAAGCACUUUUUAUACAGAUCAGAGAAAAAGAUUUUUCUCUCCAUUGUUGAGAGAAAAAUUUUCUCGUGCUAGUUGCUUUGGUAGUGAUAAAGGCGCCCGCACGUCAAGUGCAGAUCGAACCUGAGUCAUAACCUGGAAGAUCAUUGGAGACAGUUCGUGAUCUAACAAGCGUGGUGGUGACGGAUCGUGAUCUAACAGGAGUGGUGGUGGCGGAUCGUGAUCUAGGAGCCUAAAUCACUUCAGCGGAAAAAGCCAACUCAGAUUUUCAAGGUACGAUUUCUGAAUUACGUAUUCCUAUAUAUUAUAUGAGAGCGGUCCUUAAAAGGUUUUAUAAAAAUUUUAAAAACCUGAUUUUUCCCCAACAAUGGGACCUGUGAAACUGUUAUUAUCAAGAAUCAAUAUUUGGAGGUUAGAUAAUACACCAAUCCAUGAUGGAAAGCUUCCACUCAAUUUAUUGUAAGCGAAACUCAUGACUCUGAGUCGACGUAAUUGCCCCAGUUCUUUCGGCAGAUGGCCAUGAAAAUUGUUCUCACUAAUGUCAAGAGACACUAGAAAUGAGAGAUUUCCCAAGUGUAGUGGAAUGGUGCCUCCGAGACCCAUAUCUGAAAGAUUCAAGGCAGUGACUCUUUGAUGGCGUGAACCACAAGAGAUACCAACCCAGCUACAUAUUGGAUAAGAUAUAGACCAAUUAUUUGUCAGGACACUUCGAUAAUCAACGACACGGGCUUUGAAUGCAAGAAGAGCCGAUUGAUCGGUUGUUAAGUUGCUCAAAGUCGUCAUAGCUAAGCUAGCUAUGAAAUAUUGUAACAACAACAUAGGAACAAAGAAGAAUGAUAAGCGCAUAUUGGUCUUUUUUUUUUUUUUUUAUAGAUGCAGCAAUCUAAUUGCUAAGUGAAGUUGAUACAAGUUUUAAGUGAAGGUAAUUAGCAUAUACUUAUACAAGAGACGUAUGAAUUUGAAAACAAGAAAAUAAAAAAUGUACAGGAGAGUGGAGACUUGCAAAUUGUUAUAUUCUAUCAUUGAGCGAGUCGUCCGAGUAAACGCAUAUAGAUUUUUAAAUUGUUAUACGCCGCUGUACUCGAACCCUGAAUAAAGGGCUUAUGGCACUUUACUUACCAAAAAGAAGAAGAUGCUCCACAUUGGCAAGGCCUAUGCAUUCUGUCUAUUUGUUCACAUUAUGCCGAGGCUCAUGGCAACCACAAUUGUUCUUUUCCUUUCCUUUAAAAAUAAAAAAAAGACAGACCAUGACAUUUGGGCUAAUAAUUAUCACUAAACAAUUAAUAAUGCAGAGGGUCAGUGCUAAUAUAGCUUUAAAAUAAUUGUUAUUAGUUGUGCCUUGAAAAAAAAGAAAAAAAAUAGAUAGUUGUACCCCCAUAAUUUAAUGAAAUAAUCAUGUAAAUUCCUAAGCUUUUAACAAUAUACACCAAGACCCCCUUCUGUUACUUUUUACUAUUUAUUCGGAUGUCACAUGCUUUUUUUUUAAAUUUUCACAGUGGAUAUCAAAUGCUGAAUUUACUGUUAUUCCCAGAUCAUGUCAUCGCUUACUUCUACACAUAUUGAUUGUUUUCCCAAAGUUUUAAUUGAAUUAAAAUCAUUCUAAUUAACCUAAAAAAAAAGCAUCCAACCAGAUAUAAAUUUUCUAAUUAACCUAAAUCUUCAUUUUUGUCAUGAUUUUGGAUCUCGAACAGGUUGGGUAUAUCCAACUAGACCUGCCCCAUUAGCAUGCCAAUAUAUUCUGGAAUUGGAAGAGUAUCAAGGAUUUAAUGUGUAAUUUUAAAUUUGUAACGUUUAAUUCUAAUUUGAGGAUUCAAAUUGAAAGAAUUAUAAAAAGAGUUGUUUGUUUCUUGAGGAAGUAUUAAGAAAAUUCUAGAAGAGUUGUGAAACUGAAUUCGUUAUUUUCUUAAUCACAGAAUGUUACAAACUAUGGAUAUUUAUACUUACAUUUCUCAACUUUGAUCAGUGUAACUAAUCAAAGAAUUAAUCAGCUAACUUUCAUCACAAUACAUUUUGUGUUUCUAACAAACUGUAACUAACUAAGCUGAGCUGGCAGCUACACUUCUGCAACACUCUAUAUUCUUCUUUAGCUUAAUUAAGCUUUUCCUUCCUCUGUUUCUCCUUGCUUCGUUCUCCAUAAUGAGCUACUCUAACACAAAUGAAUUUAUGCGGAUCUAAAAGGGGACUGAAGAUUGGCAUGCAUACAUACAUAAAUACAUACAUAUAUAUAUAUAUAUAUAGAGAGAGAGAGAGAGAGAGAGAGAGAGAGAGAGAGAGAGAGAGAGAGAGGUUAUAUAACAUUCUUCUUGAUGAAGAUUUUUGUGCCAUACGAAUUAAAGAGAGUAUUGGGUCGAUGGUUACAUUGCUUCAGAGGUGCUUAGUAGAAACUUUGGUGAGGCAUCACAUAAUUUAAAUUACUAGAUUUACCGAGAUAUAUAUGUAUGUAUGUAUAUAUAUUCCACAUUGGAUUUACAAGCAUUUCGAGCAGGAUAAUGAAUUUCAAUUACUCGGAAUUGUAAACAGCGAAGAAAGUGAAAUUGCUAAGAAGAUGAAUAUUGUUGUUUUGUGGUGUAUGCGGACUCGUCCAUGAACAGAGGGAUAGAAAUGUUAUUGCAAAAAAGCAGACUGACUAGCAGUGACGCUUUGAAUAAGUCCACCAAACAUCUCCUCCUCCAGGACCACCAAUAUAUUCUUCCAUCAUUCAACGUCGUGACGUGGGGAUCAGAAUUAAAUUAUAGGAUGCUUGUAAGUUUCCUUUGUGGAACCUGUGAAUUUGUGACGUCAAAAGUCAAUGAUGCAUGUAAAUAUUGAUAAACAUUUACACUAGCCGGCCCGUGUAGAGUCCGUUUGACUCAUAAAUAUUUGUCACUUUCACUCUUUUUCAAAACCCAAAAGCACGCUAAAGCUUAAUCUUUAAAGAAUUUUUGAUUGAGUGCUGACAUUUUGGGCUUAUCUUUAAGUAAUCUUAUACCACGCAUGCAUUUUUGUCAUUGUGUGAUCGUCGUUACUUCUAAAGAUUGUAAUCUUUAAGAAAUAAAUUACUUCUCUUGAGAGUGAAAGCAGGGCAGCUAUUGGCGUAUUGCAAUGCAGCUGCUAUGUAUAGUAGUCAAUUCUUGAAAAGAACUAGUUUUCUUAAAUUGUAAAUGGUCCCCUUUAUGACUGGGAGAUUUUGAACAAAAUGAAUAUGAUGAAUUCUUUCCUUGAAGUCUCAUCUUUCAUAAUGUUUUUGAAAUAAAGAUAUUACCAUCUCUGGCUAAAUGUUUACUCUUGAUUUGGACCACCUAAUCUGAACUUAAUGAAAGAUUAUGAUCUUGCCUGAUUUUAUGGAUGUGGUCUUAUCUCACUAAGUCAGUAAUGAAUUAAUUAAAGUUUACUGUCAAAUUACGAACUCAAAAACUGCUGCUGCUUCAUUAUUCACAAUACCCAAAUUCAGUGCAGAACUUAUUAUAAGCUUUCCGAAAGUUUUACGCUUUCUUUCCCCCAAAUCCCAAGUACUUCUUGUAAUAUCACUCCCCUGUAGAUGUCUUCCCCUAAGACAUGUUUAACUUUGGUUCAGGGUGACAAAGCUAUCGCUUUUCCUGCCGUGUGCAACAAGCUAUUAAAUUAGAGUAUUUAUUUCUGUAUUACUAAUAGUAGUAAGAGAGGCGAAAUGGAAACUUGAAUUCAUGUUUAUACAACAGUUUGUUUAUAAAUAAAUGAGUUGAUAACAAGUCAUUUUAAAUAUUUGCCAAAAAAAACGGUGAAUGAUGUCUAGUUCUAUUUUCAAUGUUCAGAGUCCAAUUUUGAUUACUGGAAAUUUUAAUUAUGAAGUUGAACUAAGAAUUUGUUAUAAUAUAUCAAAAACAGUAAUAACUCGAUUUACAGGGUGAGAAAGAAAAGAAAGACGCUACGAGGGAAGCAGAGAUUCAAAGACUUCGCCACUUUGUUGGAGGAACAAUUUCAUAAAUCUCCAGAAUAUUGACAUAAAACACAUACCAUAUCUAGCGUUAAGUGUAUUUAUGUAUGUCCAAAGAUAAAAAUUCGAAGAUAUAAUUUAUCAUUUCAAUUUAUGUUCUGCCCAAAGCAAUGGCUUUUAUUCCACAAGCACAAACAAGAAAGAGUACGCACAAAGUUAACAAACACACAUAGCAAACGUGACAUCAACUACUUGCAGCAGCAUCAUCCAGAAACUUCACUCUAAUCUUCUUGAGCUUUUCAGCGGCAACUUUCGUAGAUGCCCUCUGUUCUGGUGACUCCAUGCAACAAUCCAAUGCCGAAUGCAUGAUGCUUAAUAAACAAUUCAUUUUAGGAGAAAAAACUUGCUCUUCUCUCACCAAGUUUGCAUCGACAACAUCACUCAAUGCACGAGGUAAUGACUCCCUUACCCAGUCUCUUAAACUUAUUUCUCCGGUAAACAAUUCAUUUGUGGGCUUCUUUCUGGUGAAAGUUUCCAUCAAUAAAACACCAUAACUAUAGACAUCACCUUUGGCCGAAAUCAUUCCUUCUAAUCCAUACUCUCCAUUUUUUGGUUUCGAUAGAUCAAAUGGAUAUGACAUCAUAAAACAAAUGAUAAACAAAUAAUAUAUUUGACAGUCAAGAUGGCCCAAACUUUGACUGUGCUUCGAAAAGAGCGAAAAUUUGAAAUUAUAAUUGAAACCUUACCUGGUGCCAUAUAACCAGUUGUAGCCACUGUCAUGAUUUGGGUCACAGAAUCUUCUCCAUCACCUAAGAGUUCGGAGAUGCCGAACUCACAUGUGCCACCAUAUUUUCAUCCAAGAGAAUGUUGCGAGGCUUCAAAUCACAAUGAAUUACAGGUGUUGAUGAAUGAUCGUGAUGGAGAUAUUCAAGUGCCAGCCGCACAUCUAUCAUUAUAUUCAACCUCUCUAGGAUAUCUAGGAAAUAGUUGUGAGAACACAACCAUUUCUCAAGACUACCAUUGAGCAUGAACUCAAGCACCAGUACUUUAGAAUCUGGAUUGCAACAGCUGCUAGUGAUCUUUGUGAGAUCUUGAUGACGAACAUUCCACAAUACUUCACAUUCAGAAUCAAAACUCCUAAAGGCUCUCUCUAGCUGCAGAUUGAAAACCUUUAUUACAAUAAUAGUCACAUCAUAAAGUGUGCCUUUAUAAACAGAUCCGAAGCUCUCCGUACCUAGCAGGAUACAUUCACUAAAUCCAUCAGUUGCUCGUUGAAUAUCAUGAUAGGAUAGUCUUCUAUAUGUUGUCGAAGAGAACAAAUCUUCUUUAUCUGGAGUUCUUGUUUUCCUAUUUUGAAAUAUUAUGAAGAAUCAUAACAAUUGUUAUUAGUGCAUUGGAUAUAAUCGAAGGCAAAGUAUAUUUCAGGACAAGCAGAGUAGCAUUCUUGGAUCCUUUGCUAUUAUCUUCUUUGCAAGGUGGGACUUGAAGGCCUGGUGGACCACAUAGUGCAUAAUUCUCAAAAAACGAUUGAGCUGAAAUGUUUUUAAAAGGUCCUUUGAUAGGAAUUACCCCUUCUAGCCUAUUGUGAGACACAUUAAGUUGUUUGAGAUAUGAGAGUGCCUCCAUUGACUUUGGAAUUUCUCCAGAGAGAUUGUUGCUAGGGAGAUCCAAAGAUUCCAACCUUAUCAAACUACUAAAUGAUUUAGGGACCAGACCAUAAAAGUGGUUUCUAGCCAAGGAUAAAGUUGCUAGAUCUUUGAGGCCACCAAUACUUACUGGUAUAUCACCUGAUAAUUGAUUUCUUGAUAAAUCAACUCUAUUAAGACCUUUAAGUUUUGUAUAUCUGAAGAUAGAGGACCACUUAGAGAAUUUGUCGACAAGUUUACAUACAAGAUGUACUCAAGAUUCCACAAGGAUGAUGGGAUACUAGAAGUGAGCGUGUUGUAGCUUAAAAAGAGUGUUUUUAAGGAAUUGAAUAUCUAAAAUCUUGUAUGUAAAUAUUAACACUUAGAGAAUUUGUCGACAAGUUUUUAAGGAUUUACUGAUUAAAUAAUUUUUCAAUUUGUUUGCCUGGAGGAAUUGAAUAGUUAACUGAUUAAAGGAUUUCAAGGUGGUUAGGUCUAGCCGAGCAUUGUAAAUAUUAACAGUCAUUAUGAAUGUGUAAUUCCUAUAUGUGAAAUUGAAUUUCCAUGGUAGAAUGGUAAAUUUCUGGUAGGGUGUGAUUGUAUGGUAGACAAUUGUGAGCAACAGAUCCACAUAGUAAUAUAGACUGAAAUUUUGCGUCUUAAUCCAUGAAGAGAUAUAGAUUUUGGCAAAUAUUAUACAAGCACUUGGGGCAGGGGUGGCUUUAGGUAUAGGCGAAUAAGGCAGUUGUCUAAGGCCCCAUAUUUUGUGAAGGCCUCAUUUUUUUUAAAUUACGUAUUUUAGGAAAUCAAAAAGUUUAUUAACAUCUCUCUAAUUUAUUAAUUAUCCUAUAGUUAAGAAUUAUUUUUUAUGAAAAAUUUAUAUUUGAUAACAUUAAGUUAAAGAGAUAUAACUAAUAAUAUUAUUUAAUUAUUAGUAUUUCCAAAAAAAAUUAAAUUAUUAGUCUUUUCAAUUUCCUAAAAAAAAUAAUUAUUUAAUGUUAGAAUCUUUGACUUUUAGUAUUUCUUUUACUUUCUAUUAAAAACUUUGUAAUCUCAAAAAUCAGUAAAUCAAAAAAUUUCUUCCUCUCUUCUCUACAAAGAAAAUUAUUAUAUUCAUUGGUUCAUUUAAAAAAAAAUCAGUUUAUAGAAAUAUAAAGUCCAUUUCUAUUAUCUGAUCAUUAAUUCAUCAUCUCAACUUUUUAUAUUCUAUCAUUCUAAAUAUAUUAUUUGAAAAUAAUAUUAUUCUUAUUUAUUUGUUUGUUUAUUUUGUAAUAGUUUUAAUGGAAUAAAAAUGAUAUCUUCUUAACUUUUUUUAGGUUUUAUUUUUAAAAUUCAAGAAUUAAAAAUGGAAUAAAUUUUGAGCCUUUUUUUAAAAUUUCUUUGAGUAUUGAAAUUGCAAUUUUUUUUUUAAAUUUCUUUGAGUAUUGAAAUUGCAAUUUCUUUUUAAAAUUUCUUUGAGUAUUGAAAUUACAAAAUAAAUAGAGGCCUCAUAAAAAAAUUUCGCCUAAGGUCCCAAACACUCUAAAGCCGGCCUUGACUUGGGGUUACCUUAAAUAUUAUGGACUUGUCAUUGAUCAUUGAUAGAGUUUCUUUUACCUAGUUAUUGAUAUUUCUUUCAAUUUUCUAUUUUACUGAUACCACAAUUUUAGGUGGCAAGACAACUUUCGAUUUCUAUUAAGCCUGAAAACCUGCAUCUACCAUCACCUCUGUCUGCUUUUGGGGAAUACGAGUUUCCUAUGCGCUUACCCAAAAUACGAGGUCCAGUGGACUCUCAAUGUUAAAGUCCACGGCAAAUAAACAAUCGUUUCAUUUGUUUUGUAUCCAAAUUCCAAAUUCCAUUGAAGAUAAUACAGGCAACAUUGUUUGCAACGCCACAGCUAAUUUGCAGUAGGAUGAAACAAUCAGAAUUUUGCCUUUUUCGUGUAUAAAAUUUUAUUUUUUUAAUUGUGAUAUUACAGUUUUGCCCAUCAAGCAUUAUGAAGCUUAAUAUUUAGAUAAAUGUUAGGUUUAAUCUAUAAAUUUUAACUUCAGUGUUUAUUUAAUUUUUAUAUUUUGUAAAAUAUCUCAAGACAGCCCUAUUCUCAAAUAUUGGCUUGAUCCGUAUAUAUUAACAUCAGUGCUUAUUUAGGUUUUAUAUUUUACAAAAUACUUUAAGGCAGUUCUAUUAUCAAAUAUGUUAUGCUCUUGCUUUCAUUUUUUCUUUGUUUUUAUAAUAAUACUCUGAUAACAAAAUUUUUUUACAUUAAUUUUUUAAUCAAUAAAAAAGGUAACUACCAAAUUAACCGAUAAAUUAAUUUGUUUAUUUUUUUAAUCAAUAAAAAAUUUAAUUAAUAUUAAUUAAUAAAUUACUUGGUAGCAAAUUAAAAAAUAAAUAUUAGCAUAAAACAAUUGAUAUUUUUCAUUCUCUUACAACAAUCUUACUAAUUAUUAUUUAUAAAUUAAUUAAUACAAGUUAAUUUAAAGUAAUGUUUAAUAUUCUUGUAACAAUCUUACUAAUAAUUUUUUUUGUAAAAAAUAAUUUAUUAAAUUAAUCCUAAAAGUAAAAUAAUAAUAAUUAAUUUAUAAUUUAUUUUUAAGGUUAAUUUGAUAAAUUCAAAUUUUUUUAAUUAAUAUCUCCAAAAAUAUAGUUGCAACGAUAUUAUUACAAAAGUUAAAAAAAAGUAAAUAUAGGAUUGUAAUAUAACUGUCAGUGAAAAUAAUUUAAAAUAUUUUUUAUAAUUAAACGGACAUUUAAUUAAAAAUAUAAAGAACUAAAUAAACAUGUAUUUUGUAACAUUUCAACCUGCUGGCUAAUGGUCAUACAAUCAUGGUGAGGCCCGGGAUGUCCGGCCCAGCCCAUCAUGUAAAAAGCCAUGUCACCCUUAUUCUUAAGCUGCUACUGCAUUGCCACUUUGCCAGUUGCCACGAAGCUCCCCACAUCACACCGCACUGAUGCCUCUAGAAAACUAACUUAAAAAAAUGGUAUUAAUAAGCGUUCGCCACGUCACUCCUCACUCUCUUCUUCGUCACUUUCCUCUCACUCAACAUUUUCUCCCCAAACAAAUUCCUGCUUUGAAAAAUCGCAUUUUCUCCUUCACAGCAACAGCUACAAUGUCUUCAACUUCCAAAAAGGUAAUUAUUUUAUUUUAUUUUUUGUUUAGUUUCUUUCUGUUGCCUUUUUGUUUCGUUUUUGAAUUUUCCGUGUCGUUUUUUUCCAAGGUUUUGGUGCCUGUUGCGAACGGGAGUGAGCCGAUUGAGGCUUUGAUAACGAUCGAUGUUUUGAGAAGGUCUGGAGCAGACGUCGCGGUUGCGUCUGUGGAGACACAGCUUCGUGUCGACGCGUGUCAUGGUGUCAAGGUUGUCGCUGAUGCUCUGGUGUCUGACUGCCGCGACGCCGUUUUUGAUCUUAUAGCUCUUCCCGUAUGUAUUGCAGCUCGCCUUAGCUCAUGCCAAUUUAUGUGAUGUUUGUAUAAUUAUAGAUGAUUAUUGCUGAUCCUGAAUGUUAAGCUAAAUAAUUCGUCGUUAAGUCAUCUUCAUUUAAUUUUCGAUUGAAAAUGAACUAAUAAUAAUUUUAAGCAAAGAAAAAAAAUGGAAAAUGUUUAUUUUGUUUUAUUUUUAUUUUUUAAUUUUUUGGGAUUUCCUUAUUGUGGCUGUUACCAUUCAUUAUGUGGUCCUAGUUAAAUAUUUCAAGUUGUUGUAGUCAGUGAAAUUCUUUUCGAUAUUUAUUCUGGCAUGUAUGUUUUUCCUUUUCAAUUUCUUUUGUUGCUGAUUUUUUGGUUAUGUUAUAUCCUUUUUUAUUUCCCUUGUAGGGUGGCAUGCCCGGUGCUACCAAUCUGAAAGAAUCUGAAGUAUUAGAAAGCAUUGUGAAGAAGCAGGCUUCAGAUGGGCGUCUUUAUGCUGCUAUCUGUGCUUCACCUGCUGUGGCGUUAGGGUCUUGGGGUCUGUUGAAGGGAUUGAAGGUAAGAAUUAGAUAAACCUUUUUGAUGUUUUGUGGUCUUUUGGGAAUUGCACUGAUAUUUUUGUUAUAGUUCAGUUUUCUUCUGGCUGAUGAUUCUUAAGUUCUAAUUUAUGUAGUUGUUCAUUUUUCGUAGGCUACUUGUUAUCCAUCAUUUAUGGAGCAAUUAGCUCCUGCUUGUGCAGCAACUGUUGAAUCAAGAGUACAGCAGGAUGGUAAAGUUGUUACGAGUCGUGGACCGGGCACUACCAUGGAGUUUGUCGUUGCACUUGUUGAGCAGUUGUAUGGGAAAGAGAAAGCUGAUGAAGUUUCUGGGCCACUGGUAUUAACUUUUAUAGAUAACGUUGUUUAAAAAAAUUAUGAGUUAUAUAAUUUGUGGAAAUCCAUUCUAAUAGAUUCAUUUGGUGUGUCUAGUUGGAAGUUUCAGAGGCUAAUGUAUUCAAGAAAAUAAGUUCAGGGGAAGAGUAUGACUUUUUGCAUUAGUGAUUCAUUAGAUGAAAUUGCAUACCUGCUGGUCCAUCAUAAGGUGGUGAAAACAAUGUUUGAUUUAAUUAAUGGGAUCCUGAAAUAUGCAUUUGUUGAGCUUCAAUGUCUCCACUGAUAAAAUUCUUUUUAAUGUAAGUUCUUUCUCUUGGUAUUUGUAUUUGAAUUUUCUGUUCCUCAUGCUUUCGUCUUUACUGUCACCUUGUGCCUAGGUAAUGCGUGCAAAUCAUGGAGAUGAAUACACUAUUGCUGAGUUCAAUCCAAUUCAGUGGACAUUUGACAAUUCUCCCCAGGUGAGAUUGGACUGUUAGUUUCUUGUAUUUGUUUUUCUUCUUCCAUGUUUUGAGGGAUACCCAUUUGGUAGUAAAUAAAAAUUUGUGAUAUCUUCUAUACAUGUACAUAUACAUCAUUGACUUCACUCAUUUGUGAACAUAUUGGAGGUAGCAGAUAUAUUUUUAUGAUAAAUCCAAAGUUUGAUCAACUACAAAAGAAGUAUGAGCGUUGCUGGACCAGGGGGGAAGGUUGAGGGUGGAUGGGCUGGGGGUGUACGGCGCAUGAACAAAAGGAAAUUAUAGGGGUGAAAGUUCAUGCCAUCCACAAGUUGUAAAAUGGGUACAUAAUAUUUCAAAUUAGAGAUUGUGAGAUCCUUAAAGAUUGCUGACUUGUGCUUAAAAUGGAACUCUUGAUAACUUCAAAUGUUAUAAGUUCUUGGUGAAAUUUUGUGCUUUCUUUUCUUUCAGAUUCUUGUGCCUAUUGCGAAUGGUUCAGAGGAGAUGGAAGCUGUUAUGAUAAUUGAUAUUCUGCGACGAGCUAAAGCAAACGUUGUGGUUGCAUCGGUUGAGGAUAAACUAGAAAUUCUGGCUUCUCGUCAAGUUAAAUUAGUGGCAGAUGUGCUCAUUGAUGAGGCAGCUAAACUUUCGUAUGAUUUAAUUGUCUUGCCAGUAAGUUGUGGUGCUUACUCUUGCUUCAUAGUCUUUACCACAUUAUUGACUAACUAACUACAAUUUAUCUAUACACAUUGCGCAGGGUGGACUUGGUGGCGCUCAAGCAUUUGCGAAGUCAGAGAAAUUGGUGAAUAUGCUAGAGAAGCAAAAGGAAUCAAAUAGACCUUACGGUGCUAUAUGUGCAUCCCCAGCUUUAGUGUUGGAGCCCCAUGGCUUACUCAAGGUACGACAUUUCUGCUUAAAUUAUUUACUCAGAUUUGCAUCACCUAAUCUGAACUUAAUGAAAGAUUAUGAUGUUGUAUGAUUUUAUGAAUGUGUUCUUAUAUCAUGUAAGUCAGCAAUGAAUUAAUUGAAGUUUGCUGACAAAUUAGAAGCUCAAAAACUGCUGCUUCUUCAUUAGUUAAUUACCCAAAGAGUUAAGAUAGGCAUCCCAAAUUUGUUAUCCCAAAUGAUAUGGCAUUUAUUGAGUGAUUGGUAUUAAUUGUAUUAUCUAACCCACCAACAGAUGAAUGCCGCACCAUUUGAGACGAUCUUUUGGGAUAAAAAAUUUGGGAAGUGUAGCAAAUUUUUAUGCUGAUUUUUUUGGCUUCAUUCAUGUAAACUCCCCCCCCCCCCCCCCCCAAAAAAAAAGGAAAAAACCAACAAACACCCAAAAAAAAAAAAUUCUGAAGUACUUCCCGUAAUAUCAUUCCUGUGUAUUUCUUUUCCCCUCAAGACAUAUUUAACUUUGGUUCAGGGUAAAAAAGCUACAGCUUUUCCUGCCAUGUGCAACAAGCUGUCAGAUCAGAGUGAAAUCGAAAACAGGGUUGUGGUUGAUGGCAACCUUAUCACCAGCAGAGGGCCAGGAACUUCUAUGGAGUUUGCACUGGCAAUUGUGGAGAAGUUUUUUGGCCGCAACAAAGCGCUUGAGCUUGCAAAGAUAAUGCUUUUCACUCGCACCUAAAGUUUUUACUGAAACCUGCCUACUAUUAAACUAGAGUAUUUAUUUCUGUAUUACUACUGCUUGUAGAGAGUGGAAAUGGAAACUUGAAUUCGUGUUUGAAUAUGGAUUCACUGUGCGGGUUUGUACAACAGUUCGUUUAUAAAUAAAUGAGUUCAUAGUCAUUUUGAAUAUUUGGAAUAAGCGUGAUUGCUGUUGAGUUCUGUUAUCAAUGUUCGGAGUCCAAUUGUGGUUGAGAGGGAUAUAAUUACCGUUACUGGGAAUUUUAGUUGUGAACUAAAAAUUUGUUAUAUUACAUUCCACCUUUCUACAGAAUCCUUUGGAAUAAUAAAUAUACAUCAAAUAAUAACUCGAUUUUCGGGAUAAGAAGGAAAAAAAAAAAAAGCAGAGACUGAAAAGAACAGAAUUGGCCGUUUUGUUGGAGCAUAAAUCUCUAGAAGAUUGAAAUAAAACAGAUACCAUAUCUAGUUUCAAGUAUGUUUAUGCAAGAAUAUACAAAUUUGAAGAUUAGAUUUCUCAUUUCAAUUUAUGUUCUGCUCAAAGCAAUGGCUCUUAUUCCACAGGCACAAACAGGAAAGAGUACGCACAAAGUAACAAGCACACUUAGCGUAUGUUGCAUUAACUACUUGCAGCAACAUCAUCCAGGAACUUCGCUUUGAUCUUCCUGAGCUUUGCUGCAGCGUCUGUCAUAUGUAUCCUCUUGUGAGGUGUGUCCAUACAACAAUCCAAUGCCAAAUCCAUGAUGCUUAAUAAACAAUCCAUUUUGGCAGAAAAAGCUUGCUCUUCUCGCACCAAAUUUGCAUCAACAACUUCGGUCAAUCGGUGAGGUAGUGACUCCUUUACCCAUCUCCGUAAACUCAUUUCUCCUGUGAACAUUUCAUCGGUGGGUUUCUUUCCCGUGAAAGUUUCCAUCAAUAAAACACCAUAACUGUAGACAUCACAUUUGUUUGAAACAAUUCCUUCUGAGCCAUAUUCUGCAUUUUUUAAUUUCAAUGUUUCAAGUAGAUAUGUCAUUAUGAAACAACUAGAAAAAGCAAAUAAUUUUGUGAUAAUUAAGGUAAUCCAAAGUUUGCUCGUGCUUGAAAAAAGAGCAAAAAUUUUAAUUACAAUUGAAACUUUACCUGGUGCCAUAUAACCAAUUGUAGCCAUUGUCAUGGUUUGUGUCACAGAAUCUUCUCCUUCACCUAAGAGUUUGGAAAUGCCAAAGUCGCUCACACGUGCCACCAUAUUUUCAUCCAAGAGAAUGUUGGUAGGCUUCAAAUCACAAUGAAUUAUAGGUGCCGACGAAUGACCAUGAUGGAGAUAUUCAAGAGCUGACCCCACAUCUAUCAUUAUAUUCAACCUCUGUAGAAUGUCUAAGAAAUAGUUGUGAGAAUACAACCACUUCUCAAGACUACCAUUUGGCAUGAACUCAAGUACCAAUGCUUUGAAAUCUAGAUUAGAACAGCUGCUAAGGAUCUUUAGGAGAUUUCGAUGACGAACAUUCCGUAGAAUUUCACAUUCAGAAUCAAAACUCCUAAAUGCUCUCUCCAAUUGCAGAUUGAAAAUCUUAAUUGCAACAUUAGUCCCAUCAGAAAGGGUUCCUUUAUAAACUGAUCCAAAACUGCCUGUACCAAGUAAGUUGCAUUCAUUAAAUUCAUCAGUUGCUCGUCGAAUGUCUAAGUACGAUGUUCUUCUCCAUGUUGCGCGAGGCAAAAAAUCUUCAUGAUCCAAAUGCUUUGUACUCCUAGUUCGGCAUCUUAUGUACAUAAUGAUGAUGAUCGCUACAAGUGCAGUGGAUAGUAUCGAAGGCAAAAUAUAUUGAAGGACAAUUGGAGCAACUUUAUUGGUUGUUUUUCUGUUAUCUUGCUUGCAAGGUGGGACUUGGAGUCUAGGUGGACCACAGAGUGCAUAAUUCCCAAAAUAUGAUUGAGCUGAGAAGUCUUUAAAAGACCCCUUGACAGGAAUUUCCCCUUCUAGCCUAUUGUGAGAUACAUUAAACUGUUUGAGAUGUGAAAGUGCCUCCAAUGACUUAGGAAUUUUUCCAGAGAGAUUGUUGUUAGAGAAAUCUAAGGAUUCUAAGCUUAUCAAACUGCCAACUGAUUCAGGAAUCGGACCCUGAAAUUGAUUACCAGCCAAGGAUAGAGUUUCUAGAUUUUUGAGGGUACCAAUGGUUGAUGGAAUAUCACUUGAUAAUUGAUUUCUUGAUAAAUCUAAAUCUAUCAAGACCUUUAACUUUUUUAUAUUCGAAGGGAGAGGACCCUUUAAUGAAUUUGACGACAAGUCUAUACGCAAGAUGUGUUCAAGACUCCACAAAGAUGAUGGUAAACUAGAGCUGAGCUUAUUGGAGCCUAAGUAGAGGCUUCUUAGAGAAGUCAAACUCGCCAAGCAUUGUGGUAUAGUUCCGGAGAGCUUAUUUCCACCUAAGCUUAAUAUAUUCAACCUCUCCAAAUGGCAAAGAUAAUUGGGAAUGGAUCCUUGCAAAUUAUUCUUAUAGAGAUAUAAACCUUGCAGCUGUUGUAAUUUUCCCACAGAUGCUGGUAUGGUGCCAUUCAAGUCAUUGUUGACGAGGUUUAAAAGUACCAAGCCACGUAAAUUACCAAUUUCUUUUGGAAUGCUGCCCCCGAGUUUGCACUCUAAUGGAAAGAAUCUUUGAAGAGAAGCAGAGAAAUUUCCAAUUAAUGGUGGAAGGAUGCCACCUAAUGGAUCAUAAGCUAAGGCUAGUUUUUCUAGAUUUCUGCAAUUAGUCAAAGAAGAAAGAAAACUCCACUGAUCUGCUGAAGAUGAUUCUGUCGUCAAGUUAUUCCUCAUAAGGUUGAGGGUGCUGAGGUGUCUCAAGUUGCCAAAUGUAUUUGGGAUAUGGCCCGAGAAUGAGUUAGAGCUCAACUCUAGGCCAAUGAGUUUAGAAGCGUUGGUAAUAUAGUUGGGAAUUGUUCCUAUAAGAUUAUUGCGCGCCAAGAUUAAAUACUCUAUGUUCCGAAGCGAGUGGCCAAUCGUUGAUGGUAAGCGGCCUGAGAGUUGAUUGCCAAGCAGAUUAAGGUGUCCUAUGGUUGAACUAUUGAAGAUCGUGGGUGGAAUGAGGCCACUUAAAUUAGUGUCACCAAGAACAAGAUACUCCAAAUUUUGUAGAUCGCCAAUCUCGGUUGGGAUUUCACCUGCCAUAAGGCUAACAUUGAGGAGUUUUACCAAAAAAUAAAAUAAAAACAUUUCAUAGAUGAUUCUGUAAAAGAGUUUGACAAAAAAAAAUUGAGCUUUUAGCUUAAGGUAAAUUGAGUUUGACAAUGUUACCCUUCAACAUGUAAAAGGAUCAAAUUAAAUUUAUUACAUAAUAAUUUCAGCCAAUAAUGUUCUUUAAAAUAUUAAUUUCAUAGAUAAUUCUGCAAAAUAUGCAUGAAAAUGGAAAAAUAUGCUUCAAUUACAAGAGGUGGUGGAACGUACCUCGAAGAUUGCUGAAACGCAGAUCCAGAUUCACGAGUUUACUCAAAUUUCCAAGCCUUAAAGGAAUAGUUCCACCAAAAAUAUUGAACCGUGCACGCAGCGUCUCUAGCCUUGAUAAGUUGAAGAGAGAAUUAGGGAUGGGACCUGUGAAACUGUUAUUAUCAAGAUUCAAUAUUUGGAGGUUAGAUAAGACACCAAUCCAUGAUGGAAAGCUUCCGCUCAAUUUAUUGAAAGCGAAUCUCAUGACCCUGAGUCGACGUAAUUGCCCCAAUUCUUUCGGCAGAUGGCCAUGAAAAUUGUUCUUCCUAAUGUCAAGAGACACUAGAAAUGAGAGAUUUCCCAAGUGUUGUGGAAUGGUGCCUCCGAGACCCAUAUCUGAAAGAUUCAAGGCAGUGACUCACUGACUCUUUGAUGGCGUGAACCACAAGAGAUACCAACCCAGCUACAUAUUGGAUAAGAUAUAGCCCAAUUGUUUGUCAGGACACUUCGAUAAUCAACGACACGGCUUUGAAUGCAAGAAGAGCCGAUUGAUCUGUUGUUAAGUUGCUCAAAGUCGUCAUAGCUAAGCUAGCUAUGGAAUAUUGUAACAACAACAUAGGAACAAAGAAGAAUGAUAAGCGCAUAUUGGUCGUUUUUAGUAGUAGUUGCAAGGCAAGAUUGAUAGAAGUUUUAAGUGACGGAAAUUAGCAUAUACUUAUACAUGAGACAUAUGAAUUUGAAAAUAAGUGCAGAAAAAAUAUACAGGGGACUUGCAAAUUGUUAUAUUCUGACAUUGAGCGAGCCGUCGAAGUAAACGUAUUUACACUUGAACCCUAAAUAAAGGCACUGUGGCACUUAAUUGCCAAAAGGAAGAAGAUGCUCAACAUUGGCAACGCGUAUGCAUUUGUUCUCACUAUGCUAAGGCUUAUGGCAACCACAAUAUGUUCUUUUUCUUUUCUCUAAAAAUAAAAAAAGGCGACCUUCACUUGACUUGGUCUAAUAAUUAUCACAAAACAAUUAAUAAUGCAAAGGGUCAGUGGCACCCAACUUUAAAAUAACAACGUAAUUAUUGUUAGUUGUCUUAGAGAUAAAGGAAAAAGAUAGCUAUACCUCCAUAAUUUGAUCAAAUAAUUAAAUAAAUUUUUAAUCAAGAUUCUAUUUUAUUACUUUUUACAGUUUAUUUGGAUGUCAAAUACAAAAUUUACUGUUAUUCCAAUAUCAUGUCAUCACUUGCUUCUAUACAUGGAAUGAUAUAUUGACUGUUUUUCCAAAGUUUUAAAUUGAACUAAAAGCAUUCUAAUUAACCUUAAAAAAAAUCAUCCAACCAGAUAUAAAUCUUCUAAUUAACCUAAAGAUACCCAUAUUAAUUCCAGUUAAAUAAAUCUUCAUUUUUUUCAUGGUUUUGGAUCUCGAGCAGGGUGGAUAUAUCCAACUAGAUCCGCCCCAUUGGCAUUCCAAUAUAUUCUGGAAUUGGAAGAGUAUCAACGACUUAAUGUGUAAUUUUAAAUUUGUAACGUUUAAUUCUAAUUUGAGGAUUCAAAUGAAUUUAUGCGGAUCUAAAAGGGGACUGAAGAUUGGCAUGCAUACAUACAUGCAUUAAAUAUAUUUACGUAUAAAGAGAGAGAGAGAGAUAAUAUAACAUUCUUCUUGAAGAAGAUUUUUGUGCCAUACGAAUUAAAGAGAGUAUUGUGUCGAUGUUGGAGGCUAGAGGGACAAUUGGUUACAUUGCUUCGGAAGUGUUUAAAUUACUAGAUUUAGCGAGAUAUAUAUAUAUAUAUUUUCCACAUUGGAUUUACAAGCAUUUCGAGCAGGAUACUGAAUUUCAAUUACUCGGAAUUGUAAACAGCGAGGAAGGUGGAAUUGUAAACUUACUCGCAAGCAUUUUGUGGUGUAUACGGACUUGUCCAUCGGAUAGGUCGCCCAUGAACAGAGUGAUGGAAAUGUUAUUGCGAAGAAGCAGACUGACCAGCAGUGACGCUUUGAAAAGUCCACCAAACAUCUUCUCCUCCAAGACCACCAAUAUAUUCUUCCACCAUUUCAACGUCGUGACGUGGGGAUCAGAAUUGAAUUAUAGGAUGCUUGAAAGCUUCCUUUGGGGAACUUGUGAAUUUGUCAUGGCAAAAGUCAAUGAUGCAUGUAACUAGCUAGCCCGUGUAGAGUCCGUUUGACUCAUAAAUAUUUGUCACUUUCACUCUUUUUCAAAACCCAAAAGCACGCUAAAUCUUAAUCUUAAAAGAAUUUUUUAAGUAAUCUUUUACCACGCAUGCAUUUAUGUCAUUGCGCGGUCAUCGAUUACUUCUAAAGAUCGUAAUCUUUAAGAAAAAAUUACUUCUCUUGAAAGUGAAAGCACGGCAGCUAUUGUCGUAUUGCAAUGCAGCUGCUAUGUGUAGUAGCCAAUUCUUGGAAAGAACUAGUUUUCUUAAAUUGUAAAUGGUCCCCUUUAUGAUAUGAUGAAUUUGAUGAAUAUGAUGAAUUCUUUGCAAGUGUUGUUCCUUGAAGUCUCAUCUUUCACAAUGUUUUUGAAAUACUAAAUAUUCACUCUUGAUUCGGACCACCUAAUCUGAACUUGAUGAAAGAUUAUGAUCUUGCCUGAUUUUAUGGAUGUGGUCUUAUCUCACGUAAGUCAGUAAUGAAUUAAUUAAAGUUUACUGUCAAAUUACGAACUCAAAAACUGUUGCUGCUUCAUUAUUCACAAUGCCCAAAUUCAGUGCAGAACUUAUUAUAAGUUUUCCAAAAGUUUUAUGCUUUCUUUCCCCCAAAUCCCAAGUACUUCCUGUAAUAUCAUUCCCCUAAGACAUGUUUAACUUUGGUUCAGGGUAACAAAGCUAUAGCUUUUCCUGCCAUGUGCAACAAGCUAUUAAAUUGAAGUAUUUAUUUCUGCAAUACUACUACUAACUAGUAAGAGAGGCGAAAUGGAUACUUGAAUAUAUGUUUUAGUUUGUUUAUAAAUAAAUGAGUUGAUAAUAAGUCAUUUUAAAUAUUUGCAAAAAAAAAAAACGGUGAGUGAUGUCUAGUUCUAUUUUCACUGCUCAGAGUCCAAUUUUGAUUACUGGAAAAUUUAAUUAUAAAGUUGAACUAAGAAUUUGUUAUAAAAUAUUCCACCUUCAUAUACAGUCAUCUGGAAUAAUAAUAUAUAAAAAACAGUAAUAACUCGAUUUACAGGGUGAGAAAGAAAAGAAAGACGCUACGAGGAAAGUAGAGAUUCAAAGACUUCACAACUUUGUUGGAUGAAAAAUUUCAUAAAUCUACAGAAUAUUGACAUAAAAUACAGAACAUAUCUAGCAUUAAGUAUAUUUAUGUAUGUCCAAAGACAAAAAUUCGAAGAUUAGAUUUAUCAUUUCAAUUUAUGUUCCGCCCAAAGCAAUGACUUUUAUUCCAUAAGCACAAACAAGAAAGAGUACGCAACGUUAACAAACACACAUAGCAAACAUGACAUUAACUACUUGCAGCAGCAUCAUCCAGAAACUUCACUAUAAUCUUCUUGAGCUUUUCAGCGGCAUCUUUCGUAGAUGCCCUUUGUUUUGGUGACUCCAUGCAAAAAUCCAAUGCCGAAUGCAUGAUGCUUAAUAAACAAUUCAUUUUAUUAGUACAUUGGAUAUAAUCGAAGGCAAAGUAUAUUUCAGGACAAGCAGAGUAGCAUUCUUGGAUCCUUUGCUAUUAUCUUCUUUGCAAGGUGGGACUAGAGGUCCUGGUGGAUAACAUAGUGCAUAAUUCUCAAAAAAUGAUUGAGCUGAAAUGUUUUUAAAAGGUCCUUUGAUAGGAAUUCCCCCUUCUAGCCUAUUGUUAGACACAUUAAGUUGUUUGAGAUAUGAGAGUGCCUCUAUUGACUUUGGAAUUUCUCCAGAGAAAUUGUUGCUAGGGAGAUCCAAAGAUUCCAACCUUAUGAAACUACCAAAUGGUUUAGGGAUCAGACCAUAAAAUUGGUUUCUAACCAAGGAUAAAGUUGCUAGAUCUUUGAGGCCACCAAUAUUUACUGGUAUAUCACCUGAUAAUUGAUUUCUUGAUAAAUCUAACUCGAUUAAGACCCUUAAGUUUUGUAUAUCUGAAGAUAGAUGAUCACUUAGAGAAUUUUUUGACAAGUUUACAUACAUGAUGUACUCAAGACUCCACAAGGAUGAUAGGAUACUAGAAGUGAGCGUGUUGGAGAUUAAAAAGAGUGUUCUUAGAGAAGUCAGACUGCCCAAGAAUUGCGGUAUAUGUCCAAAGUGCUUAUUUUCAUUUAAAAUAAACCAGUCAACCGCUCCAAGCGGCAAAGAUCAUUGGGAAUGUAUCCUUGCAAAUUAUUGGCAUCGAGAUAUGAAACUUGUAGUGUCUUUAACGUUCCCAUUGAUGCUGGAAUAGUUUGGUCCAAAUGAUAAAGAAAAGAAAGACGCUACGAGGGAAGCAGAGAUUCAAAGACUUCGCCACUUUGUUGGAGGAACAAUUUCAUAAAUCUCCAGAAUAUUGACAUAAAACACAUACCAUAUCUAGCAUUAAGUGUAUUUAUGUAUGUCCAAAGAUAAAAAUUCGAAGAUUAAAUUUAUCAUUUCAAUUUAUGUUCUGCCCAAAGCAAUGGCUUUUAUUCCACAAGCACAAACAAGAAAGAGUACGCACAAAGUUAACAAACACACAUAGCAAACGUGACAUCAACUACUUGCAGCAGCAUCAUCCAGAAACUUCACUCUAAUCUUCUUGAGCUUUUCAGCGGCAACUUUCGUAGAUGCCCUCUGUUCUGGUGACUCCAUGCAACAAUCCAAUGCCGAAUGCAUGGUGCUUAAUAAACAAUUCAUUCUGGUGAAAGUUUCCAUCAAUAAAACACCAUAACUAUAGACAUCACCUUUGGCCGAAAUCAUUCCUUCUAAUCCAUACUCUCCAUUUUUUGGUUUCGAUAGAUCAAAUGGAUAUGACAUCAUAAAACAAAUGAUAAACAAAUAAUAUUUUGACAGUCAAGAUGGCCCAAACUUUGACUGUGCUUCGAAAAGAGCGAAAAUUUGAAAUUAUAAUUGAAACCUUACCUGGUGCCAUAUAACCAGUUGUAGCCACUGUCAUGAUUUGGGUCACAGAAUCUUCUCCAUCACCUAAGAGUUCGGAGAUGCCGAACUCACAUGUGCCACCAUAUUUUCAUCCAAGAGAAUGUUGCUAGCUUCAAAUCACAAUGAAUUACAGGUGCUGAUGAAUGAUCGUGAUGGAGAUAUUCAAGUGCCAGCCGCACAUCUAUCAUUAUAUUCAACCUCUCUAGGAUAUCUAGGAAAUAGUUGUGAGAACACAACCAUUUCUCAAGACUACCAUUGAGCAUGAACUCAAGCACCAGUACUUUAGAAUCUGGUUUGCAACAGCUGCUAGUGAUCUUUGUGAGAUCUUGAUGACGAACAUUCCACAAUACUUCACAUUCAGAAUCAAAACUCCUAAAGGCUCUCUCUAGCUGCAGAUUGAAAACCUUUAUUACAAUAAUAGUCACAUCAUAAAGUGUGCCUUUAUAAACAGAUCCGAAGCUCUCCGUACCUAGCAGGAUACAUUCACUAAAUCCAUCAGCUGCUCAUUGAAUAUCAUGAUAGGAUAGUCUUCUCCAUGUUGUCGAAGAGAACAAAUCUUCUUUAUCUGGAGUUCUUGUUUUCCUAUUUUGGAAUAUUAUGAAGAAUCAUAACAAUUGUUAUUAGUGCAUUGGAUAUAAUCGAAGGCAAAGUAUAUUUCAGGACAAGCAGAGUAGCAUUCUUGUAUCCUUUGCUAUUAUCUUCUUUGCAGGGUGGGACUUGAAGGCCUGGUGGACCACAUAGUGCAUAAUUCUCAAAAAACAAUUAAGCUGAAAUGUUUUUAAAAGGUCCUUUGAUAGGAAUUCCCCCUUCUAGCCUAUUGUGAGACACAUUGAGUUGUUUGAGAUAUGAGAGUGCCUCCAUUGACUUUGGAAUUUCUCCAGAGAGAUUGUUGCUAGGGAGAUCCAAAGAUUCCAACCUUAUCAAACUACCAAAUGAUUUAGGGACCAGACCAUAAAAUUGGUUUCUAGCCAAGGAUAAAGUUGCUAGAUCUUUGAGGCCACCAAUACUUACUGGUAUAUCACCUGAUAAUUGAUUUCUUGAUAAAUCAACUCUAUUAAGACCUUUAAGUUUUGUAUAUCUGAAGAUAGAUGACCACUUAGAGAAUUUGUUGACAAGUUUACAUACAAGAUGCACUCAAAAUUCCACAAGGAUGAUGGGAUACUAAAAGUGAGCGUGUUGUAGCUUAAAGAGAGUGUUUUUAAGGAAUUGAAUAUCUGAAAUCGUGUAUGUAAAUAUUAACACUUAGAGAAUUUGUCGACAAGUUUUUAAGGAUUUACUGAUUAAAUAAUUUUUCAAUUUGUUUGCCUAGAGGAAUUGAAUAGUUAACUGAUUAAAGGACUUCAAGGUGGUUAGGUUCAGUCGAGCAUUGUAAAUAUUAACGGUCAUUAUGAAUGUGUAAUUCCUACAUGUGAAAUUGAAUUUCCAUGGUAUAGCAUGGUAAAUUUCUGCUAGGGUGUGCUCGUGUGGUAGCCAAUUGUGAGCAACAGAUCCACAUAGUAAUAUAGACUGAAAUUUUGCGUCUUAAUCCAUGAAGAUAUAGAUUUUGGCAAAUAUUAUACAAGCCCUGGGGGUUACCUUAAUUAUUCUGGACUUUUCAUUAAUAGAGUUUCUUUUACCUAGUUAUUGAUAUUUCUUUCAAUUUUCUAUUUUAUUGAUACCAUAUAUACAAUUUUAGGUGUCAAGACAACUUUCGAUUUCUAUUGAGCCUGAAAACCUCCAUCUACCUUCACCUCUGUCAGCUUUCGGGGAAUACGAGGUUCCUAUGCGCUUUCCCAAAGCCAUUCCCCUACCGGAAGGAAAGGUCCAGUGGACUCUCAAUGUUAAAGUCCGCGGCAAAUAAACAAUCGGUUCAUUUGUUUUGUUUUACUCGGUUCGGGAUCCAAAUUCCAUUGUAGAACAGUUUUUGGUUUUUCUUCAUAUAACAUUCUGAAGAUAAUACAGGCAACAUUGUUUGCAACGCCACAGCGAAUUUGCAGUAGGUUGAAACAAUCAGAAUUUUGCCUUUUUCGUGUAUAAAAUUUUAUUUUUUAAAUUGUGAUAUUACAGUUUUGCCCAUCAAGCAUUAUGAAGCUUAAUAUUUGGAUAAAUGUUAGGUUUAAUCUAUAAAUCAUAACUUCAGUGUUUAUUUUGUUUUUAUAUUUUGAAAAAUAUCUCAAGGCAGCCCUAUUAUCAAAUAUUGGCUUGAUCUGUAUAUAUUAACUUCAGUGCUUAUUUAGGUUUUAUAUUUUGAAAAAUACUUUAAGGCAGUCCUAUUAUCAAAUAUGUUAUACUCUUACUUUCAUUUUUUCUUUCUUUUUAUAAUAAUACUCUGAUAACAAUAUUUUUUACAUUAAUUUUUUAAUCAAUAAAAAAGGUAACUUGCAAAUUAACCGAUAAAUUAAUUUAUUAAUUUUUUAAUCAAUAAAAAAGUUAAUUAAUAUUAAUUAAUAAAUUACUUAGUCGCAAAUUAAAAAAUAAAUAUUAGCAUAAAACAAUUGAUAUUUUUCAUUCUCUUACAACAAUCUUACUAAUUAUUAUUUAUAAAUUAAUUAAUACAAGUUAAUUUAAAGUAAUCUUUAAUAUUCUUGCAACAAUCUUACUAAUAAUUUUUUUUUUAUAAAAACUUAAUUUAUUAAAUUAAUCCUAAAAGUAAAAUAAUAAUAAUUAAUUUGUAUCUUACUUUUAAGUUUUAAGGUUAAUUUGAAAGCCAUGUCACCCAUAUUCUUAGGCUGCUACUGCAUUACCACUUUGCCAGUUGCCACGAAGCUCCCCACAUCACACCGCACUGAUGCCUCUCGAAAACUAACUUAAAAAAAUGGUAUUAAUAAGCGUACGCCACGUCACUCCUCACUCUCUUCUUCGUCAGUUUCCUCUCACUCAACACUUUCUCCCCAAACAAAUUCCUUCUUUGAAAAAUCGCAUUUUCUCCUUCACAACAACAGCUACAAUGUCUUCAACUUCCAAAAAGGUAAUUUUUUUAAAAAAAAUUUAUCUUUUGUUUAGUUUCUUUCUGUGGCCUUUUUGUUGCGAACGGGAGUGAGCCGAUUGAGUCCGUGAUAACCAUCGAUGUUUUCAGAAGGUCUGGAGCUGACGUCACGGUUGCGUCUGUGGAGAAACAGCUUCGUGUCGACGCGUGUCAUGGUGUCAAGAUUGUCGCUGAUGCUCUCGUGUCUGACUGCUGCGACCCCGUUUUUGAUCUUAUAGCUCUUCCCGUAUGUAUUGCAGCUCACCUCAGCUCAUGCCAAUUUAUGUGAUGUUUGUAUAAUUAUAGAUGAUUAUUGCUGAUACUGAAUGUUAAGCUAAAUAAUUCGUUCUUAAGUCAUCUUCAUUUAAUUUUCGAUUGAAAAUGAAAAAAUAAUAAUUUUAAGCAAAGAAAAAUAUAGAAAAUGUUUAUUUUGUUUUAAUUUUCAGGGAUUUCCUUAUUGUGGCUCUUAUCAUUCGUUAUAUGGUCCUAGUUAAAUAUUUCAAAUUGUUGUAGUCAGUGAAAUUCUUUUCGAUAUUUAUUCUGGCAUGUAUAUUUUUCCUUUCAAUUUCUUUUGUUGCUGAUUCUUUGAUUGAUUAUGUUAUAUCCUUUUUUGUUUCCCUUGUAGGGUGGCAUGCCCGGUGCUACCAAUCUGAAGGAAUCUGAAGUAUUAGAAAGCAUUGUGAAGAAGCAGGCCUCAGCUGGGCGUCUUUAUGCUGCUGUCUGUGCUUCACCUGCUGUGGCAUUAGGGUCUUGGGGUCUGUUGAAGGGAUUGAAGGUAAGAGUUAGAUAAGCCUUUUUGAUGUUUUGUGGUCUUUUGGGAAUUGCACUGAUAUUUUUGUUAUAGUUCAGUUUUCUUCUCGCUGAUGAUUGUUAAGUUCUAAUUUAUGUAGUUGUUCAUUUUUCGUAGGCUUCUUGUUAUCCGUCAUUUAUGGAGCAAUUAGCUCCUGCUUGUGCAGCAACUGUUGAAUCAAGAGUACAGCAGGAUGGUAAAGUUGUUACGAGUCGUGGACCGGGCACUACCAUGGAGUUUGCCGUUGCACUUGUUGGGCAGUUGUAUGGGAAAGAGAAAGCUGAUGAAGUUUCUGGGCCACUGGUAUUAACUUUUAUAGAUAACGUUGUUUAAAAAAAUUAUGAGUUAUAUAAUUUGUGGAAGCUUCAGAUGCUAAUGUAUUCAAGAAAAUAAGUUCAGGGGAAGAGUAUGACUUUUUGCAUUAGUGAUUCAUUAGAUGAAAUUGUAUACCUGCUGGUCCAUCAUAAGGUGGUGAAAACAAUGUUUGAUUUAAUUAAUGGAAUCCUGAAAUAUGCAUUUGUUGAGCUUCAAUGUCUCCACUGAUAAAAUUCUUUUUAAUGUAAGUUCUUUCUCUUGGUAUUCUGCGCAAAUGUUGUGGUUGUGUCAGUUGAGGAUAAACUAGAAAUUCUGGCUUCUCGUCAAGUUAAAUUAGUGCCAGAUAUGCUUAUUGAUGAGGCAGCUAAACUUUCGUAUGAUUUGAUUGUCUUGCCAGUAAGUGGGGUUGCUAACUCUUGCCUCAUAGUCUUUACCAAAUUAUUGACUUACUAACUACAAUUUAUCUAUGCACAGGGUGGACUUGGUGGUGCUCAAGCAUUUGCGAAGUCAGAAAAAUUGGUAAAUAUGCUAAAGAAGCAAAAGGAAUCAAAUAGGCCUUACGGUGCUAUAUGUGCAUCCCCAGAACUAGUGUUGGAGCCCCAUGGCUUACUCAAGGUAUGACCAUUUCUGAUUAAAUAUUUACUCUUGAUUUGAAUCACCUAAUCUGAACUUGAUAAAAUAUUGUGAUCUUGUGUGAUUUUAUGAACGUGGUCUUAUCUCAUGUAAGUAUGUAAUGAAUUUAUUGAAGUUUGCUGACAAAUUACAAACUCAAAAACUGCUGCUGCUGCUUCAUUAGUUACAGUACCCAAGGAGUUAUGAUAGACAUCCCAAACCUUUUACCCCAAAUUCCCUCUCAAAUGACAUGGUAGUUAUUAAGUGGUUGGUAAUUUUUUAUUAGAUAGAAGUGAAUUAAUUAUAUUAUUUAAUCAACCAAUUGAUGAAUGUCACGCCAUUUGAGAUGAAUUUUUGGGAUGUGUAGCAAAACUUUAUGCUGAUUUGUUUUGGCUACAUUCAUGUAAAACCUUUUUCCCCAAAUCCCAAGAACUUCCCGCAAUAUCAUUCCUUUGUAUUUGUUUUCCCCUUUAGACAUGUUUAACUUUGGUUCAGGGUAAAAAAGCUACGGCUUUUCCUGCCAUGUGCAACAAGCUAUCAGAUCAAAGUGAAAUCGAAAACAGGGUUGUGGUUGAUGGCAACCUUAUCACCAGCAGAGGGCCAGGAACUUCCAUGGAGUUUGCACUGGCAAUUGUGGAGAAGUUUUUUGGCCGCAACAAAGCUCUUGAGCUUGCAAAGAUAUUGCUUCUCUCCUGCACCUAAAAUUUGUACCAGGACCUGACUACUAUUAAACUAGAGUAUUUAUUCCUGUAUUACUGCUGCUUGUAGAGAGGCGAAAUGGAAACUUGAAUUCGUGUUUGAAUAUGGAUUCACUGUGCGGGUUUGUACAUGUUGAUGCCUAAAAUCUGUUCUGGUUUAUUAGCGACUUAAUAUCAGACUUCUACACCAGCAUUAGAUUUAUUUGGUAGAGAAUCGAUUGAUCAAUCGUCUAAAUGUCCUGCAACCACCAGCGAUUAACCUGCGAAUACCUGAAAUCAUAGAAGAUGGUCAGAGGCGCCGGAAGUUUUUCCGGCGUGAAGCCUCCGACGCUCAAGUCAGUUUCUAGGCCUUUCGGAAAAAUUUAUGCCACCACUCAUGUGGCUUAAUAAGCAUUGCCUUAAAACCCAAAGCUUUUCGAGUAAUUUACAGAAAGUAAAGUAUAGUGUAAAAGUAAGAAUUUUCCAUGAGAGGAAGAGAGCCAAAAGCCCCUUGGAGAAGAGAGAAAAAAUAAAUAAAUAAUCCCCCCUAGGUAAUUCCCCACUCCCCUCUUUCCCCCCUUGGUCUCUCCCACUUUCGGAAGUUAAGGAUGAGAUAAAAGUAAUGUCCCCAUUCUCCCUUUUUUUUUUUUCCUUUUAUCCGUUACCAAACAGUACAAGAGCUUGUUUAUAAAUAAAUGAGUUCAUAAAGAGUCAUUUUAAACAUUUGGAAUAAACGUGAGUUGCUGUUUAGUUCUGUUUUCAAUGUUCACCGUUCAAUUGUGAUCCAGAGCAAUAUAACUACACUCACUGGGAAUUUUAAUUAUGAACCAAGAACGAAGUUGAACCGAGAAUUUGAUACUUUAUAUAUUCCAGUUACCAUAUUUAAGAAAGAGUAUUGAAAAGAAAGACGCUAACAGAGAAUAUUGAAGUUAAACACAUACCAUAUCUAGUAUUAAGUCUGUAUGCCAAAGUUACAAAUUCGAAGAUCAGAUUCCUCAUUUCAAUUUAUGUUCUGCUCAAAACAAUGGCUCUUAUUCCACAAGCACAAAGAAGAAAGAGUGCGCACAAAGUUAACAGAGACACGCAGUGAAAAUUACGCUAAUUGGUUGCAGCAGCAUCAUCCAGGAACUUCACUUUAAUCUUCUUGAGCUUUGCUGCAGCGUCUGUCAUAUUUAUCCUCAUGUCGGGUGACUCCAUACAACAAUCCAAUGCCAAAUCCAUUAUGCUUAAUAUACAAUCCAUUUUGGCAGAAAAAGCUUGCUCUUCUCGCACCAAAUUUGCGUCAACAACUUCAAUCAAUCCGUGAGAUAAAGACUCCUUUACCCAUCUCCUUAAACUCAUUUCUCCUGUGAACAUUUCAUCGGUGGGCCUCUUUCUCGUGAAGGUUUCCAUCAAUAAAACACCAUAGCUGUAGACAUCACAUUUAGUUGAAACAAUUCCUUCAGAUCCAUACUCUGCAUUUUUUAAUUUUAAUUAUGAAACAAAUGAUAAAACAAAUAAUUUUUUGAUAAUUAAGGUAACCCAAACUUUGCUCGUGCUUGAAAAAAGAGAAAAAAAUUUAAUUACAAUUGAAGCUUUACCUGGUGCCAUAUAACCAAUUGUAGCCAUUGUCAUGGUUUGUGUCUCAGAAUCUUCUCCUUCACCUAAGAGUUUGGAAAUGCCGAAGUCGCUCACAUGUGCCACCAUAUUUUCAUCCAAGAGAAUGUUGGUGGGCUUCAAAUCACAAUGAAUUAUAGGUGCCGACGAAUGACCAUGAUGGAGAUAUUCAAGAGCCGACCCCACAUCUAUCAUUAUAUUCAACCUCUCUAGAAUGUCUAAGAAAUAGUUGUGAGAAUACAACCACUUCUCGAGACUACCAUUCGGCAUGAACUCAAGUACCAAUGCUUUGAAAUCUGGAUUAGAACAACUGCUAAGGAUCUUUAUGAGAUUUCGAUGACGAACAUUCCGUAAAACUUCACAUUCAGAAUCAAAACUCCUAAAUGCUCUCUCGAAUUGCAGAUUGAAAAUCUUUAUUGCAACAUUAGUCCCGUCGGAAAUGGUUCCUUUAUAAACUGAUCCAAAACUACCUGUACCAAGCAAGUUACAUUCAUUAAAUUUAUCAGUUGCUCGUUGAAUGUCUAGGUACGGUGUUCUUCUCCAUUUUGCAAGAGGUAGAAAAUCUUCGUGAUCCAAAUGCUUUGUACUCCUAUUCCGGCAUCUUUUGUACAUAAUGAUGGUAAUCACUAUAAGUACAGAGGAUACUAUCGGAGGCAAAAUAUAUUUAAGGACAAUUAGAGCAACUUUCUUGGUUCUUUUGCUGUUACCUUGUUUGCAAAGUGGGACUCGGAGUUUAGGUGGACCACAGAGUGCAUAAUUUCCGAAAAAUGAUUCAGCUGAGAAGUUUUUAAAAGACCUUUUAACAAGAAUUUCCCCUUCUAGCCUAUUAUGAGACACAUUAAAUUGUUUGAGAUGUGAAAGUGUCUCCAAUGACUUAGGAAUUUUUCCAGAGAAAUUGUUGCCGGAGAGAUCUAAGGAUUCUAAGCUUAUCAAACUGCCAACUGAUUCAGGGAUAGGUCCUUGAAAUUGAUUACUAGCCAAGGAUAGAGUUUCUAGAUCUACGAGAGCACCAAUGGUUGAUGGAAUAUUACCUGAUAAUUGAUUCCUUGACAAAUCUAAAACUCUCAAGACCUUUAACUUUUGUACAUUGGAAGGGAGAGAAUCAUUUAAUGAAUUUGACGACAAGUUUAUCUCUAAGAUGUACUCAAGGCUCCACAAGGAUGACGGUAUACUAGAAGUGAGCUUGUUGGAGCCUAAGCGGAGUUCUCUUAGAGAUGUCAAACUCGCCAAGCAUGGCGGUAUAUGUCCAGAGAGCUUAUUUCCAUUUAACCUUAUUCCGUACAUCAACUCCAAGUGGCAAAGAUCAUAGGGAAUGGAUCCUUCCAAAUUAUUUUCUUCAAGAGAUAAACCUUGUAGCCGCUGUAAUGUUCCUACAGAUGUUGGAAUAGUUCCAUCCAAGUCAUUGAAGUCGAGGGUUAAGAGGAUCAAGCCACGUAAAUUACCAAUUUCUUUAGGAAUGCUGCCCCCGAGUUUGCAAUCGGAAGCAUAAAAGCUUUGAAGAGAAGCAGAGAAAUUUCCAAUUAAUGGUGGAAGGAUGCCACCUAAUGGAUUAGAAGCUAAGACUAAAUAGGAUAGCUUUCUACAAUUAGUCAAAGAAGAGAGAAAACUCCACUGAUCUGCUGAAGAUGAUUCUGUCGUCAAGUUAUUCCCUGCUACGCUGAGCACGUUGAGGUGCCUCAAGUUGCCAAAUGUAUUUGGUAUAUGGCCUGAGAAUGAGUUAGAGCCCAAGUCUAGACCAAUGAGUUUGGAAGCAUUGGUAAUAGAGUUGGGAAUUGUCCCGAUAAGAUUAUUGAUCGACAAAGUUAAAUACUCUGUGUUCGGAAGCGAGUGGCCUAUCGUUGAUGGUAGGCGGCCUGAUAGUUGGUUGCUCUGUAGAUUAAGGACUCUUAUGGUUGAAAUAUUGAAGAUCGCGGGUGGAAUGAGGCCACUUAAAUUAUUCGUACCAAGAGCAAGAAUCUCCAAAUUUUUUAGAUUGCCAAUCUCGGUUGGAAUUUGAUCUGUCAUAUCGAUUAAACCAACAUUGAUGAGUUAUUGAGUUUUUUGCUAAACAUAAAUUUAAUUUCAAAAUUCAUGAAAAUCAAAAUUUCCCACAAAAUAUGUGUUAUUAGUUUAUAAUAAUUUAGGGGGUAAUGAUAUUUCUACCCCAUGAUUUUUGUAAAACACACAUGCUUUUAGAAAAUUAUUACCGCAAGAUCACAUUAUUCUUAAAAAUUCAAAUUAAGAAGAAGUUUCUAGAAUCAAUCAAUUAAAUCCAAAUUAAUUUAUAUUUGAAACUUAUAUUCUUUUAUUAUAUUUAAGUACUAAGGUUGUUUUAACAUAAAUUUAAUUGACUAUUUUACCCUCCUAAGGUAAAAGUACUAAAAUCCUCAAAAAUUUACUUCAACUAAACUAACAAAAUAUAUUUAUGACCUAUGGGGCAUUAAAAAUAUUGAAUUUUAUUUUUAAAAUAUUAUAUUACAAAACAUAAAACUAUAUGCUAGAUACUAUAGUACAUGUUUCUUGGGGUGAUAUAGUCAUUUUACAUUAUAAGGAUGAAAUAGUCAAAUUAAACUUAACUUGAAGCACCCGUAAAUGCCAAAAAUUGUUAAAAGACCUAAGUCAUAAAAGAAAACUAUUAUCAGAAUAAUUUAUUUAGUUAAUUAUCUGACUUAUUGUUAAUUUAUAAUUUUAUAAGAUAUUGUGAACUUAUUGCAAUUAUCUUAUGGAGAUGAGGGGGGGUUUUGCAAGAAUAUGAGCGGCAGUUUUGCCACUCUAUAAAAUAAAAAGAAUUAUGCAGUCAUGCAAAUGCAAAUAUGCUGAACUUACCUUGCAGGUUGUUAUGACGAAGAUCCAAAUCAAAAAGGUUGCUCAAAUUUCCUAUCCCUGAAGGAAUAUUUCCAUCAAUAACGUUGAAACUUGCUUGUAACAUCUCCAAUUUCGAUAAGUUGAAGAGAGAAUUUGGGAUUGGACCCGUGAUAUUGUUAUUACGAAGACUCAUCAUUUGUAAUUUGGAUAAGACACCAAUCCAAGUUGGAAUGCUUCCACUCAAUUUAUUGAAAUUGAAACUAAUGAAUUUGAGUCGGCCUAAUUUCCCCAAUUCAUUAGGUAGAUGGCCAUAAAAAUUGUUCAAAGUAACAUCAAGAGACAUUAGGAAUGAGAGAUUUCCCAAGUGUGGGGGAAUAGUGCCUCCGAGACCCAUGCCUGAAAGAUUUAAAGCCUUGACUCUUUGAUGGCGUGAAUCACAAGAAAUACCAACCCAGCUGCAUAUUGGAUGAGAUAUAGACCAAUUAUUUGCUAGGACACUCCGAUAAUCAACGACAUGGGCUUUGAAUGCAAGAAGAGCUGAUUGAUCUGUUGUCAAAUUGUUUAAAGUCGUCAUAGCUAAGUUAGCUAUGGAAUAUUGUAACAACAUAGGAACAAAGAAGAACGAUAGGCGCAUAUUGGUCGUUUUUAAUAGAUACAGCAACAUAAUUGCUAGGUGAGAUUGAAACAAGUUUGAAGUGAAGGAAAUUAGCAUAUACUUAUACAAGAGACGUAUGAAUUUGAAAACAAGAAAAGAAAAAAUAUACAGGAGACUUGCAAACUGUUAUAUUUUGCCAUUAAGCGAGUCGUCCAAGUAAACGCACGUAUGGACUUGCAAAAUUGUUAAACGUCGCUGUACUUGAACCGUAAACAAAGGGUGUGUUUGGUUGGAGGAUUAAAAGUGGGGAUUAGACACCUUUUUUUUUUUUUUUUAAUUUUAUCCUUAUCUCAUGUUUGGUGCUGUCAAGGGUAUUAGGAUUUAGUUAUCUUGAACUCACAAGCUAAUCUUAAUUUUGUAAAGGAAAUUAUCCCAAGAGGGGUCAUGGGAUUAGUUAGUAUUGGAUUAUAUUGAUAACUCAAUUAAACAUAAUAAUUUAUAAAUAUUAAAAUUAUAGUAAUAUGUGAUAAAUGUAAUAAAAAAAUAUUGAUUUUAAUAAUGUAAAUAAUAAAUUAUACUAAAAAUCAUUAUUAAUUUCACAUUAAAUUAAAAUUCUAUUUUACUUUAUUUAAUUAUUAAAUAUUUUUUAUAAUUCCAAAUUUACAUUAUAAAUUAAUUAUUAAAUUAGUAUUCAAAAAGAUAAUUUUUUAUAAAAUAAUAGAUUAUUGAAUAAAUAUAAUAUAAAUAUCAUAUACAUAUUUAACAAACUAAUAAUUAUUAAAAUUAUGAUUUCUAUUUCAUUAACGUCAUUGAGGUUGAUUUGUAUAAUUAAUAAUGCAAAAUUUUAGUUUAUAAUAAUAUUAAUAAUAAUAAUAACUUGUAAAUUGUAAUAUUAUAAUGUAAAACAUGAUUAUUUAUAGUCCAAUCUAAUAUUGUACCAAACACAAUAUAGUAUUAUAUAUAAUCCACUAUUAUCCAAUCCAAUCCAAUUUUAUCCAAUUUAAUCUAAUCUAAUUCAAUCAAAUCCGGCGGACCAAACCAGCUCAAAGGUUUUAUGGCCCUUUACUUACCAAACAGAAGAAGAUGCUCAACAUUGGCAUCUUUGACCCAAUCCAAAUUUAAUCCAGACAUCUGCGGAUCAGAUGCAGAUUUGACCCAAUCUAUAUCCAAUCCACCAUUUUACGGAUUGGUUUGCAGACUGAAAAUUUUUAAUUCUGUCAAAUCCACGAACUAACUAAAUAAAAAAAAUUUAAUAUAAAAAUAAAUUUACUAUGAAUCAAAUUUAAAAUUAAAUAAGAUUUAAAUAAAUUAAUUGCUUAAAUAGAGCUAAAAAUACAUUUAAAGUUUCAAAAUAUAGCACACCAAAAUAAAAAUAAAAAAAUCAUUCGUUUAGAUCAAUACAUGGAAAUUAACUAUUUAGUAAACUAUAUUUGUUUAUUUAAUUAUUUUUUUAUAUUAUUAACGGAUAAGAUAUAAUAUAAUGUUAAUGUAACUAUAUUUUAACUUAUUUAUUUACUUAUAAGUACUAAUGCCAUAUUUACAAGUUUUAUUUUUAAUUAAAUAAAUACUUCUUAUUUUUUUGCGGAUUCGUGGAAUUUUACGGAUUUACAGAAGUAGAUCCAUAUCCAAUCCACUGAUUGCGGAUUAUUAAAUUUUCAAUUCAAUCUAAUCCAAUCCACCAAUCCACGGAUCAGACGGAUUGAGCGGAUCGAAUUGGAUUAUGAAAACCCCUCGGUUUUGGUGUCCAUUGUUGAAAACUUGGAAGUCUAUAUGACCAUUUAACCAAACUCUAGGGGUACAACUAUCACAAAGUUCUAAAAAUAAAUUUUACCCAACAUUUAAAUGAUUUUUUUUCACAGUUGAUUAUUAAAUUCUAAGUGUUUGGCUACUGUAAGAAUACAAAUAAUUGACAUAGACAUAAUAUUAAAUAAAAUUUACUUAUAUAUUUAUAUAAAUGUAUGUAUGUGUGUGUGUGUAUAUAUAUAUAUAUAUAUAUAUAUAUAGUUUAUUGUUUGUAUAUAAAAAUUGCUAACUAAAAAAUAUUUAUAUUUUAUCAAUUUUAUUUCUUUUAUUGUUUAUCUCAAUAUAAAUGUAAUAAUAAUAAUUUCUCUAAAUUUAAUUAUUUUUGCUCUUUAUUGAAUAAGGAUAAUUUUGAGUUUCUGUAAUAUAUGUGAGGAUAUAUACAAAAUUGUAUUAAAUAUAAAACUAUUGUCAAAAUUAAAUUUUAAAAAACUAUUCCUUUCUCACUUUUCAUUAGGCAAAUGGCCACAGAAAUUAUUCUCCCUAAUGUCCAAAUAAACUAAAAACGAGAGAUUUCGUAAGUGUGGAGGGAUGAUGCCUUCCAAACCCAUCACUGAAAGAUUCAAGUUUGUGACUGUUAUGGUAUGAGCAUCACAACAUAUGCCAAUUCGACUGCAUACUGAGUAAGACAUGGACCAAUUAUUCAAGAGAUUCAUGAGCCUUCGAAGUGAGAAAUAAAGCAAAUUAGGUGGUGGUGGGUCAAUUGACUACGUUUCGUGAUCUACAAGCGAUUGCAACAGUCGGUUCAUUAAGUGAAAUUAAUGACUCGUCCACUUUAGUAAUAUACCGUCCUCUUUAGGAUGGUGCUGGGUCAAUUUUAUCUCAUUUUCGUUGAUUACGAGUUGUGAUCGAUGACAUCACGAAAGUAGUCAAUUUACAGCUCAUUCACUAUAUAUAGUCUAUGGGUGGAUGGAUCUAACGUAAAUUAAGGGCUGAUGACCCUCGACUUCUAACGACAACCAACGAAGACGACCUUGACUUACAUGUAAACACACAAUUCGCUCUCAUACAUUAUGUUUUAAAAUUUCUCCAUUUUCCGGGGCCCCGCUGUCGACCGUACACAGUUUAAUUUGUAUAUACAAGACCUCAUUGCUUCUAACAAGCAUAGAGCCAUAGACCAUAUUAAUUCCAAUUACUUAAAUCUUCAUUUUUAUCAUGAUUUUGGAUCUCGAGCAAUGUGGAUAUAUCCAACCAGAUCCACCUCACUGGCAUCCCAAUAGAUUUUAAAUUGAGUAAUGAGUAUCAAUAAACGUGUAAUUGUAAAUCUACAACGUUUAAUUUUAAUUUGAGGAUUCAAAUGAAUUAUUCCAGCAGUACCUCGUUAAAUUAAUAUUCCAUAAAUUUUUAACUUUAAUUAAAUAACAAAUUUUGUCCGUCCCAACUUAAGAUUAACGUGGUAAUUAAUAAUUUGAUAAAUUAUUAGAUAAUAAUUUUUUAAAAAUCUUAUUUUUUUUAUUGGAUCCAACUGAUAUAUAAAUUAAUAAUUAAUUAAUUUUAAAACUAAAUUCAUGUUAUGUCAAUCAAAUGUUAUUGCAAAGAAGACUAGUAGUGACGCUUUGAAAGGUAGAGCUGGCAAAAUUUGACACGACUUGAUUACCCGACACGAACACGACAUAAAUAAAUGGGUAUGGGUCGUCAAAUUUAACACGAUUAUUAAAUGGGUCGGGUCCGGGUCAACACGAUUUUUUUCCGUGUCGGGUUAGGAUUAAAAUUCUUGACCCAUUUACCCGAUCAAUGACCCGAUUAUAUUUUCUAUUUUAAAAUAAUUUACAUAUUCUUAUAAUUACAACUCAAAUAUUAGAGAUGAUUUUCUUUUUUUUUAAUUCUUUAAAAGGGUGAAUAUAAACACAGUGUUUUAUUUAUAAAAUUUUACAUACAUUUAGAGUUUCAAUAGUGUAAAUGUGUAAAAAUUGAUAGACAUGUAUAUUUUAUAAUAUUGAUAUAUAAUAUUAUAUAUAUAUAUAUAUAUAUAUAUAUAUAUAUAUAUAUAUAUAAUUAAAACCUCAAUAGUGUAAAUGUGUAAUAUAUUGGUAGAUAUGUAUAUUUUAUAAUAUCGAUAAAUUAUGUAUGUAUGUAUGUAUGUAUGAUAGUGUGUAAAUAUUUGAUGUAACUUUUGUUCAAUAUAUAGAUAUUAAACGGGUUAUUAGGUAACCUGAUUAUUUUCCGUGUCGGGUUUGGGUCUUAAUAUUUUGACACGAUUAUUAAAUGGGUCGGGUUUGGGUCGACUUAAAUUUGAUACGACACGAAGCUGACACGACACGAACACGACCCGAUGACCCGUUUUGCCAGCUCUAUUGAGGUACACCAAAGCCUUUUUCACCAUUUCAACGUCAUGACAUGAUGUAAGUUUCUUUUGUGGAAUUUGUGAAUUGGUGCUGCAGAAGUUAAUGAUACAUGUAACCAGCCAACCCUUGUCAAGUCCGCUUGACUCUUAAAUUUUUGUCACUUUCACUCCGUUCAAAGGCAUGUGAAAGCUAAUUUUUAAUGAAUUUUGAAUUGAGUGUUGGAUAUUUUGGGCUUAUCAAAACUAGAUUAUAUAUAUUUUUAAUGAAUUUUAGAUUCAGUGUUAGAUAUUUUGGGUCUUAUCUUUAAGUAAUCUUUUACACGCAUACAUUUAUAUCAUUGUAUGGUUAUAGAUUCAAUUACUUUUAUGACGCAUUUACUAAACUCGAAUUGAAAUAAGUAAGAAUGAGAAUGUGCUGCAAUGAGAAUGGAGAACCGAAAUUAGAAUAAGUUAUUUACUUGUAAUAUAGGAAUCAGAAUGAUCUGAAUUGCCAUUAAUGUGUUUACUUUUUCUUAGAAUUAGAAUUGAAAUAAGUUAGAUUGUAAUAAAUUACUAAAAACUAUUUAAUGAACUAUUGUAAUAAUUAUUAUUUUGUAUUUUAAUUAUUGUGAUUAUUUAUUAAAAAUUAUUAUUAUUAUAUUGUUAAUAGGAUAUUAAUAUAUUAAUAAAUUAUAAUAAUAUAUUAAAAAAUACACUUGUAUUUACAAGAAAUGACGGAUACAAUUUUAAAAUCGUCUUCCUCCCUAAAAGUCUGAUUGCCACAGCCCUAAAAAUUAAUAAGAUUGGGGAAUUAUGUGUUUUUUAAAAAAUAUUAAAGGGUGUUCAUUUCCUUAAACGGUGGGGGCUAAAAGUCCUUUUCCCAAAAGAGUACUGUGCCAGUGUUGGUGGCUAGAAGGAAAAAUCGUUACAUUGCUCCAGAAGUGCUUGAUAGAAAUUUCGGUGAGGCGUCACAUAAUUUAAAGGCUAUGUUUUUUUUUUUUUUAUAAUCCACCAAGAAGGUGGGGUUAGGCCGGACUCCUACGUAUAAAUAAAUCAAUCAAUGAAAGAACAUAAGGAGGGGGACAUAAACCAAACCUCCCAGGAAAAGUAAAUAAUUUAGUAAUCAAAUAAAAUCAAUACAAAUCAAGGUGAUUAAUGCCGAAUGUAUGGAAUUCCAAGAGUAUCCAAAUGAAGAAUGCCUGAUAAACCGCUUGGAAGAUCACUAGCAUUGAAAAAUCGUUGACAAGUCUGAUGGGUACAAGCCUAAUUGGCCAUAAAGUCAACAGCAGAUGUAGCUUCUCGAAAAACAUGCCUGAUACUAAUGGAUGACCUAGAAGCCAAUGUCCAAACACACCCAAGGAUGUAAGUAAAAUCCCAUCGCACGAAACUACUUGAAAUGGCCUAAGAAACUACAGUGGCUGAAUCAGAUUCUACCUCAAGAUCAGAAAAACCAAGCUGAGUAGCAAGAUCUAAACCUUCUAACACAACCAUUAAUUCAACAAAAAGAAUAGAUUGGUGUCCCAAAAAGGAACCAAAAGCAGCUAAUAUCAUGCCUUGAUGAUCUCGCAAAACACCACCAGUAGCAGCCAUGCCUGAGUUUCCCCUAGAACAACCAUCCACACUCAACUUCACCACCCUCGGUGGCGGUUUCAUGUUGGAGCACAAAUCUCAACCACACACGCAAAGUGAUAAAUAAUAAAAAACUUAUUAUAACUUUGAUCGUAUGGUUAUGAAGGGAUGCUCUACCUUAGAGAAACUCCAACAUAGCCAAACCUUAAUUUAAAUUACUGGAAUUAGCUAUGCACACACACAAGCAGUUCGAGCAGGAUAAUGAAUUUAAAUUACUCGGAAUUGUAAGCAGAGAUGAAAGAGAAAUUACAAAGAAGAUGAUUAUUUUUCGCUUGUGGUGUAUAUAGAAUCGUCUAUCGGAAAUAGAGGGAGAGAAAUGUUACUGCACAGAAGCAGACUAGCAGUGACGCCUUGAAUAAGUCCGCCAAAGCCUCUUGCAUCUUCUCCUCCAACACCGCCAAUAGAGUCCGUUUGACUCAUAAAUUUUUGUCGCUUUCAUUCUUUUCAAAAGCACGUGAAAACUAGCUUAUAGGAUUUUGGAUGGACAAUCACUCUUUUCAAAAGCAUGUUAAAGCUAAUCUUCAAUGAAUUUUAGGGCUUAUUUUUAAGUAAUCUUUUAGCAUGCAUGCAUUUAUGCAAUCAUGUGAUUAUAUAUUCAAUUACUUUUAAAGUAGAAAAAAUUACUUCUCUUAAAAGCAACAGCGGGGCACGUAUUGCAAUUUGUAGUAGUUAAUUCUUGGAUGAAAUUUACUAAAGUAUAGUCUUGUAAAAGAAUUAGUUUUCUUAAAUUGUAAUCUCGUUUAUGAUUGGGAGAUUUUGAUCAAAAUUAAUAUGAUAAAUUCGUUGCAAGUGUUGUUCUUGAAGUCUCAUCUUCCGUGAUGUUUGUAAAAUCAAGGUUUUACCAUCUCUGAUUAAAUAUUUAGUCUUGAUUUCGGCCACGUAAUCUGGACUUGACGAAAGAUUAUGAUCUUAUGUGAUUUUAUGAAUGUGGUCUUACCUCUUAUAAGUCAGCAAUGAAUUAAUUAAAGCUUGCUGACAAAUUAUAAGCUCAAAAACCGCUGCUGCUUCAUUAAUCAUAUUACCCAAAUUCAUUGCAGAACUCAUCAUAAGUUUUCCGAGAAUUUUAAGCUUUAUUUUGGCUUCAUUCAUGUACUCCCUUUGUAGAUCCCAAAGACAUGUUUAACUUUAGUUUAGGGUAACAAAGCUACAGCUUUUUCUGCUGUGUGCAACAAGCGAAGAAAGUGAAAUUGUAAAGAAUACGAUCGAUUACUGAUACGAAAACAUAAAGAUUGAUAAUUUUUAGAGAAAUAAAGCUCCUAAAUAAUUAGAAUAUUAUUCAUAAGUCUUAAUAAAUAAAACUAGAAUUUUGGUUCUUUUUACACCAACCCUAAAUAUCUUGAAUUUAUUAAAAUAGGAAAACGAGAAAUAUUUUUUUGUAGUAAAAUUCUCUAGUCUAAAUAAGCAAAAUUUUAAUGUCUGAAGAAAAAAGAAGUAAAAAUUCUGAAAGCAAUUAAAAAAAAAAAGCAAAAUAACUUAAAAUUGCAAAAUAAUCAAGAAAGAAACGGAACUUUUGGCUCAAAUACAGGGUAGAACAACUUAAACAAUUUUUAUAUUUUAGUUUAUCUUAUCGCAAGUUUUGAAAAGAUGUAUUAUAAGUUCUAAACAAACAGCUAUCCCUACAAAGUACCAUGGUCAUUCAAUGUAACUACCCUACAUCAAUUAUUGUUGGUUUGUGGUGUAUCCAGACCUUUCCAUCGGAUGGGCUGUCCACGAAUACAGUGAUAGAAAUGUUAUUGCAAAGAAAAAUACUAGCAGUGACGUUUUGAAAAUUCCACCAAAGUCUUUUGCAUCUUCUCCUCCAGGACCGCCAAUAGAGUAUAGAGUACGUUUGACUCAUAAAUUUUUGUCACUUUCACUCUUUUCAAAAGGACGGGAAAGCUUAUCGAACGGACCACCAAUCUUUAAUGAAUUUUGGAUUCAGUGUUGAUAUUUUGGGCUUAUCAAAGCUAGAGUCCGUUCGACCCAUAAAUUUUUGUCACUUUCACUCUUUUCAAAAGCAUGUUAAAGCAGACCUUCAGUGAAUUUUUUAUUCGCGUACCUUUAAGUAAUCUGUGCAUUUAUAUAAUUAUGCGGUUAUAGAUUCAAUUACUACUUCUCUUGAAAGUGAAAGCAGGGCAGAUAUUGUAACGCAGCUGCUAUUGGUAGCAAUUAAUUCUUGGAUGAAAUUUACUAAAGUAUAGCCUUGUUAAAGAACUAGUUUUCUUAAAUUGUAAAUGGUCCCCUUUAUGAUGGGGAAAUUUUGAUCAAAUCUGAAAGAAAGCUUGAAAAAUAUAUUGAAACUAUAAUGAAAUUUUAUGUUUGAUUUAUAUUACAAAUGUGGGUCCAGCUAUGUUACCUAGAGUUGGCAAAACGGGUCAUCGGGUCGUGUUCGUAUCGUGUCAAAUUUAGGUCGAUCCAAACCCGACCCAUUUAAUAAUCGUGUCAAAAUAUUAAGACCCAAACCCGACACGGAAAAUAAUCGGGUUACCCAAUAACCCGUUUAAUAUCUAUAUAUUGAACAAAAGUUACAUCAAAUAUUUACACACUAUCAUACAUACGUAUGUACAUACACAUAUACAUACAUACAUACAUACAUACAUACAUAAUUUAUCGAUAUUAUAAAAUAUACAUAUCUACCAAUAUAUUACACAUUUACACUAUUGAGGUUUUAAUUAUAUAUAUAUAUAUAUAUAUAUAAUAUUAUAUAUCAAUAUUAUAAAAUAUACAUGUCUAUCAAUUUUUACACAUUUACACUAUUGAAACUCUAAAUGUAUGUAAAAUUUUAUAAAUAAAACACUGUGUUUAUAUUCACCCUUUUAAAGAAUAAAAAAAAGAAAAUCAUCUCUAAUAUUUGAGUUGUAAUUAUAAGAAUAUGUAAGUUAUUUUAAAAUAGAAAAUAUAAUCGGGUCAUUGAUCGGGUAAAUGGGUUAAGAAUUUUAACCCUAACCCGACACAGAAAAAAAUUGUGUUGACCCGGACCCGACCCAUUUAAUAAUUGUGUUAAAUUUGACGACCCAUACCCAUUUAUUUAUGUCGUGUUCGUGUCGGGUAAUCGGGUCGUGUUAAAUUUUGCCAGCUCUAAUUGCACACUUAACUAAAUUAACUAAAUUGACUUUUGUUAUUCCACCCCAACAUUUAAAUAGUCAUUAGCACACAUUUAAAGUAUUUCAUUAACUUAGUUAAAGAAGGGUAAAAAAAAAAAAAUCUAAACAAUUACUCUAUUUGAAAAUAAUUUAAAUAUUUCUUUAUUAGUUUUUUGUAACUAAAAAGAAGAGUAAUAAUUUUAUUUUAUUAUUUUGUUUCUAUAUUGUAAAUAAUUUUAAUUAUCUUUUAAUAUUAAUCAUUUUAGGAAAAGUAAAUAAAAAAUAAGAUUUUUUUAUGUAAAACACAUUAAUUAGUUUUUCAUAUUAUAAAAUGCAUAGUGAUUUAUAAUAAAAAUUAAAUAUGCAUGUUUACCCUUACAAUAUAUAUUUAUAGCCUCCUGAUUACAUUCUUGUCGGAUUAAUGGUUAAGUGCUAGAAAACAGAACCAUGGCCAUGACCAAUUUUUUUUUUUUUAGUUUGGUAGUGAAAUUGAUUUUUUUCCUUCAAUUCGAACAAUUUAUGCAUUCUCUUCUCUACAUAUCUUGCAAUAAAAAAAGAAAAAAACUUACAUUGUCUAAAUUGACAAGUCUAUGAUGUCGGAGUAUUGUAUUCAUGUCGGCAUCUUUGAAGUGCUUCUGAAAUAGAUUGUGGCUUCCAAAAACAUCAAUAUAAUUGAAAAUUUUUAGGUGCAGGACUAAUGUGUGAAAAUAUAGAAGUCUUUAGCUUUUUUGUUCUUUAAACAAAUAAAUGGACUCCAUUACAAUUAACCUUGAAAAAGACAAAAAAAAAAAGGGGUACUAAACCCAUGUGGCAACGUAGUUUUGGCCUUGAAGAUAAUAUAGAAGAAGAUCAGAGUUUAUAUAAAUUGAGAUUCUUUUUGGCACUUAGAUUUUUAUUUAAAAAAUAUUGUUUGUGUUAUUAUUAAGAGGAAAAAUAUAAAUAAAUGAAUCUAAGUCUUAUAAUAUUAUAGUUGCUAUGUGUCAUAAUCAUAUUAAAAGGUUUGAAAAAAUUAGAUUAGGUGAGGAUUCAAUUCCUCCUUGAAGACCGCUAAUAGAAUUGGUUUCACUCAUAAAUUUUUGUCACUUUCACUCUUUUCAAAGGUGCGUGAAAACUAGGUUAUAGAAUUUUGGAUGGACGAUCACUCUUUAUCAAAGGACUACCAGUCUUUAAUGAAUUUUGGAUUCAGUGUUGAUAUUUUGGGCUCAUCAAAGCUAGACUAUAGAUUUUUUUUUUUUUAAGAAUUUUGAAUUCAAUGUUGAUAUCUUGAGCUUAUCUUUAACUAAUUUUUUACCACCCGUGCAUUUAUGUUAUUGUACGGUUAUAGAUUCAGUUAUUUUUAAAGUAGAAAAAUUACUUCUCUUAAAAGUGAAAGCAGGGAAUGCAGACGCUAUUUGUUGUAGUUAAUUCUUGGAUGAAUGUUAGAGUAUAAUUUAUACACUAGUUUUGCAUUGUUUAUUUCUCUUAAUAUCGAUAUUUUGCAUUUAAUAAUAGUGAUUUACUUGUAUUUUACUUUUGUAGGUGUAAUUCUAUUGAUUGGUGAUAAAAUUGAGCUACAAGAUGAUAUUUUAGGGUGAUUGUUUUCUUAGAGAAAGUAUGAGCCUCAGAAGAACUUUGUUGAUAAGGCGUGAGCGCGUGCUGUCAACUACGGACCUGCAGUUUUUAGUUUAACGUGUUUUGUAUUUUUGGUUAUUUUUGUAAUUACGAAUUUAAUAUUUCAAAUAUUAGUAUUUUAUUUUAAAUAGAAUUCUAGAGGAGAAGAGAGAGAGAGUAUUUAAGGGAGGAAUCUAUAUUGAAAAAGGGGGGACUGGAGAAAAAGAAAGAAACCCUAGAUCUAAACUUUUCUCUUCUCUCUAUGAAGAACUAAACCUAUUUUUCUGGUUGAAGGUUAAUGAAGCUUUGAUUCAUCACUACUGUGAGAUCUUUCUUAUGCUUUAAUUGUUUUAUUGCUUUUUGGGUAUUUGUUUAUUCUCUGAAUUAUUUUCAUGAUUAUGUUUGUUAAUUAGGUAAUUGGCCACUAUUUAAUUAUCAACUUAAUCUAUUGUCAAUUAAAGGAUUCAUCGUAUGAAGAUUUUAAUGUUUGUGACAAAUAACAUAGCAGAGAGUUGUGUUGUGAGAAUAAACAAUCUAAUUUAAAUGAACUAUCGUAUGUGUUUGUUGAUUAGGAUUUGGGUCUCUCUGGUUUUUCAGGCUGUCAAUUGAUUAAAUCUUAUGAUCGUAUCUAGGGUUGUCUAUUGAUUAGGGAAAUAACCAACGGUUAUACCUUGGUUAUCGACUAGUUAAGGAGAGAUUGGCUAUUAGAGGGUCUCAGUAGCUAUAACCGAUCUAUUCAUAAGUAAUAAUAAUUUAUAUUUGAAUCAAUGAUCAGUAGUCGAAUCAAGCUGAGUUAAUUCCUUCAACCAUAGCUUUCUCCAAUUUGAAUUACAACUUUAAUUUGCAUUCUUGUUAUUUUAAUUUAAUUUUUAUUACUGUCAACAAAACCCCCAUUUUAUGUUUUACGUUUUAAAAGGAUUUAAAUAAUUACCGAUCUCUGUGGACACGAUCCUGCUCAAUCACUAUACACAAUUUGUUUAGAGUAGGUAUUUAUUUUCGUUGGCUUCGACAACCAUCAAUGAAAUUUGGGUCUUGCUAUAAUACAUGCAUGUAUCACAUACAUGCGAGGAAUAAAAAAAUUAAAAAAAACAUUGCCAAACAUUUGAAAAAAAAAACUGGAGCAACCGGUAAAGAGCAACAGGUUGUGCCUUAAACAAUUAAAAAAUUAUGAAACAAUAUAAUAAAUAAAUAUAAUAAACAAAAUAAUAAUAAAAUAAUAAUAAUUUAAUAAUAAAGGCUAGAUAACUAUAAAAAAAUAGUUUCAAAUUUAAUGGUAUCAGUAUCAAGUUAACGAUAGGUGUUUCGUGUUUAUUGGUCUACUAAUUGCAUGAUUUUCAAGGUUGCAAGUGAAUGAUCCCAAGUUCCAUGUUCAUUGCCCUCAGUUUCAAGUUCUUUUAGUUUCAAGUUUAAUGGUCCCAGUAUCAAGUUAACGAUAGGUGUUUCAUAUUUAUUGGUUCAUUAAUUGCAUGAUUUUCAGGAUUACAAGUUAAUUAUUCCAAGUUUCAUGUUCAUUGCUCUUAGUUUCAAGUUCCUUUGGUUUCAAGUUUAAUGAUCUCAGUAUCAAGUCAAAAGUAAGUGUUUCGUUUUUAUUAGUCCAUUAUUUGGAAGAUUUUUAGGGUUGCAAGUUAAUGAUCUAUGGUUUCAAGUUAAUGAUCCUAUAUUUCAUAUUCAAUGCCUUAAGUUUCAAGUUACUCUUGUUUCAAGUUUAAUGGUCCUAAUUUCAAAAUUAAUGAUAGGUGUUUCAUAUUUAUUGGUUAUAGAAGAUUUUCAGAAUUACAAGUUAAUGAUCCUAUGUUUCAUGUUCAUUGCCCUAUGUUUCAAGUUACUUUGAUUUCAAGAUUAAUGGUAGGUAUUUCAUAUUUAUUAGUCCAUCAUUUGGAAGAUUUUCAAGGUUGCAAGUUAAUGAUUUCUAGUUUCAAGUUAAUGAUGGUAUAUUUCAUGUUCGUUUUCAUAAGUUUCAAGUUACUUUAGUUCAAAUUUAAUGGUUUCAAUUUCAAAAUUAAUGGUGGGUGUUUCAUAUUUAUUGGUCCAUUAUUUGGAAGAUUUUCAAAGUUGUAAGUUAAUGAUCUUUGGUUUCAAGUUAAUGAUCUUAUGUUUCAUGUUCAUUACCCUAAGUUUCAAGUUACAUUGGUUUCAAAUUUAAUGGUCUUGGUUUUAAGAUUAAUGAUAGGUGUUUAUAUAUUUGUUGGUCUAUUAUUUGCAAAAAUUUUAGGGUUGUAAGUUAAUGAUCCUAUUUUUCAUUCUCAUUGCCCUACGUUUCAAGUUACUUUGAUUUUAUAUUUAAUGGUCCAAAUUUUAAGAUUAAUGAUAUGUGUUUCAUAUUUAUUGGUCUACGAUUUGUAUAUUUUUAGGAUUGCAAGUUAAUGAUUCUAAGUUUCAUGUUUAUUGCGCUAAGUUCCAUGUUAUUUUGGUUUUAGCUUAAUGUCUUAAUCUCAAGAUUAAUGGUAUGCAUUUCAUAUUUAUUGGUUUAUGAAAUGACAUGCAUUCUAUCAUGAAAUUUAUGAUAGUUUUUUCAAAUCACAUAUUUGUCACACCACAAUUUCGUGAUUACUUGAAUUUCUUGCAGGCUUUUAAAUUUUUCAUGGGAAAUUUAAAAUUUUCAGUGAAUUUAAAUUUAGUUUUGAUAGGAAAAUUGAAUUGGAAUAUGAGACAUUUUAUGACUGAUACUUACUAUCACAAAUUUUGAUUUUUUUAAAUUUAAAUAAUUUUAUUUCCUAUUUUUGACAUUUAAAUCAUAAAACCACUAUGAAAGAAAAUAAACCUGUAUAUUCAAUUAAAUCAGAAAAUAGAUAACUUAAUAUCAAUUAAAAUCCAAAGUACAGCCAAAUAUCGAGCAAUCAAGUUACGUUAGUUUCAUGUUUAAUAGUCCCAACGUCAAGAUUAAUGGUUGCAUUUCCAAAUAAUUAGGAACAACUCAAGUGUGCAAUAAGAGAUUUCAUGUUCAAUGACUAACAUGGUCUUUAAUGUAAGUAAUUUAAGAUUAUCAUUAGUUUCAUUUUUAAUGUUCAGAUUUCAUAUUCAUCGGAAUGUUAUUAUAGAGAUGAUUUAAAUAUAAAUAUAGCAACAAAUAUUGUAAUUGGUACAAUAUCAGAAUGAAUUACAUAGGUAAGGCAUGUGUAUAUGAUGACCAAUCGAAGGAAGAACAAGGACUCUGUAUGACUGUAUGGUAGAGUUAAAAGAGAAAAUAUGACAUACUCUAAUACGCUCGUUAGUGACUUAUAUUAGUCUUUCACCUAAUGCUGUAAUAUGUUCAAUAGAGACUUGGUGUUUGUUUUAUAAUGUACUUAUCAUUUAAGUUUAAUAUUAUGUAUUAAAAUUAUUUAUGUGUAGUUUGAAAUUCUAGCUAAGCAACCCAAGAGCGGAGUGAAUUGAGUAUGCAAAAAAUUGGAUAAUAAUAUCACAAAACAAUUCUAGCAAAUAGUUUAAAGAAUUCAAUAACAAUAAAUACAACAAUGAAUAAACUUGCAAAGAUAAAGAGAAAGAGAAUAAAUAUAAGAUUUUUAUGUGGUUCGGCAAACCUCGCCCACGUCCAUGCCUUCAAGUAAAUUGAGGUUGAGGAUUUCACUAUCCAAACCUCACAAUCUAAGGUUUCAAGAUAUUUAUAAUUGACUUCCAAAAUGUCAAAAAAUCUUUACAAGUUCAGAUGAACAUUUACCUCUUUUCUCAAGUUAUCGUUAUGACUAAAUUUGAAAAUAUUGCACAAAUGGAUCGCUGCUUGGAAAUUUUCAAAUAUUGUAUUUCAAUCCUACAUACUCACCCAAUCAUAGUCAGUUUACCGCUUGAAGUUAAUGGUUCACCGUUUGAAUUCCAAAAACCUAAUUUAGCCAAAAACAUUAUGAAACUCGAUCAGGCCUAUUUACAAUUUACAAAGUGUAAUUUUUCUACUUUGCGUCAUUAAUAAACGUAAACUUUUGAGAAUGUCAAAAGGGUGGUUUAGAUUUAUCAUUGCUUGUUAAAAGCAUCGAUUUUCAAUCAAAUAGGUAUCAAUCUUCCACCAUUGAUAAUUUAAUUACAUUUAAGGAUAAAAUAAUCACCUUUUGCUAAAAAUCUCUAACAUUGUUGCAAAGGAAAAAAAAAUGAAAAUUGAUAUGAUUUGUAAAUUUCAAGUAGACUGUUAAAUUCAAUUCUUGUAGGCUUUUUGAGAUUGCAGAAAACAGCAGGUUGACAAUUCAUAAUUUUCCAAUAGAAUUUAUUUUUUUUCCAACUUUGACAAAUGUUAUUUUUUUAUCAACUAAUGAGAAACAAGAAAUGAAAUGCUUCAUAUGAGAAUCAACUUUCUCUAACGAUUUAAAUUUCUCAUGAUUCUCUUAACAAUUUAAAUUUAUAGGAGACUACAUGAAAUACAUUGCUGGGAAGGAGGCAUGGGGAUUGAUUUUCACUGUUCUUCAUCACUAUCAUCGCCAAACACUGAGGCAACAGCUAGUUUUGGCUUUCUCUGCAGCACUUCCAGUUGCGUUCUGCACAAGAAGCAAAGAAAAUCAGAAGAUAGUUGUCAGUUCUAUUCACCAAAAUUGCUUUUAAUGGGUAAGUGCAUCACAAGAAGCAAGAAAGUUAAUACAUGAUUGAAAGAAAUAAUAUCCCUAAGAAAAUCGUGAGCAUCAUCUUUUAGCGUAUAUUAAUCCAGGUUGCCCCGGAAAAGAAUAUCCAAUCAUCAAACAGCCUUUUGCAUUAUCUAUCAGCUAUACCUAUUCUGGCGAUUCUGUAUAAACCAAAUUUAACAAAACAACAUGUAGCAUUUUAUUGCGGCUCUAGAUUAUGAAGAUCUCAUAAUCUGAAACCUAUUUUCAGGCUAAUGAUAUAACUUGAACAUAUAGGACAACAAUUAGUCAAGAAUGGUUAAAAUGCAGGGGACUUCAGAACAUAGAACUGUAUAUUUGGCCAGUAAAAGAAAAAUCUAUUUAUAAAAAACAAGAACUAAGCAUACAAGCAAUAAGAAAAUAGUUAAAUUAUUUAGUUAUGAAUUAGAUGUGUCUACUAAUGGCAACCAAACUCAAAUUACUCAGAGGGAAUUGAACAAAGGAGUAAAUCAAUAAACUUCAAUUAUUUAUAGACUUCUGCAUGUUUUGAUAUUUCAUAAAUUAUUUAUCGUACUUGAAUAAACUUCAGCAUUUAAACAAAAAUAUUGAUAAUAUUUGUCUACAGAAAUCAAUGUUGUUCAUGUAUAUCUUUAGCAUGAAAGCCCUCUAUUGUGAAGAACUCAAGAAAGCAGAUGCAAAAGGGAACCAAGUCAUAUAUCAUAGAUGCACAGAUGAAUGUAUUUAUCCAUUUUACAAAAUUUUUAUAAUGAAAAGAAACUGAAGAAGGCAGGUUCAAAAGGGAAUCAUAUUUGCACCAGCAAGUAGAAAAAUAUGCCAAUACUAAAGCAAUAUAGGCCACCAAGAUCUGCAAGGAAGAUCACUGCAUGGCGAAGAAAGAAUACAGCAUUUUAAUACCAGUGUUCAGCCUAUCUUCAACAAAAAAAAAUUUAUAGAAGAGCAGAAAGCUGCAACAGCAGAGACAGAAUACCUAUCUAUCAAAGUCAAUGCAAAGAACUACAAGACUAAAGCUGCAACAGCAUAGAUCGGAUCCACAAGAUAGCAUUAUCUCUUUAAAGAAAGACCAUUUUACGACAUUGUACGCAUUAUCUCUUUCUACAGAAUAUCAUGAUAUUUAAAUAAAGAACAUAUUUUUUAUAAGUAAAAAAGAUCACUCAAAAAGCUCAAUACUUUAAAACCAGUUAAGCAAUUUAACUCUUCCCAAAUACCACAAUACGGAAAUAUGAUUCACACAACAUUACACAAAAGCUAGGAAUAGAUUUAGAAUAUGAUCCUAAAGAAACUCACUUUAGUUCAUGAAUGCCACCAAUAAGGUACAAACAUAGAAAAAAAAUAAUUUUUUUUUCCUAAAAUUUUAUGGUUUUCUAGCUAGGAAAUUCAUUCCAAGUACAUUCAUUCAACAAACUAGGACCAAGUAUUCUUUCGGCUUUCAGAACCUCAGUUUUCCAGCUUUAAUGACAGAAACAGAAUCAUAUUCCUGAAUAUCAUUCGAAACGAAUUUCAAUAUCAAUCAAGCAUUUUCCUUUCCUUUGUUUCCUUGAUAUAAAAAUGAAGUCUUUGAAAGCUUUAACAUAAAACGAGUAAACAAGUUGAGAGGAUACUGAGUUCAGCUAUAUUAACAAUUCAAAACUAAUUCCAUUAAAAAACCAGUGUUAUUACUUCAAAUAUAUCACAUCUAAUACACUGAAUAUUCAUAAAGAAGUAAAUCAUUCAUAAUACUUUUGCAGAGCGUUAUGAUUUCAACCAGUUUUACGAAACAGCUACAACCAGAAUAUCAAAUUAUAACUAGAAAGAGACCUGACGAAGGCCACCACCGAGCUUGAUGGUCUGGUUUGUCAUGCUAGCACUACUAGAAAAAUGGUCUUUGCUGAUACUUAUCUUGUGACACUUAAUUAAAAAGUAUCAGUAAUUACAUGUGUUUGGGGCAUUUUCCGUGUUUAACAGAUAAGUAUUACAAAUUUUCAAUACUAUAGUGUCUGUAAAUUAAGUAUCACAAAUAUGUGACAUUAAGGUAUCAGUAAUUAAAAAAAUAAAAUUUUAAUUUUGUAUCCACUGGGAGUCGAACCGCAGGCUUCUAUACUUUAACUUUUUAAUUUUAAACAUUAAGCCACCAAACCACAAGUUGCAUUUUUACUUAAUAAACAAUAAUUAUUAAAAAUUAAAUUAAAUUAUCUAGAAAGUAGAAACUAUGUCGUUUUAAUGAGGUGUACAUGGAAACCUAAAAUCUAAAAAUUUUGACGAGCAAAAAAUCUAUCCCCACCGCCACUUUCUUCUUUGAACCGAAGCUCUCUUCUCUCUCUCUCACCCCUCUCUCUCUAACAACGGUCUACCUCACAAGUCGUUGCUGUAAACCUUCAAAAUAAGCCGCCAUCCUUGAGCUAAAAUACCCUUGGAAAAAAGCCUAGAAAGUGUUGUGAAGAACUUGGCCAAAGUUAAGGUUCGAAAGUCAGAUUAAAAAAAUUAGGGCUUUUUUUUUUUAGGGGUAUUUUAUUGUUUUUAAUGUUGAGUUCAGAGAGGCCAUCGACAUUGUGGGGGUUUAAGACAAGGGGAUUGGGCCCUGCAGAGCCAAGAAGGCAAGUUAGAGGCGAUUCCUUGAUGAGAAUGCUAAUGCUUCUGAAAUGGAUUUUCUUGGAGGAGACCUUGCUGUUUCAGCCUUUGCAGAUCUUUCUUUUGAUCUUCCAUUGAGGUGGUUUAGAGAAAAAGGAAUUCAUGGACAUCUUUUUGCAUGUGCUGGGAACGUUGCCAAGUUAAUAGAGAAUGAAUACGGAAUUUCUCUUUGCCAAAGUUUUUGGAGUCAACUCGAAGUUCUGCUGGAGCUGGGAUUGUUUUUCCCACAAACCUAUUCCGCCUGGAGGUGAGUUAUCUGUUCUGUUGAGUUUAUGGAAUUUAAGCAACAUAUGAUGCUUUGAUCUGGGUGGUUGUAUGAUUGAGGAAAGAUAUAUGAUGCAUUAUCAAUCAAGGAUCUGAAGGUAUCUUGGCCUUAGUAAAUGGUCAUUUAGAGUUCUUCAGGACCAGUUUUUUCUUUGAAAAAUAAUUAUGAUUGAACACUGUCUUAAAAUGAUUAAAAGUUAAUUCAUUUCGGAAUAAAAGGAGGUCCUAUACUUCCAUAAUCAAGAAUUGUUAAGGGAAAUAUUUGAUUUUUACUUUGUGGGUCAUUAUCCAUAAGUAAUAUUUGCAAACAUGUAACUCUAUAAUUGGGAAAGUUGAUUUUUGGGUAUUUGUCAAACAUUUAAAUAUGUGGGGGACUAUCCCAUUGAACUAGUAGAUAUUUGUAUGGAUGUCCAUUGAGCUUUUGUUUAACUUCAAAUGUCUACUUCUUGAGUCAUUACUUCUAUAUAUGUAAAUCCUAGUUUAAAGUGCCUGCAAAGAGGUGAUUGUUUCUAUUUCCAUGCUUAAGUUCAUCAUGAAGUUUCCUUUGAUAAACUUGCAGUAGAAAACAUGGAGGGGAAUGAGUAGGGAAAGAGCAUUACAUUGUUGGUCAGAUUUAGGAAAUGCUUGAUGGAGUGCCCUUCUUAUACCUCUUCAUUUUUUUGGACUUGGCUUGUAAAUUGUAUUAUCACCUUGCCAAAUAGAAGUCAAUUUUUAGUCCUUGUUUUUCUUCCUUUAAUCUAAGAUUGAAUAACUUUUCGCAUGAAUACCUCCAUAUUUAGAAAAUUUGUAAUUAUUAUUCAUUGAUUUAUUUAUAAUAGAGCAUUUGUGAUAGCUUUUAACUAUGCACAAAAAUCAUUUGGUAUAUGUAGAUAGAGUAACAUGCUUGUGCUGAAAGUAGAUAUUACAUUGAAAACUUCUUGUCUGCUAUAGUUUGCUAUAUAUAUAACCUUUACCAAAAGAGAAUAAUUGAGUUUAUUUAUAAAUAGCUUAUGAGUAUUUUUUUCUUUCGAACAAAAUAAUUUUAGUUCUGUUAAUUGUUGUUUCUCUAAUGGCUCGAUAUUGGCAGCUAAUUUUUUUUUUCUUUUCCAUGUAUUCAUAUGCAGAUUUGAUCAAUGUGUUUGAAGUGUUUAUUCUUCAACUUCACUUAUAUCCUAACCUAUACAGUCUAUUGAAUAGAGAAGCUGCUGGUGGAUAACGCAAUUAUACUACUCAUAUUCAAAGAGUGAAAGGCAGUCAUCCUUGUCAAUUUAGCUUAUAGAUUUAUUAAAUUUAGCCACAAGUAGUAGGCAUUUGAUUGGAUAGUAGAAAUUUUUAUGUAUUGAAUUUGGAUUAUUUAGUUAUGAGAGUAGGAUAUCUCAUAUUUUUGUUAUUAAAGUUUUGGAAUUUGUAAUAUAUACUAAUAAUAUUUAAAUGUGAAAUGAAAGAUUUUAUGAUAUAAAUCAAUUUCUUUUUGUUAUUUUGUGGUGCCUUUUAAUUUUCUGAAUAAAUCAAUAGGCAAUGAUCCAAUUUAAUUUUUUAUUUUUUUAAAAUAAAUUAACUAGUGAUACCAUGGUAACAGUAAUCAUAGACACUAAUAAAAUAUCAAUAACUACUAAUACUAUGGUGUCAUAAUAUCGGUGAUACUGUAGUAAUAGUAAUUACUGACACCACUUACAAGUGUCAUUAUUUUUCUAACUCCCAGAUUACUGACACAAUUAACAAGUGUCAGUGAAAGUAAUUUCUGACACUAUUCUAAAGUCAGUAAAGACUAUUUUUCUAGUAGUGUAGAUAGGUCAAGCACCGCGUCACCUGGAACCUAAAAUUGUUAAAAUAGUUAAAAAUAAUUAAUUUAAAAAAAAAAUAAGUAAGCGCAUAAAAAAGAACAGAAGAAACACAAGAAAAAAAAUACAAACCACUAUCUUAUCAACAAAGUUCGCUGUUGGCUCGUCUUCAUGAAAAUACCAAAGGGCUUGAACGGUAUUUUCGCAACAACUUUCCCCUCUAGAGGCCAAACACGACAAACAGAACGAGGGCGACAACGGCGCCGGAUUUGAACUUGAACAACGACGUAUCGCGGCUGAAUUCUUUAAGGCUGGUCUCGACACGGUCAAUCUUUUUGGUCUUGGACUUUUUGGCGGAGAUUUUAGCUGGGUUUUCGAUUUUCAUAGUCUCGAGUUCUUGACGGCUUUGUCGAUCGAGGAUUUGAGGGAUUUGUAAGAGUUGGUUCGCUAAAUGAGAAGCCACGAGGUUGAUUCGCAAAUGAUGACGUGCUUGUAAAUGGUUCCGUUUAUGAUUGGGAGAUUUCGAUCAAAAUUAAUAUGAUGAAUUCUUUGCAAGUGUUUUCCUUUGAAGUGUCAUCUUUCAUAAAGUUUGUAAAAUCAAGGUGUUACCAUCUCUGAAUAAAUAUUUACUCUUGAUUUAGACCGGCUAAUCUGAAAUUGAUGAAAGAUUAUGAUUUUGUGUGAUUUUAUGAAUGCAGUCCUAUCUCGUGAAAGUCAGUAUUGAAUGAAUUAUAGUUUGCAGACAAAUUACUCAAAAGCUGCCGCUGCUUCAUUAUUCACAUUACCCAAAUUCAGUGCAGAACUUAUCAUAAGUCCAAAAAUUUUGUGCUUUAUUUGGCUUCACUCAUGUAAAUUUUUUCCACCCAAAUCCCAAGUACUUCCUGCAAUAUCAUUCCUGUGUAGAUGUUUUCCCCUAAGACAUGUUUAACAUUGGUUCAGGGUAAACAAAGCUACAGCCUUUCUUGCAAUGCGCAACAAGUUACUAAAUCAGAGUAUUUAUUUCUGUAUUACUACUGCUAGUAAGAGAGGCGAAAUGGAAAUAUGAACUCAACUUUGUACAAAGUUUGUUAAUAAAUAAAUGAGUUGAUAAAGGGACAUUUUAAAUAUUUACAACAAAUGGAGAAUGAUAUCUAGUUCUAUAUUCAAUGUUUAGAGUCCAAUUGUGAUCGAUAGUGAUAUAAUUACCCCCAUUAGAAAUUUUAAUUAUGAAGUUGCAGUAAAAAUUUAUUAUAAUAUGUUGCACCUUUCUAUACAAUCAUCUGGAGUAAUAACAUAUCAAAAAAAUAAUAACUCGACUUACAGGGUAAGACAGAAAAGAAAGACGCUAAAAGAGAAGCAGAGAUUCAAAGACUUGACCACUUUGUUGGAGGGACAAUUACGUAAAUCUCCAGAAUACUGAAAUAAAGCACUUGCAAUAUCUAGCAUUACGUGUGUAUAUAUAUGUAUAUGUCCAAAGACAAAAAUUCGAAGAUUAGAUCUCUCAUUUCAUUUUAUGCUCAAAGCAAUGGCUUUUGUUCCACAAGCACAAACAAGGAAGAGUACGCACAAAGUUAACAAACACACAUAGCAAAUAUGACAUUAACAAGUUGCAGCAUCAUCAUCCAGAAACUUCACUCUAAUCGUCUUGAGCUUUGCAGCGGCAUCUUUCACAGAUACCCUCUGUUCUUGUGACUUCAUGCAACAAUCAAACGCCAAAUGCAUGAUGCUUAAUAAACAAUUCAUUUUGGCGGAAAAAGCUUGCUCUUCUCUUACUAAUUUGCAUCAACAGCAUCCGUCAGUGCCUGAGGUAACGAGUCCUUUAUCUAGUCUCCGAAACUUAUUUCUCCAGUAAACAUUUCAUCAGUGGGCGUCUUUCUCGUGAAAGUUUCCAUCAGUAAAACACAAUAACUAUAGAUGUCACAUUUGGCCGAAAUUAUUCCUUCUGAUCCGUACUCUGCAAUUUUUGGUUUCAAUAUAUCAAAUAUGAGAUUAUGAAACAAAUGAUAAACAAAUAAUCUUUUGAUAACCAAGGUGACCCAAACUUUCCCUGUGCUUGGAAAAAGAGCAAAAAUUUGAUACUAUAAUUGAAACCUUACCUGGUGCCAUAUAACCAAUUGUAGCCAUUGUCAUUAUGAAUCUAGAAGAAUCUUAUUUGUUAAUGAAUGAUUCCAGAAUGCACAACUGAGCUUGCAUUGCUCGAUUUAUACUGAUUACAAAACUGAUGAUACAGACAUUUCAUUUCAUAACUAACUACUAACAAAUAUUGCCCUAAGCCUAUUACAAUGUGCCAUCUGUUAAUUCUUCCAACAGUACUAGAAUCUUCACAUAACGACUUGGACACAUCAGCAUAAAGUCUAUUUGUGGAAUGUUCUAUGCUGAAUUUGUGCUAUCAAACGUUGAUGGAGAAACACAAUUUUCUUCUUAGAAAAAAUUAUUAUCUAAAGAUUCACACAUGUUAGAAGAGAUUCGAACAAAGGUUUAUUAGUUCGUGGGAAAAACAAUGUUAAUGAAACGAGGUCUUGGUCUCAUAGAGAUAGAGAAAAACAAUUUGUGCAUUCUCUUUACUCGUGGGAUCUAGUUUCCUUAAUUUUGUCCUCAUUCUUUAUUUUUUUUAUAUGCUGAGGAUACACAAAAACAAUGUAGGCUGAGUUUGAUUGUGAAUAAUCUCUUGUGGAAGGAAAUGACUGUUAAGGAUUAGUUAGAAUAAAACUAUAUUCGGAGGGAGAUGGGGUACUUGGUGGGAUGAAUAGUUUGAUUCUGGGGAAAAUAAAAGACAUAACAUUGAUAGAGGACUAUCAGAUUUCUCCGUCCCAUCUACGCUGAGAUCAAAACAAUUGGCUCCUAUUCCGCAAGCACAAACAAGACAGAGCAGCAAAGUCAGCAACAUUCGGAACGAGUACAAACAGAGGUGGAGGACAUGUCACUCUGCGUUUGCAAUGUCUCCGACGUGUCGUUCUCUAUUAAACGACGUCGAAUAAUAUCAGUGUACGACAAGUGACUAACGGCGGUUAUGGCCGUUAAAUGAGCACGUGAUGGCACGUGAGCAACUAAAUUAUAUUAGCUCAGAAACGUCAAGCUUAGGACCUUUUGAUCAUUACUCAAGUUGCACGCGUGGAGCGCGUGUAAGAAGCAGUUACGGGCCGUUUCUUUUGGCGGGAAAAAAUCUGGGAAACUUGCCCAACAGGCAGAAACAACGGUUAUAUAAAUGCUGAUUAACAACUAUUAUUUUCAGAGGUUGUUAAGAGAGCUCAAAGAGAGUUAGAGAGAGAAAGUCAUCUUGAUUUGUUCUCUAUAAUGCCCUUGAGGCUCUUGUAACCUUGUUCUCUUGAGAUUAGUGAAGCCAUUAACUUGAUCUUGAUCUACUCUAGAUGUAGUCACCUCUGGUGCUGAACUACUAUAAAUAUUUGUAUUCUUUGUUUACUGAUCUAUUAAUUGUUAAUUUCCUUUUCAAAUCAGUGUUUGUGAAUCUUGAGUAUUUCUUGUCCAACAUUGUGGUCUUGGGGUGUUAAUUUGGGAUCGAAUCGCAACACCCAUAAACAUAUCAUCUGUGGGCUUCUUUCUUUCCACCAAUAAAACGCCAUAGCGAUAGACAUCCCCAUCUGGAAGGAAUAAUUCCCUCAAUUCCGUAGUCUGCAUUUUUAUCUUCUUUUAAAUUUCAACAUAUCAAAAAGAGGUCUCUUUAUGAAAUAAAUUGUAAAUAAAUAGCGUUUGGAAUAAAUUUUGCUUGUGUUUAAAAAAAGGGGCAAAGUUCGAAAUAGACUUGAGACAUUACCUGAUGUCGUGUAAACAAUUGUGGCAAUUGUCAAUGUUGUCGCGGUAUCAUCUUAUUAAGUAUGAUUUUAUGAAUGUUGAGCAACCCAGUCUUAUCUCAUGUAAGUCAGUAAUGAAUUAAUUAAAAUUUGCUGACAAGUUACAAACUCAAGAACUGCUGCUGCUUCAUUACCCAAAUUCAGCUCAGAACAUAUCAUAAGUUUUCCAAAAUUUUUAUGCUUCUUUGUUUUGGCUUCAUUCAUGUAAUUUUCCCCCCCAAAUCCCAAGUACAUUCUGCAAUAUUGUUUGAUGUCCAAUGUGAAAGCACGUUUCUGUACAGAUACUUUCCCCUUAGACAUGUUUAACUUUGGUUCAGGGUAAGAAUGUGCAACAACCUGUCAGAGUGAAAUCGAAAGCAGGGUUGUGGUUGAUGGCAAUCGUAUCACCAACAGAAGGCCAGGAACUUCCAUAUAGUUUGCACUGGCAAUUGCGGAGAAGUAUUUUGGUCGCAACAAAGCACUGGAGCUUGCAAAGAUAAUGCUUUACACUCGUACCUAAACGAUUGUAACGAGAACUGGUCUACUAUUGAACUGGAGUAUUCAUUUCUAUAUUACUACUACUAGCAGAGAGGCGAAAUGGAAACUUGAAUUCAUGUUUGAAUAGGGAUUCUCUGUGUUGAUUUGCACAACAGUUUGUUUAUAAAUGAAUGAGUCCAUAUCUAGUAUUAAGUCUGUAUGUGUACAAAGUUACAAAUUCGAAGAUUGGAUUUCUAAUUUCAAUUUAUGUUCGGCUCAAAGUAAUGGCUUUAAUUCCACGAGCACAAGAAGGAAAGAGUACGCACAAAGUUAACUGGUUGCUGCAGCAUCGUCCAGGAACAUCACUUUAAUCUUCUUGAGCUUUGCUGCAGCGUCUGUCAUAUUUUUCCUCUUGUCGGGUGACUCCAUACAGCAAUCCAAUGCCAAAUCCAUAAUGCUUAAUAUACAAUCCAUUUUGGCAGAAAAAGCUCGCUCUUCUCGCACCAAAUUUGCGGCAACAACUUUAGUCAAUCCGUGAGGUAAUGACUCCUUUACCCAUCUCCUUAAACUCAUUUCUCCUGUGAACAUUUCAUCGGUGAGCCUCUUUCUUGUGAAAGUUUCCAUCAACAAAACACCAUAGCUGUAGAUAUCACAUUUAGCUGAAACAAUUCCUUCUGAUCCAUACUCUGCAUUUUUUAAUUUCAAUUAUUAAACAAAUGAUAAAACAAAUAAUUUUUUGAUAAUUAAGGUAACCCAAACUUUGCUCGUGCUUGAAAAAAGAGUAAAAAUUUUAAUUACAAUUGAAACUUUACCUGGUGCCAUAUAAUCAAUUGUAGCCAUUGUCAUGGUUUGUGUCACAAAAUCUUCUCCUUAACCUAAGAGUUUGGAAAUGCCGAAGUUGCUCACGCGUGCCACCAUAUUUUCAUCCAAGAGAAUGUUGGGAGGCUUCAAAUCACAAUGAAUUAUAGGUGCCGACGAAUGACCAUGAUGGAGAUAUUCAAGAGCCGACCCCACAUCUAUUAUUAUAUUCAACCUCUCUAGAAUGUCUAAGAAAUAGUUGUGAGAAUACAACCACUUCUCGAGACUACCAAUCGGCAUGAACUCAAGUACCAAUGCUUUGAAAUCUGGAUUAGAACAACUGCUAAGGAUCUUUAUGAGAUUUCGAUGACGAACAUUCCGUAAAACUUCACAUUUAGAAUCAAAACUCCUAAAUGCUCUCUCUAGUUGCAAAUUGAAAAUCGUUAUCGCAACAUCAGUCUCGUCGGAAAUAGUUCCUUUAUAAACUGGUCCAAAACUAUUUGUACCAAGCAAGUUACAUUCAUUAAAUUCAUCAGUUGCUCGUUGAAUGUCUAGGUACUGUUUGGUAACGGAAAAAGGAGAAAAAAAUGGAGUGGAGGCAUUACUUUUAUCUCAUCCUUAACUUCUGAGGGUGGGGGAUCUCUUUCUCUCUUCUUCUCAUGGAAAAUUCUUUCUUUUACACUCUACUUUUCUGCAAAUUACUCAAAAGGUUUUUUAUUUUAAGGCAAUGUUUAUUAAGCCACAUGAGUGGUGGCACAAGUUUUUCCCAAAGGCCUAGAAACUACCUUGAGCGUCGGAGGGUUCAAAUGCGCCCAAGCACACAGCCCAAAGCCUCUGUGUGUACUCAGACGGGCCCCAAAGGCCUGUAUCUCAUUCAUAUCAUCUGUAAUAUUUGUCUCUCAAUAUCUGUCUGUAUCUCAUAUUUGUAUCUCUGUAAUCAUCAUACCGCAUGCAUAUGCCCCCAAAAGGCAAAAUCGCCCAAACACACGGCCCAAAGCCUCUUUGUGUGUUCAGACGGGCCCCAAAUACCUCUCAUCUCAUCUCAUCUGUAUCACUGUAUCUAGAGGGAAGGGUAUUGUCCAAUGAUUUUAAAAACAAUCUCUAUACUCAUAUUCAUGUAUAUUCUAAUCAUACUUUAAAUCAUACAUUUCUUUUCAUUAUCACAUCUAAAUCCACUUUUCUCAUCUUUAAAAUACUAUUGUAUUUCAUUCAAAGUCGACACAGAAAAUCAUUGACCAAACAUUUUAAUAUAAUAUCAAUGCGUGCAUAAAAUCCAUUUCGAGGAAAUCAUUAAAUCAGAACAUUUAAAAUACUUAUUUCACAAACAUGCUUUACUAUCAUAAUUAACUAUGAAAAUAGGUUUUGUAUAUUCCACUCACAGUGACGGUGUUCACGCUCGGUUAUCGUUCACGUCCGCGGACCGAUUCUCACUCGCGAAUCAUCCAAAAUCAAGGAAACGACAUAAUUAUUUUUCGUAAAUCGGAACUAAGACUAAAUUUAUGCAAUAAACUCGAAACGACCAUCUAUUACUAAAAUACCCUCGAAUCCGUAAAUCGUUAAAAUACUCUAAAAUCGUAAAUCACCGAAUUACCCUCGGAAUUGUAAUUACACCCAAUCCUCAAUUCCAUGAAUUACUAAAAUAUCCACAAGCUCAAAAAAUUACAAAAUUACCCUCAAGAAUGUGAAAUUACCAAAUGCCCUUGCCAGUCAAUGGUCACCGGAAUUUGGUCAACGCUGGCCGGGAAGCACGGGUUAGACACUUUUGGCCAAGCUAAGUUCAAUGAUACCAGCGGUGAGCUCCAACGCGCGGCAACGAUGCUGGAAUCUAGCUCGGCAGCCGUGAAUUUCCAACAAUUGGAUGGCGGCGAAACAAUGACUCCCGGUGGCUAUGGAUGGUCGAAAAUGGAAGAGGGAGUCAUGGGGAACAAAAUCCAACCGGUGGUGUCACCCAAAAUCGGCGAAGCAAAGCGAAACAGUCGCGGGUUUUCAAGCUUUGGUCGCGGGCGUUCUGGUUGUUUUUCGGCGAUGUGAACGGCAGGGGUAUGAUGGCCGGUCUUCAAGCUUCAAAUUGGUACCAAGCUUGACCGGAACGGUGGCCGGAAAUGGAAGUUACGACUGGUCACGUUUGCGGGUCGGGUCGGGUUUUUGGGUCUGUAGUUGGUAGCUUCUCUCACUCACACGUGUGGCUUCCCUCUCCUGUUUUCCAGCUUAUUCUAUUAUUUAUUUUAACCUUUAACCGCCUCUUUUUAUUCAUUUAAUUCACAUAUGUUACAGUACUAUUGACUAUGUGUGUAUAGAUAUUUUGUUUUUACCAUGUAAUUUCAUAUUGGAUACAUUUUUAAUUGUACAUUGCAUAGCGUCAUGAACGGGAAUGAUAAAAUAAAUUUCAAGCAUGUUUAAGUAGAUGAAAAAACUUUGUACGAUUUAGAAGGAUUUACUGAUUAAAUAAUUAUCCAAUUUGUUUGCCUGGAGGAAUUGAAUAGUUAAUUGAUUAGAGGACCAGCUGGGCAUUGUAAAUAUUAACGGUCAUUAUUAAACAAAUGAUAAAACAAAUAAUACUCUUAUAACAAUAUUUUUUACAUUAAUUUUUUAAUCAAUAAAAAAAGGUAACUAACAAAUUAACUGAUAAAUUAAUUUGUUAAUAGUUUUUGUUAAUUUUUUAAUCAAUAAAAAAGUUAAUUAAAAAAUUUACUUAUUAGCAAAUUAAAAAAUAAAUAUUAGCAUAAAAUAAUUGAUAUUUCAUUCUCUUACAACAAUCUUACUAAUUAUUAUUUAUAAAUUAAUUAAUACAAGUUAAUUUAAAAUAAUGUUUAAUAUUCUUGUAACAACCUUUCUAAUAAUUGUUUUAUAAAAAAAAUUAAUUUAUUAAAUUAAUCCUAAAAGUAAAAUAAUAAUAAUUAAUUUAUAUUUUAUUUUUAAGAUUAAUUUGAUAAAUCGUGGUGCCCGGCAGGUAAAAAGCCAUGUCACCCUCAUUCUUAAGCUGCUACAGCAUUACCACUCUGUCAGUUGCCACGAAGCUCCCCACAUCAUUACCGUAACGAUGCCUCUAGAAAACUAACUUAAAAAAAUGGUAUUAAUAAGCGUACGCCACGUCACUCCUCACUCUCUUCGUCACUUUCCUCUCACUCAACAUUUUCUCCCCAAACAAAUUCCUUCUUUGAAAAAUCGCAUUUUCUCCUUCACAGCAACAGCUACAAUGUCUUCAACUUCCAAAAAGGUAAUUUUUUUUUAAUUUUAUUUUUUGUUUUGUUUCUUUCUGUUGCCUUUUUGUUUCGUUUUUUGAAUUUUCUGUGUCGUUUUUUUAUCCAAGGUUUUGGUGCCUGUUGCGAACGGGAGUGAGCCGAUUGAGGCCGUGAUAACGAUCGAUGUUUUGAGAAUGUCUGGAGCUGACGUCAGGGUUGCGUCUGUGGAUAAACAGCUUCGUGUCGACGCGUGUCAUGGUGUCAAGAUUGUCGCUGAUGCUCUUGUGUCUGACUGCCGCGACGCCGUUUUUGAUCUUAUAGCUCUUCCCGUAUGUAUUGCAGCUCACCUCAGCUCAUGCUAAUUUAUGUGAUGUUUUUAUAAUUAUAGAUUAUUAUUGCUGAUACUGAAUGUUAAGCUAAAUAAUUUGUUGUUAAGUCAUCUUCAUUUAAUUUUCGAUUGAAAAUGAAAAAAAUAGUAAUUUUGAGCAAAGAAAAAUGUAGAAAAUGUUUAUUUUGUUUUAUUUUUAUUUUUAAAUUUUUGGGAUUUCCUUAUUGUGACUGUUAUCAUUCAUUAUAUGGUCCUAGUUAAAUGUUUCAAGUUGUUGUAGUCUGUGAAACUCUUUUCGAUAUUUAUUCUGGCAUGUACAUUUUUCCUUUCAAUUUAUUUCGUUGCUGAUACUUUGAUUAUGAUAUAUCCUUUUUUGUUUCCCUUGUAGGGUGGCAUGCCCUGUGCUACCAAUCUGAAAGAAUCUGAAGUAUUAGAAACCAUUGUGAAGAAGCAGGCUUCAGCUGGGCGUCUUUAUGCUGCUGUCUGUGCUUCACCUGCUGUGGCAUUAGGGUCUUGGGGUCUGUUGAAGGGAUUGAAGGUAAGAAUUAGAUAAGCCUUUUUUAUGUUUUGUGUUCUUUUGGGAAUUGCAUUGAUAUUUGUGUUAUACAUCAGUUUUGCUCUCACCGAUGAUUGUUAAGUUCUAAUUUAUAGGGUUUUUGAUUUUUUGUAGGCUACUUGUUACCCGUCAUUUCUGGAGCAAUUAGCUCCUGCUUGUGCAGCAACUGUUGAAUCAAGAGUACAGCAGGAUGGUAAAGUUGUUACGAGUCGUGGACCUGGCACUACUAUGGAGUUUGCCGUUGCACUUGUCGAGCAGUUGUAUGGGAAAGAGAGAGCUGAUGAAGUUUCUGGGCCACUGGUAGUAACUUUUAUAGAUAAUGUUGUUUAAAAAAAUUGUGAGUUAUAUAAUUUGUGGAAAUUCAUUCUAAUAGGUUCAUCUGGUAUGUCAAAUUGGAAGGUUCAGAUACUAAUGUAUUCCAAAAAAUUAGUUCAGGGGAAAAGUAUGACCUUUUGCAUUGGAGAUUCAUUAGAUGAAGUUGUAGACCUGCUGGCCCAUCUUAAUGUGGUGAAAACGAUGUCUGAUAAGACUGAUAUAAUUAUCGGAAUCUUGAUAAAUGCAUUUGUUGAGCUUCAAUGUCUCCACGGAUCACAUUCUUUUUAAUGUAAGUUCUUUCUCUUGGUAUUUGUCUUUGAAUUUUCUCUUCCUUAUGCUUUCGUCUUACUUAAAUUCCUUAGGAAUUGCUUUGAAGAUGACAAGCAGAGCACAAGAGACCAGAAACUUGUAUUGAAAAUAAAACUUGAAUUGAAUUCUGUUUACAGACCAUCGUCUAUUUAUACAUAAGAAAACAAAAGUGACAGCUAGCUAAAAAUAACAAAUUCAGAUAAAACAAAAUAAUCCAGCAAUCAUUAGCCAAUGAUAUGAUGCUUCCAGAAUCUUCAUCCAUUUAUUCCAUGUGCUGGUAUUUCUCUGUGUAGUAGUUUUGCCACCUCAUUGAAGUUGCAUCAGCUGGUAAAUAGGUGUAGCUUAGGUGGCAUGCCAAUGUGUCACUGAGCUCAGCUGAUGAUUUGUCAUGGUCAUGGCUGCUAUCUUCAACACCCUCUUUCAAACACAAGGUUUUGUCAAACACCUUGAGUUUGCUUCUGAAGCAGCUGAAUUUAUAGUAAGGUAAUGGCUUGGUUAGAACAUCAGCUAUUUGGUCUCUGCCUGCAACAAAACUGAUUUCCAACUCUCCUCUAGCUACCAUGUCUCUGAUAAAGUGUAGAUCUAUCUCGAAAUGCUUAGUUUUGGAGUGAAAUACAGGAUUGGUUGCUAUUGCAGCUGCACUUGUGCUAUCACUUAGGAUUGUUGGUGUUCUUUGUAUUUCUAUUUUCAGCUCACUUAGCAGAGAACCAAUCCAUGUGAGUUCUGUAGUGCAAAGAGCCAUUGCUCUGUAUUCUGAUUCAGCCGUAGAUCUAGCAACUAAGCCUUGCUUUCUUGAACUCCAAGCAAUGAGGUUUCCACCCAAGAAUACACAAUAACCACUGAUAGAUCUCCUGUCAUCCAAGUCAUUUGCCCAAUCUGCAUCCGUGUAAGCUAUUAGAUCAAAGUACUCUGAUCUUUUGAAUUUCAGACACAUGUUCAUGGUGCUCUUGAGAUACCUCAACACUCUUUUGCAUGCUAUCCAGUGAGGUUGCCUGGGAUCAGACAUGUAUUGGCUAAGCUUGUUCACUGAAUAAGCAAGCUCAGGUCUUGUGAGUAUUGCAUACUGCAGGCUACCUAUAACACUUCGAUACAAUGUGGGAUCAUAAAACUUUUCUCCUCCAUUUUUCUUUAGUUUCUCUGUGGUACUGAAAGGUGACUCAAUUCCUUUACAGUCACUCAUCUCUGUUCUGGCAAGUAGAUCUUGUAUGUACUUGGUCUGAGAUAACAUAAUGGCAUUUUGGUUUCUGUUCACCUGAAUCCCCAGAAAGAAAUUCAGCUCCCCCAAGUCUUUUAAAGCAAAUGCUCCAUUUAAAUUGCUGACCAGCUCUUCAAUACUGCCACUACUGUCACCUGUAAUGAUGAUGUCGUCAACAUAAAUCAGCAAUAUAACUAUCUCAGAUUUUGUUCUUCUGUAGAAUAGUGAGGUAUCACACUUGGAGUUUUCAAAUCCCCAAGAGUUCAAAGCACCCUUUAGUUUGUCAAACCAUGCCCUGGGAGCUUGUCUCAAACCAUACAAUGCUUUCUUUAAUCUGCAUAUGUGAUUAGGCUUACUUUUGUCCACAAAACCUUCAGGCUGUGGCAUGUAAACCAUUUCUGUCAGCUCACCAUUCAAGAAGGCAUUAUUUAUGUCUACUUGCCUCAAACUCCAGUCAUUGUUUACUGCCAAGGUGAGGAUAAUUCUGAUUGUUGCAGCCUUAACAACAGGGCUAAAUGUCAUGACCCAACCCAGACCUGGCAAGAUAUUGUCCGCUUUGGGCCUUAACAAGGCCCGCACGGAUUUGUUCUUGGGGCGCCCAUACACCCCAAAACGCGUCUUGCCAAUUAAGGUGUGGAUCACCCCUUAUAAACCCAGCAUCUCUCCCGUGCUUUGCCGAUGUGGGAUUCGCCUGGGGUGUUACAUACACCCCCCCUUGGGGACUCAGCGUCCUCGCUGAGGUUUGCCCCACCAUCGCUCAAGAGGACACGCGGAACCGCUCUGAUACCAUAAUGUCAUGACCCAACCCAGACCUGGCAAGAUAUUGUCCGCUUUGGGCCUUAACAAGGCCCGCACGGAUUUGUUCUUGGGGCGCCCAUACACCCCAAAACGCGUCUUGCCAAUUAAGGUGUGGAUCACCCCUUAUAAACCCAGCAUCUCUCCCGUGCUUUGCCGAUGUGGGAUUCGCCUGGGGUGUUACACUAAAAGUUUCUGUAAAAUCAAUACCUGGAAUCUGCAAAAAUCCCUUCACCACUAGUCUGGCCUUAUAUUUGUUUAUGGUUCCAUCUGGAUUCUCUUUGACUCUGUACACCCAUUUAUUUCCAAUCAACUUGCAACUUGAGUUACUUGGUACCAAGGUCCAUGUUUCAUUUUUUAGCAAGGCAUUGUAUUCAUCUUCCAUUGCCUCUUUCCAGUUUGGUUCUUUUAAGGCUUCUGAAGUGUUUAAGGGUAAUGCAGUCUGUGGUUGAGUAGAAACUUGGUAUAAUUUUGGUUUAAAGAUCCCUGCCUUAGAUCUUGUUACCAUAGGAUGUGAUGGUAUGACUUCUUUUGUGUUUGGAGCUAUGAUAGGGGAUGAAGGUUGGUCAUUUUCUUGAGGCUGGUGAUUUGUAUGAGGAGAAGACAUUUGAUUAUUUGACAUCAUAUCAGUGCUCAAGUUCUGUUGUGUCUUACCUUGGUCAAGGUUCUGGAAUUGUUCUGAAGCUUCAGGAGUUUCCAGAGAGUGGCCUUGAUCAACUGCUGUCUGAGUGCUUUGAGGAGUAUCAAGAGAGAAUGACACGACCUGAAAUUUUUCUAAGAGAGUAAUAAAAUCACUUUGACUUGUGGACUCUUGUCUACUGAACUUGGUAUCAUUAGAGAAAGGAAAUGAGCUUUCAUUGAAUCUGACACUUGCAGAGAUAUAUAUUCUACCUGAGUGAUGCAUGCAAACAUAUCCCUUGUGAGUUAUGCUUAUUCCUAGCAAUGUGCAUUUGACAGUAUGGAAAUCAAGCUUGUGUUUGUUAUAUGGCCUCAAAAAUGGAUAGCAUUCACAUCCAAAUACUCUGAUUUGUGAGUAAUUUGGUUUGCAAUGGUAAACCAAUUCAAAGGGGGUUUUAUUUCCAAUGACAGGUGAGGCUAAUCUGUUAAUAAUGUAGGUGGCAUAAGUGAAAGCUUCUUGCCAGAAUUUUAAUGGCAUUUUAGCUUGUGCCAGCAAUGUGAGUCCAGUUUCUACCACAUGUCUGUGUUUUCUCUCAACCUUGCCAUUUUGUUCAUGUAGAUAUGGACAUGAUUGUCUCAAUGUUAUCCCCUCUUUGUCAAGAAAUUCUUUGAAUGGUUUAAAUUCUCCUCCCAUGUCUGUCUGUAAUGCUUUAAUUUUCAGAUUCAAUUGAUUUUCAAUUUGGCUUUUAAAGGUGAUGAAUGUAUUGAGAGCUUGGGAUUUUGUUGUCAAGGGAAACAGCCAGGUGUAUCUUGUCAUAUCAUCCACAAAAGAUAAGUAAUAUCUAUGUCCAUGACUUGAGGGAAUUGGUGCUGGUCCCCAUAAGUCAGCAUGAAUCAAUUCUAAGGCCUUGCUGGUUUUAGUUUCUGUGCUUUUGAAGUUUUGUUUAGAUUGUUUUCCAUACUGACAUGCACAACAAAAUGAAGGAACAGAAUUCUUGUUUAUUUUGAACUGAUUGCAAGACAACAGGGUGCUUUUCAGAGCAGACUCAUUUGGGUGCCCUAGUCUAAGAUGCCAAAGAUCAAUGUCUUUCAAAGCAUCAUUGCUUGAUCUAUCAGUUUCAGAGGACUCAACACAAACAUUUGCUAACUUGACACUACUCAAAUUAAAUGACAACAUAGACACUGGAUUGCUGAUGCAAUUUAUUGACUCAGGCAUGAAGGAAGAAGAUAAGACAGCAGCAUAAGGAGUUUUGUUCCCACUCAGGUGAGUAGGUAAGCACAGCAGUUCAUAAAGCCCCUCUCUAGCCACUCCUUUCACCAGAAUUUUCCCUUGUCUCUUGUCCUUGAUAAAACACACAGAUUUUUGAAAUUCGAUAUCAAUGUCAUUAUCAUGCAAUAAUCUGGAAAUGCUAAUGAGAUUUUUAGUGAUGCUUGGCACAAAUAAUAUGUCAUUUAAAGUGAUGUGUUUAUGUGGAUUUGAAGUGAAGAGCAUAGAGUUACCAAUAUGAGAAAUCAGGAGUUUUUCACCAUUUCCAACAGUUAGAUUUUCAUUACCUUGAUACUCAGAGUUGGUGUUUAUGUUGCUAAGGGCAUUUGUCACAUGGUUUGUAGCACCACUGUCCAAGUACCAGGCUCCACUGUUUUGGCCAUCAGUUGCAGCCACAUAUGCACCUCUUGGUUCCCUCCUUUGGCUUGGUUGUGGUACAUAAUUCUUUUUAAAUCUGUGCCAGCAAUCAGCAGCCGUGUGUCCCAUUUUCCAGCAAAUUUGACAAGGCCCCUUUGGAUUUGCACCAUCAUCAUCACUUACAGCUUUGCCCUUCCCUUUGUCAUGAGAGUUCUGAUUUCCUUGACCAUUACCAGAUCCAUUGCCAGGGGUUCUGAAGACUAUGCCAGGUUGAUAUUGAUUUCCAGCCCUGUUCUGGUUGUUCCAAUUCCUUCUCCCAUUUCUCAUUUGUGUGUAGUUUGCUUCUAUAGUUCCUGAGCUUAGGUUGUGUUCAGUUCUGUUUUCUUGGCUGAGAAGCAUGCCAUAGACUUCAGAAUGUGAGGGACUUUCCUGCAUUGAAUUUAUGCUAGCAAUUACUGAAUCAUAUUCUGAUCCCAAACCAGCAAAUACACACAUGAUAAAGUCAUCAUCACUCAUAUUACUCCCUGCAGCCCUAAGAGUAUUUAAUAUAGACUUCAUUCUAGAGUAAUACUCAUGAAUGGUUAGUGAGCCCUUUUUGAUGGUCUGGAUUUGUGUUCUGAGAUGUAGGAUUCUAGCUCUAGAUCUUGCACCAAAUUGAUUGGAAAGAGUUGUCCACACCUCAAAGGAGGUGGAACAAUCCACCACAGUGCCCAGCACAUCCUCACUAAGUGAAGAUAACAACCAACUUAGGAGAAUGUGGUCCUGCUUUUUCCAGACUUGGUAAUUUGGGUUAGGUGUGGUGAUUAUUGUUUGAUCUUGUCCAAGGUUUAUGAAAACUCUAGGAGGGCAGACAUGGCUACCAUCUAUGAACCCCUCAAGUUCAUUUGCUCUAAUGCUGGAAAUCACUUGUGAUCUCCAGAGCAUGAAAUUGUUUUGAUUUAGCUUAAUGGGAGUUGUGAACACAUAUGUGCUGCUGGUAAUGUGUUGAGUGGGUGAAGGUGAGUUGUGACUUGAGUUUUGUUCAAUGUUUUGAGGGGUGUUUUGGUUUUCAUUUUGAUUCAAGUUUUCCAUCUGAUCGUUUUGGUUCACAUUUGCUUGUGUGCUGCUGCUGCUUGCCAUAGCUUUGAAGAUGGCUCUGAUACCAACUUAAAUUCCUUAGGAAUUGCUUUGAAGAUGACAAGCGGAGCACAAGAGACCAGAAACUUGUAUUGAAAAUAAAACUUGAAUUGAAUUCUGUUUACAGACCAUCGUCUAUUUAUACAUAAGAAAACAAAAGUGACAGCUAGCUAAAAAUAACAAAUUCAGAUAAAACAAAAUAAUCCAGCAAUCAUUAGCCAAUGAUAUGAUGCUUCCAGAAUCUUCAUCCAUUUAUUCCAUGUGCUGGUAUUUCUCUGUGUAGCAGUUUUGCCACCUCAUUGAAGUUGCAUCAGCUGGUAAAUAGGUGUAGCUUAGGUGGCAUGCCAAUGUGUCACUGAGCUCAGCUGAUGAUUUGUCAUGGUCAUGGCUGCUAUCUUCAACAGUCUUCACUGUCACCUUGUGCCUGGGUAAUGCGUGCAAAUCAUGGAGAUGAAUACACUAUUGCUGAAUUCAAUCCAAUUCAGUGGACAUUUGACAAUUCUCCCCAGGUGAGAUUGGACUUCUAGUUUCUUGUAAUUGUUUUUCUUCAUCCGAUGUUUUCAGGGAUACCCAUUUGGCAGUAUAUAAAAAUCUGUGAUAUCUUCUAUAUAUACAGAUAUACAUCAUUGGCUUCAGUCAUUUGUGAACGUAUUGGAGUUAGUAGAUGUAUUUUUAUGAUAUCUCUAAUAAAAUCCCAAGUUUGAUCAAUUACAAAAGAAGUAUGAGCAGUGCUGGACCCGCGCCGGGGGGGGGGGGGGCUUCUGUGUGGUGGGGGUGUGCAGUGCAUGAAUAAAAGGAAAUGAUAGGGGGUGAAAGUUUGUGCUACCGACAUGCUGUAAAAUGGGGACAUAAUAUUUCAAAUUAGAGAUUGUGAGAUCCUUAAUAUUGCUGACUUGUGCUUAAAAUGGAAUUCUGGAUAACUUCAAAUGUUAAAGUUCUUGGUGAAAUUUUGUACUUUCUUUUCUUUCAGAUUCUUGUGCCUAUUGCAAAUGGUUCAGAGGAGAUGGAAGCUGUUAUGAUAAUUGAUAUUCUGGGACGAGCUAAAGUAAAUGUUGUAGUUGUAUCAGUUGAGGAUAAACUAGAAAUUCUGGCUUCUCGUCGAAUUAAAUUAGUGGCAGAUGUGCUAAUUGAUGAGGCGGCUAAACUUUCAUAUGAUUUAAUUGUCUUGCCAGUGAGUUGAGGUGCUUACUCUUGCUUCAUAGUCUUUACCACAUUAUUGACUUACUAACUACAAUUUAUCCAUGCACAUUGCACAUGGUGGACUUGGUGGCACUCAAGCAUUUGCGAAGUCAGAUUAAUUGGUGAAUAUGCUAAAGAAGCAAAAGGAAUCAAAUAGACCUUACGGUGCUAUAUGUGCAUCCCCAGCUUUAGUGUUGGAGCCCCAUGGCUUACUCAAGGUAUGACCAUUUAUGCUUAAAUUAUUUACUCAGAUUUGGAUCACCUAAUCUGAACUUGAUGAAGGAUUAUGAUGUUGUGUGAUUUUAUGAAUGUGGUCUUAUCUCAUGUAAGUCAGUGAUGAAUUAAUUGAAGUUUGCUGACAAAUUAGAAACUGAAAAACUGCUGCUGCUUCGUUAGUUACAUUACCCAAAGAGUAAAAAUAAACAUCCCAAAUUUUGUCCCAAAUGAUAUGGCAUUUAUUGAGUGAUUGGUAAUUUUUUACAAAAUCCAAAUGAAUUAAUUAUAUUAUCUAACCGACCAAUUGAUGAAUGUCACAUUAUUUGAGAUGAUUUUUUGGGAUGAAGACUUUGGGAUUUUUACCCGCAAAAAUCCCAAGUACUUCCUGCUCCUGCAAUAUCAUUGCUGUGUAUUUGUUUUCCCCUUAGACAUAUUCAUUCAACUUUGGUUCAGGGUAAAAAAGCUACAGCUUUUCCUGCUAUGUGCAACAAGCUGUCAGAUCAGAGUGAAAUCGAAAACAGGGUUGUGGUUGAUGGCAACUUCAUCACCAGUAGAGGGCCAGGAACUUCUAUGGAGUUUGCACUGGCAAUUGUGGAGAAGUUUUUUGGCCGCAACAAGGCACUUGAGCUUGCAAAGAUAAUGCUUUUCACUCGCGCCUAACGUUUGUACCAGGACCUGACUACUAUUAAACUAGUGUGUUUAUUUCUGUAUUACUACUGCUUGUAGAGAGGGGAAAUGGAAACUUGAAUUCAUGUUUGAAUAUGGAUUCACUGUGUGGGUUUGUACAACAGUUUGGUUUAUAAAUAAAUGAGUUCAUAGAGUCAUUUCAAAUAUUAGUUCUGUUAUCAAUGGUCGGAGUCCAGUUGCGAUCGACUCACUGGGAAUUUUAAUUAUGAACUAAAAAAUUAUGUUAUAUUCCACCUUUCUCAUAUAUAUAUAUAUAUAUAUAUAUAUCAAAUGUUAACUCGAUUUACAGGAAAAGAAAGACGCUAAGAGAGGAGCAGAGACCCAAAAAGAGUUGACCACUUUGUUGGAACAUAAAUCUCUAGAAUAUUGAAAUAAAACACAUACCAUAUCUGGUAUUAAGUAUAUGCAAGAAGAUACAAAUUUGAAGAUCAGAUUUCUCAUUUCAAUUUAUGUUCUGCUUAGAGCAAUGGCUCUUAUUCCACAAGCACAAACAGGAAAGAAUACGCACGAAGUUAAGAAACACACAGCAAAAUUUGCAUUAACUACUUGCAGCAACAUCAUCCAAGAACUUGACUUUAAUCAUCUUGAGCUUCGCUGCAGCAUCUGUCAUAUGCAUUCUCUUGUCAGGUGACUCCAUACAACAAUCCAAUGCCAAAUCCAUGAUGCUUAAUAAACAAUCCAUUUUGGCAGAAAAAGCUUGCUCUUCUCGCACCAAAUUUGCGUCAACAACUUCACUCAAUCUGUGAGGUAAUGACUCCUUUACCCAUCUCCUUAAACUCAUUUCUCCUGUGAACAUUUCAUUGGUGGGCCUCUUUCUCGUGAAAGUUUCCAUCAAUAACACACCAUAGCUGUAGACAUCACAUUUGGCUGAAACAAUUCCUUCUGAUCCAUACUCUGCAUUUUUUAAUUUUAAUUAUGAAACAAAUGAUAAAACAAAUAAUUUUUUGAUAAUUAAGGUAACCCAAACUUUGCUCGUGCUUGAAAAAAGAGUAAAAAUUUUAAUUACAAUUGAAACUUUACCUGGUGCCAUAUAACCAAUUGUAGCCAUUGUCAUGGUUUGUGUCACAGAAUCUUCUUCUUCACCUAAGAGUUUGGAAAUGCCGAAGUCGCUCACAUGUGCCACCAUAUUUUCAUCCAAGAGAAUGUUGGGAGGCUUCAAAUCACAAUGAAUUAUAGGUGCCGACGAAUGACCAUGAUGGAGAUAUUCAAGAGCCGACCCCACAUCUAUCAUUAUAUUCAACCUCUCUAGAAUGUCUAAGAAAUAGUUGUGAGAAUACAACCACUUCUCGAGACUACCAUUCGGCAUGAACUCAAGUACCAAUGCUUUGAAAUCUGGAUUAGAACAACUGCUAAGGAUCUUUAUGAGAUUUCGAUGACGAACAUUCCGUAAAACUUCACAUUCAGAAUCAAAACUCCUAAAUGCUCUCUCUAGUUGCAGAUUGAAAAUCUUUAUUGCAACAUUAGUCCCGUCGAAAAUAGUUCCUUUAUAAACUGAUCCAAAACUACCCGUACCAAGCAAGUUACAUUCAUUAAAUUCAUCAGUUGCUCGUUGAAUGUCUAGGUAGGAUGUUCUUCUCCAUGUUGCAAGAGGUAGGAAAUCUUCGUGAUCUGAUUUUUUUGUACUCCGAUUUCGCCAUCUUAUGUACAUAAUGAUGGUAAUCACUAUAAGUAUGGUGGAUAUUAUCGGAGGCAAAAUAUAUUUAAGGACAAUUAGAGCAACUUUCUUUGUUCUUUUGCUGUUUUCUCGCUUGCAAGGUGGGACUCGGAGUUUAGGUGGACCACAGAGUGCAUAAUUUCCCAAAAACGAUUGAGCUGAGAAGUUCUUAAAAGACCCCUUAAAAGGAAUUUCCCCUUCUAGCCUAUUAUGAGACACAUUAAAUUGUUUGAGAUGUGACAAUAUCUCCAAUGACUUAGGAAUUUUUCCAGAGAGAUUGUUGCCGGAGAGAUCUAAGGAUUCUAAGCUUAUCAAACUGCCAACUGAUUCAGGAAUAGGUCCCUGAAAUUGAUUACUAGCCAAGGAUAGAGUUCCUAGAUCUACGAGGGCACCAAUGGUUGAUGGAAUAUCACCUGAUAAUUGAUUCCUUGAUAAAUCUAAAACUCUCAAUACCUUUAACUUUUGUACAUUGGAAAGGAGAGGACCAUUAAAUGAAUUUGACGACAAGUUUAUCUCUAAGAUGUACUCAAGGCUCCACAAGGAUGACGGUAUACUAGAAGUGAGCUUGUUGGAGCCUAAGCGGAGUUCUCUUAGAGAUGUCAAACUCGCCAAGCAUGGCGGUAUAUGUCCAGAGAGCUUAUUUCCAUUUAACCAUAUUCCGUAGAUCAACUCCAAGUGGCAAAGAUCAUAGGGAAUGGAUCCUUCCAAAUUAUUUUCUUCAAGAGAUAAACCUUGUAGCCGCUUAAGUUUUCCCAUCGUUGGUGAAAUAGUUUCAUUCAAGUCAUUGAAGCCGAGGCUUAAGAGGAUCAGGCCACGCAACUUACCAAUUUCUUGAGGAAUGUUGCCCUUGAGUUUGCACUCGUAUGCAUAGAAUUUUUGAAGAGAAGCAGAGAAAUUCCCAAUUACUGGUGGAAGGAUGCCGCCUAAUGGAUUAGAACCCAAGGAUAAAAGUGUUAAAUUUCUGCAAUUAGUCAAAGAAGAGAGAAAACUCCAUUGAUCUGCUGAAGAUGAUUCUGUCGUCAAGUUAUUCAUCAUAAGGCUGAGCACGCUGAGGUGUCUCAAGUUGCCAAAUGUAUUUGGAAUAUGGCCCGAGAAUGAGUUUAAGCCCAAGUCUAGGCCAAUGAGUUUAGUAGCAUUGGUAAUAGAGUUGGGAAUUGUCCCCAUAAGAUUAUUGGCCGACAAGGCUAAAUACUCUAUGUUCGGAAGCGAGUGGCCAAUCGUUGACGGUAAGCGGCCUGAGAGUUGAUUGCCCCCCAGAGUAAGGAUUCUCAUGGUUGAAAUGUUGAAGAUCGUGGGUGGAAUGAGGCCACUUAAAUUAUUCUCACCAAGAACAAGAUGCUCCAAAUUUUGCAGAUUGCCAAUCUCGGUUGGAAUUUCACCUGCCAUAAGCCCAACAUUGAGGAGUCAUUGAGCUUUUAGCUUAUGGUAAAUUGAGUUUGACAAUGUUACCCUUGAAAAUGUAAAAGGAUCAAAUUAAAUUUAUUACAUAAUAAUUUCAGCCAAUAAUGUUCUUUAAAAUAUUUCAUAGAUAAUUCUGCAAAAUAUGCAUGCAAAUGGAAAAAUAUGCGUCAAUUAUAAGAGGUGGUGGAACGUACCUUGAAGAUUGCUGAAGCGAAGAUCCAGAUUCACGAGUUUACUCAAAUUUCCAAUCCUUGAAGGAAUAGUUCCACCAAUAAUAUUGAACCAUGAACGCAGCGUCUCUAGCCUUGAUAAGUUGAAGAGAGAAUUAGGAAUGGGACCUGUGAAACUGUUAUUAUCAAGAAUCAAUAUUUGGAGGUUAGAUAAGACACCAAUCCAUGAUGGAAAGCUUCCGCUCAAUUUAUUGUAAGCGAAACUCAUGACUCUGAGUCGACGUAAUUGCCCCAAUUCUUUCGGCAGAUGGCCAUGAAAAUUGUUCUCACUAAUGUCAAGAGACACUAGAAAUGAGAGAUUUCCCAAGUGUAGUCGAAUGGUGCCUCCGAGACCCAUAUCUGAAAGAUUCAAGGCAGUGACUCUUUGAUGGCGUGAACCACAAGAGAUACCAACCCAGCUACAUAUUGGAUAAGAUAUAGACCAAUUAUUUGUCAGGACACUUCGAUAAUCAACGACACGGGCUUUGAAUGCAAGAAGAGCCGAUUGAUCGGUUGUUAAGUUGCUCAAAGUCGUCAUAGCUAAGCUAGCUAUGGAAUAUUGUAACAACAACAUAGGAACAAAGAAGAAUGAUAAGCGCAUAUUGGUCUUUAUUUAUUUAUUUAUUUUAUAGAUGCAGCAAUCUAAUUGCUAAGUGAAGUUGACACAAGUUUUAAGUGAAGGAAAUUAGCAUAUACUUAUACAAGAGACGUAUGAAUUUGAAAACAAGAAAAUAAAAAAAAUGUACAGGAGAGUGGAGACUUGCAAAUUGUUAUAUUUUAUCAUUGAGCGAGUCGUCCGAGUAAACGCAUAUAGACUUGUAAAUUGUUAUACGCCGCUGUACUCGAACCGUGAAUAAAUGGGCUUAUGGCACUUUACUUACCAAAAAGAAGAAGACGCUCAGCAUUGGCAAGGCUUGUGCAUUCUGUCCAUUUGUUCACAUUAUGCCGAGGCUCAUGGCAACCGCAAUAUGUUCUUUUCCUUUCCUUUAAAAAUAAAAAAAGACGACCAUGACAUUUGGGUUAAUAAUUAUCACUAAACAAAUAAUAAUGCUGAAGGUCAGUGGUAAAUUGGUAAUACAGUUUUAAAAUAAUUGUUAUUAGUUGUGCUUUAAAAAUAAAAUAAAAAAAUAUAGUUAUACCACUAUAAUUUAAUGAAAUAAUCAUGUAAACUCCUGAACUUUUAAACUUUAAUAAUAGAUACCGAGGACCCCCUUCUGGGUACCUUUUUACCAUUUAUUUGGAUAUCAAAUGCUUUUUUUUUCCGUUAAUUUUCACAGUGGAUUUGAAAUAACAAAUUUACUGUCAUUCCCAUAUCAUCUAAUAAAAUCACUUGCUUCUAUACAUAUUGAUUGUUUUUCCAAAGUUUUAAAUUGAAUUAAAAACAUUCUAAUUAACCUUAAAAAAAAUCAUCCAACCAGAUAUAAAUCUUCUAAUUAACCUAAAGAUAGCUACACCCCCAUAUUAAUUCCAGUUAAAUAAAUCUUCAUUUUUGUCAUGGUUUUGGAUCUCGAGCAAGGUGGAUAUAUCUAACCAGAUCUGCCUCAUUGGCAUUCUGAUAUAUUCUGGAAUUUGAAGGUUAUCAACGAAUUAAUGUGUAAUUUUAAAUUUGUAACAUUUAAUUCUAAUUUGAGGAUUCAAAUAAAUUUAUGUGGAUCUAAAAAUGGACUGAAGAUUGGCAAUAUAACAUUCUUCUUGAUGAAGAUUUUUUUCCUAAUAAGAUCUCCAAUUUUAGACCGGCAAAACUUUGCCUUAUGAAUUAAAGAAAGCAUGAAAAAGGAUUGUUUGCAGGAAAGAAACAUAAAACACUGUAAUAUUUUAAAAAGACAUUAUAUAACCUCCAAAUUCUAUUAUCUUCAAAGAAUUUUAGGGCUUAUUUUUAAAUAAUCUUUUGCCACACAUGCAUUUAUGCAAUCAUAUGAUUAUAGAUUCAAUUACUUUUAAAGUAGAACAAAUUUACUUCUCUUAUAAGUAAAAGCGGGGCAGGCAUUGCAAUUUGCAGCAGUUAAUUCUUGGAUGAAAUUUACUAAAGUAUAGUCUUGUAAAAAAAAUUAGUUUUCUUAAAUUGUAAAUCUCGGUUAUGAUUGGGAGAUUUUGAUCAAAAUUAAUAUGAUAAAUUCGUUGCAAAUGUUUUUCUUGAAGUCUCAUCUUCCAUAAUGUUUGUAAAAUCAAGGUUUUACCAUCUCUGAUUAAAUAUUUACUCUUGAUUUCGACCACGUAAUCCGAACUUGACGAAAGAUUAUGAUCUUGUGUGAUUUUAUGAAUGUAGUCUUAUCUCUUAUAAUUCAGCAAUGAAUUAAUUAAAGCUUGCUGACAAAUUACAAGCUCAAAAAUAUCUUUUACUAAUUUACAAUCUUAUUUCAUUCUUUUUAUAAUAAAAAUUUAAAAAAAUUGUCUUUUAAAUUAAUUUAAUAUAAACACUCAUUGACAACCAAAUAACUAAUUAUUUUUUAUAAAAGCCCUAUUUGUUAAAAUUAUACUGAUAAAAACUCUACUUAAAUAAGUUAUAUUUAAAAAAUUAUAUCCAACAAAACCUUAUUUCUGAUUAGCUUAAUUACUUCCACAACUCCUACAUUUUUUAAACCAUGUGGAUUCCUUCAAUCUCAUAAUCAAAGGUGCUUUAAGCCAUUUUAUUUCUUAAUAUUUUUAAUUAUUAUUGGAAAAGUAGGGUAGCUUAUCAAAAAAGAAAAAGAAAAGCCAAAGUGACGAGUGGCUCUUUUUUAAUUUCAAAGUCAAUGCAAAGUAAAAGUGUCAAAAUACUCAUUUUUUUAAUCCAAAUAAAUCACAAUCAAGGAAGGUUUUGGUGUCCAUCAUUGAAAACUUAGGAGUCUGUAUGACCAUUUAACCAAACUAUAGGGGUAUAGCUGUCAGAAACUUUUAAAAAUAAAUUGUACCAAACAUUCAAAUGAUUUUUUUUUUAUAGUUGAUUAUUAAAUUCUUAGUGUUAGAGCAUCUCUAAAAAACUCUUCAAAUAAAAUUUGACUUUUUAUUUGAAGAGUCAUAUCAAUAUUAAACACUUCAAAAGACACGUUAAUUUAGAUUUUUCAAAUAAGAUUUGGUUCUCACUUUUCAACAUUGUCAAGUGAGUUUCUCCAUCUUCUAUUAAUAUUUUAUUAUUAUUUAUUGAAAAAUAAGUCUGAAAUAAUUAUUAUUUAUGUUUCCUUUCAAAAACAUAAUAGCAAUUCAAUUUGAUAAUGAGAAAGAUUUGAUUAAAAUAAUGUUAACUUAUUCUUAUUUGAUGAGUCUUUUGGAGGGUAUUGUAUUUUUCUAUACACUUAUUUGCCACAUUAGUAAGCAAAUUAAAAUGUGAAGAGUAAAAUUCGAAGAGCCUUUUGGAGAUGCUCUUAGACUACUGUAAGAAUAUAAAUUAUUGAAAUGGACAUAAUAUUAAAUAAAAUUUACUUACAUAUUUACAUACAUGUAUAUAUAAUUUUUUUUAUUGUUUGUAUAUAAAAAUUGCUAACUAAAAAAUAUUUAUAUUUUUUCAAUUUUAUUUCUUUUAUUGUUUAUCUCAAGAUAAAUGUAAUAAUAAUAAUCUCUCUAAAUUUAAUUAUUUUUACUCUUUAUUGAAUAAGGAUAAUUUUGAGUUUCUGUAAUAUAUGUGAGGAUAUAUAUAAAAUUGUAUUAAAUAUAAAAUCAUUCUCAAAAUUAAAUUUUGAAAAACUAUUCCUUUCUCACUUUUCAUUAGGCAAAUGGCCACAGAAAUUGUUCUCCCUCAUAUCCAAAUAAACUAAAAACGAGAGAUUUCGUGUGGAGGGAUGAUGCCUUCGAAUCCCAUCACUGAAAGAUUCAAGUUUGUGACUCUAUGGUAUGAGCACCACAACAUAUGCCAAUUCGACUGCAUAUUGAGUAAGACAUGGACCAAUUAUUCAAGAGAUUCAUGAGCCUUCGAAGUAAGAAAUAAAGCAAAUUAUGCGGUAGUGGGUCAAUUGACUACGUUUCGUGAUCCACGUGCGAUUGCAACGGUCGGUUCAUUAAGUGAAAUUAAUGACUCGUCCUCUUUAGGAUGGUGCUGGGUCAAUUUUAUCCAAGAGUCAACUUACAGUAAUUUGAGUUAAUUUAUAAGAGUAACUCAUUUUCGUUGAUUACGAGUUGUGAUCGAUGACACGCACGAAAAUAGUCAACUCACAGUUCAUUCACUAUAUAUGGUCUAUGGGUGGAUGAAUCUAACGUAAAUUAAGGGCCGAUGAUGACCCUCGACUUCUAACGACGACCAACGAAGACGACCUUGACUACAUGUAAACACACAAUUCGCUCUCAUACAUUAUGUUUUAAAAUUUCUCCAUUUUCCGGGGCCCUGCGGUCAACCGUACACAGUUUAAUUUGUAUAUACAAGACCUCAUUGUUUCUAACAAGCAUAGAGCCAUAGACUGUUAAGCCAAGCGAUUGGUCAUGAGUGGGGCAUGCAAAGCUAUUAUUGUGGCAAGGACUUGGGGAUGUUAUUGAGUGCGGUUUGUUGACUACGUAUCCACUAGCUUGUUAGCUUCAAAUUAGGUUGAGUAGUGAUUAUUUUAUUUUGAAUAAUCUUUGGCGAUUUUGUUGUCAUUAACUACCGGUUAAUGUUCUAUUUUUUAGGGAUAUUAUCUAGGAAUUAGGAAUAGUUGUUAAUUUCUUUUGUAUUUAAAUUCUUUGAUAGUCAUUAAUUAAAGGAAGCUGAAUCCAAUUAAAAUUAUUGUGGUCUUUUUCUCACCCUAAGAGAAUACUAUUGUUACUAUAUAAUUUACAGCUUUGAUUGGGACCUAUCAUAGACCAUAUUAAUUCCAAUUACUUAAAUCUUCAUUAUUCUCAUGAUUUUAGAUCUCGAGCAGCGUGGAUAUAUCCAACCAGAUCCGUCUCACUAGCAUCCCAAUAUAUUUUAAAAUUGAGUAAUGAGUAUCAAUAAACGUGUAAUUGUAAAUCUAUAACUUUUAAUUCUAAUUUGAAGACUCAAAUGAAUUUAUCCAGCAGUAACUCGUUAAAUUAAUAUUUCAUAAAUUUUAACUUUAAUUAAAUAAUAAAUUUUGUCUGUCCCAAUUUAGGAUUAACGUGGUAAUUAAUAAUUUGAUAAGUUAUUAGAUAAUAAUUUUUUAAAAAAAAUCUUAUUUUUUUAUUGGAUCCAACUGAUAUAUAAACUAAUAAUUAAUUAAUUUUAAAACUAAACUCAUGUUAUGUCAAUCAAAUGUUAUUGCAAAGAAGACUAGCAGUGACGCUUUGAAAGGUACACCAAAGUCCAAAGCCUCUUGCACCUUCUCCUCCAUGACCACCAAUAGAUACUUCCACCAUUUCAACGUCAUGACAUGAUGUAAGUUUCUUUUGUGGAAUUUGUGAAUUGGUGCUGGCAGAAGUUAGUGAUACAUGUAACUAGCCAACCCUUGUCAAGUCCGCUUGACUCUUAAAUUUUUGUCACUUUCACUCCGUUCAAAGGCAUGCGAAAGCUAAUUUUUAAUGAAUUUUGAAUCGAGUGUUAGAUGUUUUGGGCUUAUCAAAACUAGAUUAUAUAUUUAUAUAUAUAGAGGGCGGAUCACCAGCCCUUUAAAACUACAUCUAUUUUUACACUGAUUUAUAACCAUUAGAUUUAUUACACAUUAACGGUCAAGAUUUUGAGAAUUUAAUAAUAUAAAUACUUAAUAACAACAAUAAUUAAUAUACUUUCUCUCUCUUCAUUAGUUUCCAUUAAAACCUAAUUUCUCUCUCCUAAUAAAUUUUAGAUUCAUCAUAUUUCUCUCUUCAUCAGUUUCAUUAGUCUUUAAUGAAUUUUAGAUUCACGGUUAGAUAUUUUGGGACUUAUCUUUAAUUAAUAUUUUACACGCGUACAUUUAUAUCAUUGUAUAGUUAUAGAUUCAAUUACUUUUAUGAUACAUUUAUUAAUUUGGAAUUGAAAUAGACAAGAAUGGACUGUAAUGUGAAUGGAGAAUCGAUAUUAGAAUAAAUUAUUUAUUUAAACUGUAGAAAUUGAAAUAAGUUGAAUUAUCAUUAAUGUGUUUAUUUUGUCUUGGAAUUAGAAUUAAAAUAAGUUAGAUUGUAACAAAUUACUAAAAACUACUUAAUGAACUAUUGUUAUAAUUAUUAUUUUGUAUUUUAAUUAUUGUGAUUAUUUAUUAAAAAUUAUAAUUGUUAUUAUUACUUAUUGUUAAUAGUAUAUUAAUAUAUUAAUAAAUUAUAAUAAUAUAUUAAAAAUAUACUUGUAUUUACAAGAGAUGACGGAUAAAAUUUCUAAAAUCGUCUUCCUCCCUAAAACUCUGAAUCCCACAGUCUUAAAAAUUAAUAAGAUUUGGGAAUUAUAUGUCUUUUUUAAAAUAUUAAAGGGUGUUUAUUUCCUUAAACAUUGGGGGCUAAAAGUCCUAUUCCCAAAAGAAUACUGUGCCGGCGUUGGAGGCUAGAUUUCUUGUAUUUGUUUUUCUUCUUCCGAUGUUUUCAGGGAUACCCAUUUGGCAGUAUAUAAAAAUCUGUGAUAUCUUCUAUACAUAUACAUAUACAUCACUGGCUUUAAUCAUUUGCGAACAUAUUGGAGGUAGUAGAUAUAUUUUUAUGAUAUCUCUAAUAAAAUCCAAAGUUUGAUCAAUUACAAAAGAAGUAUGAGUGAUGGGGGGGAAGUGGGGGAUCGGUGUAGUGGGGGUGUGCAGUGCAUGAAUAAAAGGAAAUGAUAGGGGGUGCAAGUUAGUGCUACCGACAUGCUUUAAGAUGGGGACAUAAUAUUUCAAAUUAGAGAUUGUGAGAUCCUUAAUAUUGCUGACUUGUGCUUAAAAUGGAAUUCUUGAUAACUUCAAAUGUUAAAGUUCUUGGUGAAAUUUUGCACUUACUUUUCUUUCAGAUUCUUGUGCCUAUUGCAAAUGGUUCAGAGGAGAUGGAAGCUGUUAUGAUAAUUGAUAUUCUGCGACGAGCUAACGCAAAUGUUGUAGUUGCAUCAGUUGAGGAUAAACUAGAAAUUCUGGCUUCUCGUCGAAUUAAAUUAUUGGCAGAUGUGCUCAUUGAUGAGGCGGCUAAACUUUCAUAUGAUUUAAUUGUCUUGCCAGUGAGUUGGGGUGCUUACUCUUGCUUCAUAGUCUUUACCACAUUAUUGACUUACUAACUACAAUUUAUCCAUGCACAUUGCACAGGGUGGACUUGGUGGCACUCAAGCAUUUGCGAAGUCAGAUUAAUUGGUGAAUAUGCUAAAGAAGCAAAAGGAAUCAAAUAGACCUUACGGUGCUAUAUGUGCAUCCCCAGCUUUAGUGUUGGAGCCCCAUGGCUUACUCAAGGUAUGACCAUUUCUGCUUAAAUUAUUUACUCAGAUUUGGAUCACCUAAUCUGAACUUGAUGAAGGAUUAUGAUGUUGUGUGAUUUUAUGAAUGUGGUCUUAUCUCAUGUAAGUCAGUGAUGAAUUAAUUGGAGUUUGCUGACAAAUUAGAAACUGAAAAAUUGCUGCUGCUUCGUUAGUUACAUUACCCAAACAGUUAAAAUAAACAUCCCAAAUUUUUUGUCCCAA
rnacentral:lncRNA from 1 species